CAGGAGGACGUAAAUUCAAAUACACUGAAGCAUAUUAUCUUCUUAUUUACGAGUUAGAGAGGGACUAUAGAUAAUUUUAAACAUUAUAUCAAAAAGAACUGAUACGAUGAUAAUAAUAUAUAAUGAAUAUUUUAAUAUAAAAUCUAAAAUUUCACUAAAGAUAAAUAAAAUUAGAGGAUUUUUAAUUAAUAUUAUAUUUAAUUUUCAAAUUGUUACUAUUGCAUAUCACCUCCCUCGAAUCUAACCUAAAAUGCAUAGAAUUAUUAAUUAGAAUAUAUAACUAAUGGACGGUUAAGUGCUAAAUUAAUUGAUCAAAAUUAAAAUUAUACAUUUUUUCAAAUGCCACACAGCCUUGCCUGUCCCCUGAUUUCACCUCAAAUAAAUUAAUCAAUUAAGGCUAAAUUUCGUAUAAGGUCCUUGUACUGUAUGUUCUAUGCGGAAUUUGGUAUCUUGUAUAAUUGGACAAUAUUUUGCACAUUUACAAAUGAAAGAAAAAAAACAAAGGAGAAAGUGUAUUAUAUAUCAAUUUGUACAAAAAGUUAGUCGUAGGACUAAAAAUACACAUUUCAAAAAGUAGAGGACUAGAAAUGAUUAAAUUAUAAAAAUAUUAAGGUGUUGUUUGAUAAACAAAAAAAAAUUAAGUGGUAAUAUUAAAUUUAAAGUUAAUAAAAUCUAUUUGGAAUAUUACUUAAAGUUAAUAUGUAAUGAACCGAAAGUUACGGUAUCGGAAAUUGAGUCUUGAGUACUGUUUCCGUGAAAUUAAUUCAUGAAUAUUUAUUAGAAAUAUUUAUGAAUUAUAGUUGAAUGGUUAUUUAGUGUUUAAUUAAGUGAAGUAGCUUGAAUUUAGUUUAAAGGACUAAAUUGCAUACGGUAUAAAAGUUUAAAUAUAGAUUAAAGAUUAAUAAAGGGACUAAUCUAGCAAUUAGACCCUAAGUGACAUGUGUGUGUUAAUAUUGAAUAACAUGUGUAAUAGUUGGUAAAGAUAUUAAAUGUGUUAAAGUAGUUUUUCUUAUAGAUUAAGUUAUUUUAUUAGAAUAAUAUUAUAUUAUUAAUAUUAUUAUAUUGAAUAUAGAUUUAUGAGUAAGUUAAAAAAAAAAAAAGAGAAAGAAAGAAAGAUAGAAAAGUUACAGAGAGCAAACGUGAGAAAGAAAGAAGGAAAGAAAGAAAGAAAUAGAAAAGGAAAAUUUGAGGAUUAAGGCCCUAAAGUUUAAUUGGUAAGUUGUUUUAGCUCAUUUUCUUAUGAUUUUUAUGUUUAUGGAUGCCUAAUUCAAAGUUCUACAUGUAUGAGGUUAAAAUGAAGAAAAAUAGAAAAUUUUUAGAUAUUGAUUUAGUUGAAUAAAUUGAGGUUUUAUGGGUUAAAUUGAUAGAAAUUGAAGUUAGAAGUGAAAAUUGAGUGAUUUAUUAAAAGAAUUCUAAGUUAAGUUUAAAUAGGGAUUAAGUUGAAUAGAGCUCAAAAUUUAUGUUUUAUAAUGAAUUUUAUGAGUUAGAAAUUGUUAAUGGGUUGAUUAAAGGAGAAUAUGAAGCUUAAGUUAAAGAAAAAAAGAUUAGUAAUGGAAAAAGGACGAAAUUGGAAUUUUUGUAAAAGUUUGAUAGAAAGUGAAAAUGUGUUUUAUGAAUUAGUAUAUUGAUGAUUUUUAAUUGUAUGAUUGUUAGUAGCAAACGUAGCACCGGAUACGUCAUCAAAGAAGGGAAAAGAGAAAGUGAACGAAGAUAUCGAUUAAAUUCGAUAAAUAGUGGUUUGUAUUUCUAUAAACCGAGCUUAAUCGUUAUUGUUAUAUUUGAUAUUUAUAUUGUAUGAAAAUGUGAAUGAGGUAAGUAUUUUUACCAUAUUGAAAUGAAUGUGAUUUUGAAUACCCUAUUAGCAGUGUCGGGCUAGUCGGAUAUAGUUGACAUGUCAUAGGAAUUGGAAGUAUUGGGAUAUUCCGACAUUGAGUCGAUGAGACACUAUGUGUCGACUACUGUUAAAGUUCCGGAUUUGUUCCGAUGAAGUACUUUGUGUACUAUAAUCUUAAAGUUCCGGAUUUGUUCCGAUGAAGCACUAUGUGCUUAUCCCGGAGUGUGGGUUGGAUCCGUGUAUCCGUCAGUGUCCGAGUUAUGUUAAUAAGGGUAAAUAAAGUAAAGAUUAUUAAAGUACUGAUUGAUAUUGAAUAAUAGCAAUAAUGUGUUUGAAUUACCAUGUUUUAAAGUUGAUUAAGCUAUUGUUUAUAGAAAUACCACUGAGAGUAUUCUCAGCGUACGGUUUGUUUCCGUGCGCAGACUAGGUACGAAAGUAUAAGGACUCAGCGUACAAGCCGAUCCCCGAACUCAAAUUGGUGAAGUUUCUAUCUUUUUGGGAAAAUGGCAUUGUACCUAGGAUGUCUUCUGGUCAUUUUGAAAGUAUCUAAGUUGUUAAGUGAUAUUUCGGAAUGUUUUGUAAAUGUUACCAAAACCUUAAGUAUGGUAUGUUUUGAUAUGUUAGUGAAGAGUAAUGAGAGGAAUUGUUGGUAAAUGUUGUAGAGAGAAGAAAUGAAGAUGUUAUAAACUUAGUUAUCAACAUUUUUUACUAAAACAGAUUUGGACAGUAGCGGUAGUCCAACUUUGAAAAUAUACCAAAAAUAGUAUAAAGUGAAUUAGAUAAUGAAUAAAAUUUUUAAUUGAAGCUUAAUGAAUCUAUUUUUAUAUGGAAGAAACAAAAUAGGUAAAAGAGUUGUAUUUUAUGAGAUAUUUACGUUUUGGUGAAACAGGGUUAGAACAAUUUCUGGAUUCUCUAUUCUGACUUUAGAAAUUCACCAUAAAUUGUGUAUUAAGAAUUAGGACUCAAACUUUAUUUGUAUGGAUUACUUAUUGAGUCUAUUUUUAAUUGAAACAAAUGGCAUAGUCAUUGGAUUUCUGUACAGGAAGAAAUUUGAUUCGUAGUGCACAAGGGUCAGAGUAGCCGAACCCUGAAACAGGGGAGAAUUCUUCUAAUAAACUGUACUAAUUGGCCCUGACAAAAAAUUCUAGAAAAAAAUUAGUAAGUAGAUAUAUGAGUCUAGUUUCAGGAAAAAUUUACGGAAUUGGAUUUUGAGUUUCGUAACUCGAGAUAUGAUUUUUUUAGCGACCGUGACGCAGAUGGAUAGUUUACUACGAAAACUGUUUAAGUGCUAAGAUAAGUUUUGUAAUGUCUCCUGCUUGACUCCGGCAACGGUCUCGGGUAGGGGGACGUUACAUAAUAGCUAGACUGUUUGAUAAAUAUAAAUUUUAAAUUAUGAUUUUUUUAUUAUUUUUAUUUUAUAAUAUUUAAUAUCAGAUUUUAAAGCUAAUUUUUUUAAGGACAAUAUAAUGCUAAAAGAAAUAAAAUAAAUUGAAAAUAUUCUCCAUUAAGCGAUAAAUUGUUCCUUAUCUAUUUAUCUUUAUCCACAUUUUUAUAGGAAAAUUCUAUCACGUGAUUAUUUUUAGAUUAUUAAACAUGUGUAAAAAAGUAAUUCACAGAAAAACAUAGGCACAAUAAUAAAUUUAGCCCUCAAUGUUUAUAUCUUUGGUCAAUUUAGUCAUUAUUCUUUUUUGAGUUAAAUUUGGCCAUUAACCUUUUUAAAAGUUAAAUCGUUUAACAGAAACGCUGACUAAAAAAUUAAUUCUUUAACAGUAUAUGUGUAGCAACCCGCGUGGUAGUCCAUGUGUACUUCAUGUUAACAUAACAAUAUUUGUUUUAUAUGUUACAUCAACAAAUAAUUUUAAAUAUGUAGAAAUAUUUAAAAAUAAUAAAAUUUAAAAUAUAUAUAAUGUAUAAAAAUUCAAAAAUAGCAUGAAAUACAUGUGGAUUGCCAUGUUUAGAUAUUUAAUGUUUUAGUCAGUAUUCUCGUUGAAAAAGUUUGAAAGUCCGUUGGUCAAAUUCGACUUGUUUUGAAAGGCUUUGGGGUCAAAUUUAGUUUUUUUUUAAAUAAAAAAAAGAAUAAGAGUCAAAUUGAUAAAAGAUGUAAACAUAAGGGCUAAAUUUAUCAUUAUGCUAAAAGCAUAUUAUACAAAGAUCUUUUAUAAAAUUUGACCUUAAUUAAAUUUAGGGUAAAAUGCAUUAUUGGUCACCAAACUUUUAUAAGUUUUCAUUUUAGGCACAAUUGUUAAAAAUUAUUUUCAUUUUAACCAUCUUCGUUAAAAACCAUUUUUAUUUUGGUCACCCGCUGUUUAUUCAAUGUUAUUAUUCAUUCAUAUUAGUCACCAAUUUUAAUAAUUUUUCAUUUUAGUCACUCAUUUCCCUUUUAAUUUCUUUAUAAAAAAGGAAAAAGAAAACUUGAGUUUUACUAGAAUUGAGUCAUUCAGCUGAGAUAAUAUCCAAGCUUCUCCCUAUAAAUCAAUUCAUUGUAAAAACUUUCAAUUUUCCCUUGUAAAAACACAAGCUUUUCCCUUGUUAUUGAAAAAAAAACUAAAAUUAAUUUUAAAAUAGAGGGGGAAAAGAAAAUUAAAAAGAUUAGAUGAUUUUUCUUGUAAAAAUUCAAAUAAUUUCAUGUAAAACUCUAAAUUUUUUCCUUUUACUAGGAAAAAAAAUUAAAACUAAUUAAAAAGAUAAAAUGAUUUCCCCAUAAAGUGAUAAAAUGAUUUCCCCAUAAAGUCCCAAUUAAAUCCCAUGUUUUUCCUUUUUAUUGAAAAUUUAAAAAUAAAUCUAAAAAAUUGAAAAUAAAUUAAAAAGAUAAAUUAAGUGACCAAAAUAAAAACUUAAUAAAGUUGGGUAGCUAAAAUGAAUAUAUAAUAACAUUGAAUUAACGACGUGUGGUUAAUGAAAACAAUUUUUAACGGUAUUGCCUAAAAUAAUUUUUUUUUUCCUAUGCUUAAAACGAAAACUUAUAAAAGUUAAGUGACUAACUUUGUAGUUCACCUUAAACGUAAUAGUAGUUUACUUUAUAUAUUUGUUGGUAAAAGGAAAAAAUGGACAAAUUAGCCCCUGAAUGAGUGAGCAUGAUAGCCCUUCCAUUAAAAAUUGGUAUUUAUAUAUAAUGUAUAAUAAAAAAUUUAGCCCUCAAUCUUUAUACAUUUGUUCAAUUUGACCCCUACUCUUUUAUUGAAAGUAAAAUAGAAAAAUUUUAAACUAACAAGGGUAAAGGGUCAAAAAGGCCUUAGUAACAAGUUAAAAAAAUCAAUUAAAUCCUUUUAAAAAUUAAAAAUUAUUAAAAUAUUAUAAAAAGUUAUACAAAUUUUAAAUUAUAAGUUUCUUAUUAAAGAAUAACAAUACCGACCCAUUCAAAUCUAAUGGUCAAAAGAUUUUAAAAAAAUUUGAGCCCCACACUUUUAUUUGAUCGAUAUUGUUAUUUUUUUGAUUUUUUUAAUAAUUUUUUGUUAUGAUUUUUUUUGUAAUAAUAUUUAAAUUUUAAAAGGGUUUAAAUGAAUUUUUAAGAAUUUCUUACUAAGGUUUUCUUUGACCCUUUAGCUUUAUUAGUUUAAAUAAUUUCUAAUUUACUUCUAAUAAAAGAGUAGGGGUCGAAUUGAAUAAAUAUGUAAAGAUUGAGUAUUAAAUUUGUCAUUAUACCUUAUAUAUAAACACCAAAACAAACCUUUAACUAUUUCAUUUUUAUGAAUCGUCUAAGGUAUAAUGACAAAUUUACCAAUUUUUCAAUAGAAACUAAAAUAGAAUCCAAAAUAUACUAGGGAGAUUUCCUGACACUUUUUCCUAUAAUCGUUAAAUUAGUGAACUAAGAAAAAACAACUUAUAUUGAAAUUAAUUAAUUAAGAUUUACUUAAUUAACAUAACUAAUUUGAUGACUAAUUAUAUAAUGUUUCUUUAUAGGUGGUCCUUCCAUCGUACCACUUAAAUUUGAACAUUUUUUUUCCCGACCGGCUGAUAAAGUGUCAUUUUCGCUUAAACUAAUUAUUUUGAUUUGUAUCUUGAUAUUCGAAAACAUUUUUUAUGUCAGUUAACUUUUGUUGUGGGAUGUCUACAUUUUUCAAAUAACUUUUGAAGUGUUAUCAUCUAAAAUUGAUGGAUUUUUUAACGGGUUGGUAUUUUUUUCGAGCUAAAUUAGGAUUUUGUUUCCACACUUUAUAAAGAAUUCGAGUAUUUGAGGUGUCAAGUUCAACAGAAUAGUAGCAUCUCGUUAAAUUAGACCAUGUGUAGGGCACGACUACCUAUCAAGGGACGGGGACAUCUUUAUUUGGUAGGGUUUGAACACAUGCCCCUUAAAUGAUCACAAUAAACAUGUAUGUUACCACUUUAUCAAGGUGUCAAAUUUUACGAGAUGCUCUCGCUCGAUUGAAUUCCACGCCUCAAACACUCAAGCUCUUUAUAGAGUUAGGAAACAAAAUCUCGACUUAAUCCAGGGACAAUACUGACAUGUUAAAAAGCCCACAAACUUUAAAUCAGUAACACUUUAAAAACUUCUUCGAAAUGAAUCCAAUAAACAAUUAAAUAAAUACUUGUAUAUUGAGCAAUUCAAAUUUAUAGUUGGAUUUAUAUAAAUACGAAGUAGCAAAUUAGGAUGGAAUCCGGAUCUUAUAUCACCGGAAUUUCAACCCACACAGGUGUUUGUCACAUACCAGUUGGUCCCAAAUCCCAAUUAUAAAUUGAUUUUUUUUAUAAUAAUGGUCAAAUUUAUUUCGUUAUCAAUCGAUAUAUUUAAUCUUUAAUAAAAAUACACAAUAAAAUUUUAAUUUAAUAUGGAAAUAUAAUUUAUCGAUCGGUACGUGAUAUAAAUUUAAACAGUAUGAUCAGUUUUGGUCGUUUUCAUUUUGGCACUUUGUGUGACACCAAAAUUACAAUAAUUAGUUAUGUUUAGGUAACGAAAUUUGGAAUUAUCUUAGCAACUUUAUUUAUUAAUUAAAUCUUUUAUAUUUUAACAAUAUGUUUGUGUACUUGUUAUGAAACAUUGUUCCACAAAUUCGUGUCGUGUUCAUCCCAAUUAAUAUAAUAAAUAAUGCAUUUUUCGCAAGGGAAAUAAUCAAAUAAUAAAAUAAAUUUUUAAAAAGAUUUGCAUGGUAGACUGACCUUAUUACAAGCAUUUAAUAUUAUGUUUUGUCUGUUUUUUUUAAAUUAUUAUUUUUAAUUCUUUAUUUUUUUGAAUGAAAGACCAAGAUAAUGUAACGACGGCUAAACCAUGUUAACUUAAUAAAGACAACGAUUUAAUAACAACAAGAUUAAUAUGACUCGAAUUUAAGUUACACUUAAAACGUUGAAUACCUAUGAAUUUUUUAAAUUUAAUUUUUUUUCUUAAUUGAAGACUUAAGGACAAUGUAAUGACGGUUUAGUCCUGUUAUUAUAUUUAUUUAAGAUUCUUUCUUACUACUACAAUUUUAUAUUUAUAUUCUGACAGUUGCUGAUCAUUUAAAUUAUUAUAAUUGCACAAAUAUGUGAUUGGAUUGUAUAAAAAUAAAUAUGAUUGGAUUUAAAUUAAAAUAAAAUAUUUAUUGUGAAAUAUUAAUUUUAAAAUCUAAAUUUUUUAAAGCCUCGUUGUUAUUAUUAAAUUAAAACCUCAUCAAUUUAUUUUUAAAUUUUAGAUUAAAUUGAAUAUAUUUAAUCCUUGAAUUUUAUUUUCUGUGUAAUUACAAGGAAAUAUUUACUAUGGGAAUGGAAAAUAAAAGAUUAAGGUUAUCAAUAUUAAAUAUUUUUUCGCGUGGCAUACUUUUUAGAGUCAAUGUUCUUAAUUUUAUAAAAUUAUUUUAUUUUUUUGCACGGUAAAAAAAAAAGAGAGACGAAUUCGAAUAACUCAAGUUUAAAUUUAAUUAUGAAAAAUUAUAAAUAAAUUUAAUAGAGUUCAAAUAACUCAUUUAUGCCUCGAGCCGAAUUCGGUUUGAAAAUCAAAGACGAAAAUUAAAAGUAUUUGGUUUCUUAUAAAAAAAAAUUAUUAUUGAAAUUUGAAGUAACAUAAAAAAUAUUUUAAAAAAAACUAGUGAUUUUAAUUUGAAUAUUGAAAUAAAAAUGGAUUAAUUAUUACUUAAUAAACAAAUUUUUGUCAAAAGAAAAUAGUGCAGAAGGUGGGGGCAUUUGUCUCACGUGGCGGCAGCCCAUCGAUAUCAAGUGCCAACCAUUUUACUAGAAACCAGCCGCGUGGUUAUGUGACGCGUAGCAGUGGACUUCCCUUUUCGCCCUUGUGCUCCCCUAACAUGGCGGUCACCUAACCCCACAUGACUGCCUCAUUUCUUGCCAUGCCUACGUGUUGUGACACCCACCUUGUCCCCUCCCACCACUACACUUUACUGUACAAUUAGUUAAAAUAAUCUUCACACUUCAAUUUUUUUUUUUAAUCUUCAAAAUGUAUCUGCACAAAUUUUAACAUUAAUUUCUUCAAAAAAACAAACAAACAAACAAACAUCCAAUUUUUCUAGAGUCUAACUGUCAAUCUACUUCCUUUACCACGUUGAAAUUCGAGUUUUAGUCCCUCUUCUUUAUUUUGGUUAUAAUACAAUAAAUAAAUCUUUUUUCUUUUAUAAUAUUACAAAUAGGUCCAAUUUAGUAAUACCAUAACUUGUCCUUAAGUUAUAAUCUCAUUAAAUAUUCGGUUACGUGUAAUUUAUUAAGGUAAACUAUCAAAAUAAUCAUUUUUGUUUACCUCAGGUUACAUUUUAGUCACUUAUGUUUGAAAUGUUAUGUUUUAGUCACCGAGCUAUUAAUUGUUAAUAACGGUGUAAUGGUAAGCUAAUGUAGCACAUUAAAUCAUCAUUUCAAAUGAAAUUUUUAGGUUAAAUUCUACAAUUGAUCAUUAUUUUUUUUAUUUUGAGCAAUUUAAAUUUUUUAUUUUAUGUUAUUUUAACUUUUUUUCCAUUUUUUUCUACUUCUCCUUCUGUUUUACUCCCUUCUUCAUUUCUUCUAACAUAGUUUUUCUACGUUUUUCAUUUGUUAAAACUAGUCCACAAACUCGCCUCACUCAAAAAAAUUAAAUUGUUCAAAAAAUAAAUAAAAGUAUACAAACUAGUUUUAACAAAUGAAAAAUAUAGAAAAACUACGUUAAAAGAAACAGAGAAGGGAGAAAAACCAAGUGAGAAGUAGAAAAGAAUGGAAAAAAAAAAGAAAAAAAAAAGAAGGAAAGUUGAAAAAACAUAAAAGAAAAAAAUUAAAUUGCUCAAAACGAAAAAGUAUGAGAAUUGAGUAUAAAUUAACCUAAAUUUUUUGUUUGAAAUGAUGAUUUAACGUGCCACGUCAGCUUACCGUUACACUGUUAAUGUCAAUUAACGGACCAGUAACUAAAAUGUUACAACGCGAUAACAUAAGUGACUAAAAUGUAAUCUAAGCUAAACAAAAGUGACUAUUUUGAUAAUUUACUCAAUUUAUUAUUUCUUGAAUAUAAUUAAUUGAUUUUUACGUGAUCUUAUAUGAAUAAAUAAUUGUAAAAAAAAUCUACGUUAUCAUUUUAACCGUAAUAAAUUUCGAAAUUACAUCUAAAUAAGUUUUUUUUUAAGUAAAUAAACUUUCAUUUAAAUAAUAACUUAUAAAAUGAAAAGGAUGAAAACUUAUUUAAAUAAAGUAAAAGGUUUAACUCUAAUAUUGGUAUCUAAAUUAUACUUUUUUUUUCUAUUUUAGUAGAGUUGAUCAUGGGUUGGGCCGGGCCUAUACAAAAUUUUAGGCCCGGCCCGGCCCGGAAUAUGGGCCUAAAAAUUUGUCCAAGCCCGGCUCGAAAUAAAAUUACUAAGCCCGAGCUCGGCCCGACCCGGCCCAUAUUAAUUUUUUUUCUUAUUUCAUUAAAUAAAAAAAUUUUAAAAUAUAAUAAAUCAAAUAUAUUUAAAAACAUAAAAACAAAUAUUAAAACAAAUAAAAAUGAUACUAAAAUAAUUCUUAAAACAAUACACAAAUUGACAAUAUAAUAAAAAAUGGUUAUAUUAAAAAUUUAAAAUGAUUAAAAAUAAAAUAUAAUAAUAUAUAAUUCGGGCCGGGCCGGGCCCCGGCCAAAAAAUCUUACCCGAGGCCCGGCCUGUUUUUUUGCCCAAGCCCAUUUUUCGGGCCUAUAUUUUUACCCAAACCCUCCAAUUUUUCGGGCGGGCCUUCGGGCCGGGCCGGUCCGGGCCGCCCGACCCAUGAUCAGCUCUAUAUUUUAGUACCUAAACUUAUUUUUGGUUAUAAGUGAUACUUAAAUUACUUUUUUUUUCUCAAGUUGGUAUCUCUAUUAGUCAAACCGUUAAGUCUAUUUUAAAAAAAAGACUUAACCACAAAAUAGUACCUAAAUUCUGGAAAGUUCCAUUUUGGUACCAAGACUAUUUUAUUUUUCAAGUUAAUACUUAUGUUAGUUCAAUCGUUAGUUAAACUAUUAAAUAUAUUUAAAAAGAAAAGAUAACCAAAUAAAAACUGACACAUGACAAAAAGGAUAAUCUUUUAUAUAUUUUUUCUUUUUCCUUUUUAUUUUCUUCUUUCUUCGGAACCAGACGGAUGGUAGAUAAAAAAAAAGUAAUAAAAGGAAUAUGGAAGAUAAAAUAAUUAAAUUAUAUAUAUUUUAAGUUUAUAUGAUGCGGUGAUUUAUUAUUGGUUGAAAUUUUUUUACGAAUAUAACAAUUUGGUGUAAAAUGAGGAACAAAUGAAUCUUUUAGGUACUGCUUGUGACAAAAAAAAAAGUUUAGGUACCAACUUGAAAAACAAAAGGUACACUUUUGCCAAUAAUUUGUAGGUUAAGCCUUUUCUAAUAUAUAUUUAACGAUUUGACUAACGAUUGGACUAAUAAAUGUAUUAACUUGGGGAAAAAAGUAAUAUAGGUACCACUUGUGACAAAAAAAAAUUCAGCUAUCAAGAUGGGAAAAAAAUAUAUAGUUUAGAUGUCAAUUUGUGGAUUAAGCCUAAAAUAAAAUAUAAAGAUUAUUAGGUUUUUACUUGUAAAUGGCUUUUUCCCCUAAUAUUUAAGUUUAUCGUUUUGAUUUGGUGUUUUUCAAGGUUAAUGUAUUACUUGAUACUUAAGUCAUUUGUUUAGUUUGGUACUUGAGUUUUUUUUUUUCAAUCAAGUAUCUUAGUUUAGCUUUAAUGUUCAAUUGGGUAUUUGAGUUUUUUUUAUCCCAAUUAAGUACUUAUGUUUUUUUAUUGGAGUACACGUGUCAAAUAUUCAUUGGUCCAUAUGGUCCCGUUUGAUUUGAGUACUGAGUUGAACAUUGAAGUAAACUAAAAUACCAAAUUAUACACUAAAGACAAACUGAGGUACCAAAAUAUAUAUUAAUCUUAUUUGUUUAAACAAAUCUUAAACUACCUACAAACCCUUCAAAUCCGUAAAUGGAAAGUUAAGACGAGUUUAAGUGUGUCCAGACUUACGUCCUCCAAAUUAUUGCAAUUAAUGUUUUAAAAAUGAUGGUCAACUUAAUUAAACUAUUGUUAUCGGUGUACUCAAUUUGAACGUCAGCCCGACAAUAAUGAAAUAAAUAAUUAAAAACAUAAAAUAAUAUAUAAAUUAAUUUGCCUAUCAAAUUUUUUUAUUGAUUCCAAAUAAUUUAACUAAUUUAAUUUUUUAUCCAAAUUAUUAUAUCAUUUAGUAUUUAAUUAAAUUAAUCCGAUUCAUACAUCCGAACCGGUCCGAUAUGGUUUGUAGAACUCUGAAUGAGACCACAACGACAACAAUGUAAUGGAGGCUAUUUCUUUUUGUUUGUUUCUAUUUUUUUUUUUGCGCAACUUAUCCGUGUAAGUGCGUGAGCCAUCAUCCACCUUGCAAGCUCCCACCUUUUGUCGGGCCCACAUCGAAGCAAGAUGACGUGGCACUUUCACUUCCAAAGUCUCGGCCUCUUCCCCCUAUUUAAACCGUCAUCGAAGACUCGAACAUCCCCAAGCUCACAUCACAGUCCACACCAAAAAAACUCCCUUCUUUUUCUUUUUCCUACAAUACGAGCGCUUUAAUUCUUGUUCUCCAAUCGUUCGAUAAAAUUUCCCCUUCAAAAAAAAAUGGCCGUCGAUUCGCCUCUCUCGUCUCCGCUAGGUCCGCCAGCGUGCGAGAAAGAUGCGAAAGCUUUGCAGUUCAUCGAGGAAAUGACUCGAAAUGCCGAGUCCGUUCAACAGAGAGUCCUCGCUGAAAUCUUAUCCCGAAACGCAGAGACUGAGUACCUCAGACGGUUCCAACUCAACGGUGCAACCGACCGAGAAACUUUCAAGUCCAAGCUCCCGGUCAUUACUUACGAGGACCUUCAGCCUGAAAUCCAUCGUAUUGCUAAUGGCGACCGCUCUGCUAUUUUAUCUGCCCAACCCAUCUCAGAAUUCCUCACCAGGUUCGUAUAUAAUAUAUAAUAUAUGAUUAUGAACUGUACUUAAAGAAAAGGUAUAAUUUCGGGUUUAGCCCUUCUAUUAUGUUAAACUUUGUUAUUUCUUUAAUUGCCAUCAUUAAAGCAAUGACCUGGAUUCGUUUACUAUUUAUUUGGUCUCAAUUUCGGGACCAAAUGAAAAUUCGGUUCAUCAUAUUCAAUUAAUAGCAAAUUUACAUCUUAACCGAAUACUUCAAAGACAGUAACUAUAAUGUUAUCAAUUUGUACAAACGGUCUAAAUUAUGACAAAUUCAAUUAGAAGGUUUAAAUUCUAAAUUUCAACAUAAUAAGAGGACUAAAACUAGAAUUAGACUACAAAUAAUGAGAUCCAUGUAUGUUUCUAUAUUGAUGCUGAUAAAUUUUCCUGGAAAAUCGUGCAGCUCCGGGACAUCAGCUGGUGAGAGGAAACUCAUGCCUACAAUUAAAGAAGAGCUAGAUCGCCGUCAGUUGCUUUACAGUUUGCUCAUGCCAGUGAUGAAUCUGUAAGUAUUUGGGAAAAAAAAGGUUAAAUUUUGGUUUUGGUCCAUUUGCUGUGCUAAAUUUAAGAUUUAAUAUUCAUUUUUAGUUUCUCAUAAUUUGAUUUUUUUGUCUUUUACAAAAAAAAACUAUUAUUUAGUACAAUAGUUAACACUGUUACUUAUCAUAAAAGCACAGCCAUCAUCAUAUUAUGUGAAAUUGAACUCCAUGAAUUAAAUCACUAAUUUGAGUAUAGUAGAGGAUUAAAAGUAAAAAACUGAUAGCACUGAAACAGUCAACUAAUUGUUUGUGAAGUUGUAUUAAUGGAACGCGGUUUCUAUGGAACAGUUAUGUGGCAGGCUUGGACAAAGGCAAGGGCCUAUAUUUCUUGUUCGUGAAAUCGGAGACAAGGACCCCUGGUGGUCUCUUGGCUCGCCCUGUCCUCACCAGCUACUACAAGAGCGACCAUUUCAAGACUCGCCCUUACGAUCCUUACAACGUUUACACCAGCCCCAACGAGGCCAUCCUCUGCCCCGACUCGUUUCAGAGCAUGUACACCCAGAUGCUCUGUGGCCUCCUUGACGGCCACCAAGUUCUUCGCCUCGGCGCGGUCUUCGCUUCUGGACUCCUCCGUGCAAUCAGGUUUCUUCAGCUCAACUGGAGACAACUCGCACAUGAUAUGGAAACGGGUUCCUUGAACUUGAAAAUCACUGACCCUUUAUUGAGGGAAUGCAUUGUUAAGACCCUGAAACCUAACCCCGAGCUUGCCCAGUUCGUACACCAUGAGUGUUCGAAGGAUGAUUGGGAGGGGAUCAUUGUAAGAAUUUGGCCUAACACGAAAUAUCUCGACGUCAUUGUAACCGGAGCUAUGGCGCAGUAUAUUCCAACCCUUGAUUAUUACAGUGGUGGGUUACCUUUGGCUUGCACCAUGUAUGCUUCGUCUGAAUGUUACUUUGGUUUGAACCUUAACCCCAUGUGUAAACCAUCGGAAGUUUCUUAUACCAUCAUGCCCAACAUGGCGUACUUCGAAUUCUUUCCCCACGAGCCUAAUCUUGACUCAACUGGUUUCGAUUUCACUCGUGAAUUGCCUCCUAAACUCGUCGACCUCGUGGAUGUGGAAGUUGGGAAAGAAUAUGAGCUCCUGAUCACAACCUAUGCGGGGCUAUGCAGGUACCGAGUGGGCGACAUUCUUCGCGUCACCGGUUUCCACAACUCGGCCCCGCAAUUCCAUUUCGUCAGGAGGAAAAACGUGUUGCUCAGCAUCGACUCGGACAAAACCGACGAGGCUGAGCUGCAAACAGCGGUCGAGAAUGCUUCUCACCUCCUCCGUGAGCACAAUGCCAGCGUCGUGGAGUACACGAGUCACGCCGAUACAAAAACAAUCCCUGGUCAUUACGUAGUAUACUGGGAAUUGUUGGUGAAAGACUCGACCAACUCCCCAGACAAUGAUACCCUAGAACAAUGUUGUUUAGCAAUGGAAGAGUCACUGAACUCAGUAUACCGGCAAGGGCGAGUGGCGGAUAACUCGAUUGGACCGCUAGAAAUCCGAGUGGUGAAAAACGGGACGUUUGAAGAGUUAAUGGAUUACGCAAUAUCAAGAGGAGCAUCCAUUAAUCAAUACAAGGUUCCAAGGUGUGUUAAUUUCACCCCAAUCUUGGAGUUGCUGGAUUCUAGGGUGGUAUCUGCACAUUUUAGCCCAGCUUUGCCACAUUGGUCCCCAGAAAGAAGUCAAUGAAAUGGGCAUAUAUAAAUAGAUAGAUUCUCUUUGUUUUUAUUAUUUUUUUAAAAUUAAAUUUAGUUUUUAUUAUUAUAUAAUUUUGUAGUAGCUUUUGAUGUAAGGUAAAAGUGUAAGUUGAGUAGGAUGAUUCAAAGGCUGUUUCUUUCAUGUAUGGAACGUAACAGGUAAGGUUUCUUUGCUUUAAUAUCCUGUCUUUGGCUUUUCUUCCCAGACAACAUUUUGGAAUUCAAGAUUAUAAAAAAAAGUUUUCCAAAAAUAAAAAUUAUAUUAAAAUUUAAAAAUUGUCAAAUGUCCUUUAAUUUUAUUAAAAAUAAAAAUUAAUUUUUAAAAAUAAAUAACAGUUUUCUAAAAAUAAUAAUCCUAUAUACAUUACAUGCCAUGAAAGUAGUUUUAGGAAGAUUACGUUUUGCUCUUUACAAAGAAAAAACAUUAUUAGGAGGAAUUACCACAAACCUAAAAAAAUUAAUUUUCAUCAAAUAUUAUGGCUGGCAAUGAAUUUUGAGGGCCUACUGCCUCAAAUCUGGUUGACAGUUUAGUGAGAUUCAAUGCCUGUUUCCCCUGUUUAAAGAGUUAGGGACGCAUUAGGUAAGUUGUGUAAAUUUAGGGAACCAAAUUCUAAAAUGGUUUAAAUUGAAUACUUAAACUUUUAGAGGGUCAAAAGUAUAAUAUUAUUUCAUUUAAUUAAAGUUAAAAAUUAAUUAAAUUAAAUUGUUUAAACUUUUUUGAUACAAUGCUUAGAAUUACGAAUAACCUCUUUUUGAUACAAUAUAAUCUUAUAUGAUUUAUUUAUUUAUUUUAAAUCUGCCUAAAUUAAUCUAUCUUUUGAAAAGUGAGAAUUCAUAAUAGAAAUGAUCAAGGACAAUGAAAAUAUAGCGGAAGCAACUUAAAUAUAAAGAAAUGAUGAGAGAACAAAAAAACCACAAGAAAGUAACGCUCAGGAAUUGUUUGAGUAAAUGCUCUAAAAUUAUAUUUACUAACUUUUAAUGGAUACGAUAAGAUCUAUGGGAUACUUAUAAAUGAGGGGGAAUGCCUCUAUAAUCCAACGAUACAAUUUAUUUUACAGCGAUGGUCGAGAUUAAAGUGAAUUUACGAUUGAGAUUCAUAAAGGAUUUACUUGAUUCCCUAAUAUUAAAAAAAUAAAAUCUUAUAAUAUUAAUUUUCAUAUUUACCAUGACAACCCUAAUUUUCCUUAAAUGUUUCAUUGGGUCACCAAUACUUCAAAUAGAUAAACUUCUCCAUAAUCAAAUAGUAUUAUUUUCAAAAUUUCAAGUGUGACAAGUGCCACAUGCAUGAUGAACCCGCCAUUUGAGAUGGUAGGAUUACUUUUUGAGAAAAGAAAAUCUAUCAUAUUUUUUAAAUAAUUUUAAAAUUACAACAUCUUUCUAGAUAUUUUUUAAAAUAUAAUAUUUUUAUACAAUAAAAUUUUAAAAAUAACAAAAUUUAGCUAAAUUGUCAUGUGUCAACUUCCCGUGUAAUUGCCUGACAGUCUCACAUGAAGUUGUCAUGUGUCAAUUCAACCUUUUUUUUUAAUAUAAAGUGUGACACGUGUCACAUGCAUAGUGAACCUGUCAAUUGUCAUGAUAUUUUGGUCUAAUAUACAAUUUUAUACAUAAACUUUGGUUUUGUGCAAUUUUAUAAAUUUUGAUUUUAUCCAAUUCUCACAAAUUAUUAACAUAAUUAAUGAUAUAACAUCAUUUUAUGUUUAUAUAUUACAUAUAUGUAUAAUUAUAUUUAUCCAAUAUAAAAAUAAAUUGAUGUACUUAUUUCCUUAAAUGCGUAUGGUUUAGCCUAAAUUAAAGUUUCAUGUAGAUAAUUACACUAAAUUAAAGUUCAUGUAUCAAAUUAUACAUUUAAUCAAAGUUCAUGUAUAAUUUUAAGAUUUAUCUCUUAUAUUUAUCAUAAAUAUGAUUGUACUUGUCCACAUAAAGUUUCAAAUUGAUCUGAUACCUUUCUCAUAUUGAUAGAUAAUUGUUGGACAUUUUUAAAUUACUCAAAACUCAACGUGCAUGUAUUAUUAAAAAAAACCCAUCAAGAUGCAUGACCUAUGUGAAUAAAAUAUGAAAUAUGAUCGUUGGAUUAUUAAACUGUUAGUUGGACAAAUAUUAUCUAAAUGUGAAAAAUUAUUUGGGUUUUACAUUAGGGUAAUAAAUCACUUGUUGAUACAAGGAGCAAGUUAUGGUGGUUUGUGAUAGUUUUCUCAAUGGGUGAAAAGUCGUAAGAAGGUUGAGGUGAUUAGAAUUUGGAUGCCUGGGGAAAGAUAGAAGAGGAGAGGAGAAAGAGAGUUGAGAGUGUAAGAAGAAAAAAUGCCUCAACCUUAUUCCUGAUUCCAAUAAGCCUUUUAGGGGUUGCUCCGAAUAAUUUCUAAGGUGCCACAUGCCAACCAAAUAUUUGUUUUGAACUUAUUGAAAUUUAGUUAACCUACUACUACAUUGUCAUCCUAGGUAUGACUAUCAUGUCUAGGGAACAAAUAUAUAUGAUAUUUGAGCGGUAGGCAUUCUAUCCAUGUUAGGUGUGUGGUUCCAUUGAUCAGGUCUUGUGAGGUUUUGUGCUCCCAAGAUUUCGGGCUUACUGGUGUCUUAGCUUGCAAAGUGUUCUCUUCAAUCAAAAGUAUUGACUUGCAAGAUUUGCUCACUUGGUGUAAGUAAUAACACUUUUAUAAGGUUAGCAUUUGAUACAUUUCUAGUGAAAUGUUUUAACUUUAUAGCAAGGCUUCAAAUAUUGCCAAAUGUCCUUCUUUAGUACUUUUUUUUUAUUUACUUCUUAUUAUUUAUUAAAUAGAACACCGUAUAUAAUCUUUUAAAACUUGUUUGUGGAGUCUAAAAAUUUUAUUGACUGUGUAUCAAGUUUUUUUUUUUUAUAUAUACAAGAAAAAUCCACUUACAUUAUUGUAAACUCAAAUUGUUUACAUGCUUUCGUGACUUUUUGUAGGAUUAAUAUUUUUAGAAUCCAAUUGUCAUAUUUCUUGUUCUAUUUAUAUAAUUAUCUAUGUCAAGUUUUAAGUAUAUUAAAAAUGUCUAGCUAUUUAUUUUAUGUAAAAAAUUCAAUCAUUAUAGAUAAAGACAAUAUUUUGAAUCAAAUGCUAGAUAUAUUGGAGCUAUCGAAAAUUUACUUGCUUGAAAAACACAAUUAUAUUAAUAAAUUAAACUGUAGAUUAUUAAAAUAUUUAUCAUACAAAAAAGUUAUAGAAGUCUAUAAAACUAUUUGAGUUUUACAUCAUCGUUGGUGAAUCCCUCUCAAUUGUGAAAUAACAAAAAGAAAAAUUUUUCUUUUUUACAAAGUAAACUAUAUUAUUACGAUAGUAUUUUGAUUUUCUUUUUUUUUAUACUCAUAAAUUAAAGUGCUAAAACAUGUUAUUCUCUUAUUUAUGAGUUGGAUAUUUACAUCAAUUCCAGAGACGGGAAAAAGCACACAUUUUUUUUAUCAUAUUAAAUAAAAAGGAAACGAGAGAAAUAAGCCACGUCAUCUAGGUAAUGACAUAAUGCAAGUAUGAUGACACCGUGUUACGUUACCUACAUUUUUCGUUUCUAUUUUCCAUCCACUCAAUAAUAGGUGGCUGCCGUCGCUACACGAGGGAAAAGGGAAGACAAAAGAAAAAACCCUAAUUGGCGGAGAAAGAACGACGGAGAGGAAGAGCCGCGGUGGCAGAAAUUAAAACUAUAUGGCCGCCCCUCUUUCCUCUCAUUUCCGUCCCCUUUGCUUCUCUUCCCAAUCAUGUUCGAUUCCAAAGCCCAAUCUCUUUCCUUCCUCUCUCUCCUUCCCUCCUCUUCGCUCCCUCUCCCCUUCGAACGCUAAAAAAUUCUCCAAAUCCCCUCUCCUCGCUUUCUCUUCCUCUAAUUUCGAUGCCUCUCAUUUCAAUGAUGGCUUCGGUCCCAAUCCUACCCCAUCUAAGGUAAGCUUUUCAGAACCAGUUUCAGUUUGGUUUAAUUAGGCCCUAGUCCCUUUACUCUUCGGACUUUUAAAAUUGAGUUCCUCUCUGUUCUUAUUUUAGGAAUUUAGUCCUCUACUUGGCUGAUUUGAAAAUUAAACUCCAAUUGAUGACAUUGGUAAUGGGUUUUCGUUAAAUUUGAAUAUGUUAUAUUUUAAUAUUCAAAAUUUUGGCUUAAACAAUUAAAGUUGAAUUGAAAAGACAUAGUAACCAAUUGAAUAUUUGGACUGAGUUCGAAUCUUGAAGUCAUCUGGGAAGCUUGAUUAGAUUAGACUUAGAGAAUAAAAUUGAUGAGGACGCGUAUGAUUAUAAAAAAAAAUGAUAGCACAGUCAAAUUUAACAGAAAUCCCUUAAUAGUGUUAUGAGUUGGACUUUAAUUUUUCAAUAAGAGAAGUUGAGGGUUAAAUUCCUGGAAUUAAAUGCAGAGGACUAAAUUUCAAAUAUACUAAGAGUACAGGGACUGGGACAUAAUCAGAUCUUUCAAUUUUGGAAAGUUACCCUUUUUUUUAUAGUUUGCUAAAUUUAGAUUGGGUUUUCUCAUUUCUGGUUUAAAAAUUGACUUUUAGCAAUGUUCUUUCAGAAAUCUGUCCUUACCAAUCUGAUACAGGAGAUUGAACCACUGGAUGUUAGCCUUAUUCAAAAAGAUGUACCCCCCACAACUGUGGAUGCCAUGAAAAGGACUAUCUCGGGAAUGUUGGGUUUACUUCCAUCUGAUAGGUUUCAAGUCUUUAUCGAGGCACUAUGGGAACCUCUCUCCAAAUUGUUGGUUUCUUCUAUGAUGACUGGGUAAUGUUCAUAUGUUCUGCAUAAGGUGCUCCAUGUUACUAGAUGUUGCUAUAGUUCUGUUGGUUGCUAAGAGGACGAAACCUUGGCUAGGGCCUAUAAGUUCCUCUGCCUGUUGUAGUUUCAAUACUUGUUGGCUAUGUUAAUAGUAAUCAGGUGUGUCAAAUAUGGGUAUGUGCUGAAUGCUGGUAUAUUCAUUGUUGAGAAGUUUUUCCAUGUAUUUGGAGGGUCAUUGGUGUCACAUACAAUAUACUUUAAGAAAAGUUAAAACUUGGAGCAGCAUAGGUUGUUAGACAUAACCUUUGGAGCUUUGCAUAUUGACCACAGUAUAUUUUUUAUUCACCCCUCUUUUGGGCAGAAAAUUUUGAUAUCAUAUUAGCAUUUGUUUCGGAGAAGUGCCAAAUCUUAAGCUCAUUUAGAUCAUGCCAAAAUUGGCUCAAUAUAUAUUUGUUUGGCACCACUGGAACUUAAAAGCUGAAUCCUGACGGUGUUUUUAUCUCCUCCGUGCAUACAUUUCUGAUUUACAUCCCAUCUCUUAAUGUGGUACAAUCACUUUAACAUGUGAAUCUUAAGAAUAUUUGUUUUUAAUAUUUAUACUAAGAUCAUAAGUUUAAUUGUUUGAUGUACCAUGAGGCAUGCAGAGUAGCAUUUACCUCCAAUAUAGAUGUCUGUCAGAUAUUGGGAUUAUCAGGAAUAAUAGUUCUUCUUUUGAAUUGCAGUUAUACAUUGAGAAAUGCUGAAUAUAGGCUUUGCCUUGAACGGAACCUUGGUUGUGAAGGAGAUUUGGAAAAUCAAACUUCAGAAAAGGCAAACUUCGAUUUACAAGAGAUGUUAUUGGACAGUACAAAAAUAAAUGAAUUUUCAGAGAAAAAUGAUUUGUCCUCUGAAUCUGAAAAAACCAUUGAAGACCAAUUUGAAGAUAUUGACUUUCAAGGCCUGGGUGAAAUGCCCCUGGAAAAUCGUAAAUACAUUCUUCAUUUGAAGGCUCGACUAACUUCAGUGAAAAAGGUAUGCUACAGCAUAUUGAGGAGCCUCCCAUGGUCUGUUUUUUUCCUGUAAAUUGAACUGUUCAACUUGAUGCAUUGCCUAGAAAGUUACCUUUUAUGUUUUAUGUGUGAGUUUGCUUAAUUAGAGACACAUCAUAGUUUGCUUCAGUUAAAAGUACUCAAAAGAUGCUAGGAAGGCCUAAAAGAUGCCAUUGCCUCUUAUUGGCUGUGCCCUAAACAAAGUGAACCCUGUCUGACCCUUUUUAUAUGGUAUCCGUAUUUCUGAUGCCUAGUAAACAUUCUCCCUUGAAAGCCUAUGUUUUUCAUUUGAGAUAGGAUAUUAGGCUAACUUAUACAGUCCAAAUUGUUUGUAAUAGCACUAUGGAAGAAUUUAGACAUGCCAACCUGAUUAACUGAAUAGAUCACUCAAUGGAAACAUACAAGGGAACAGAAAUUUAAGAUAUUAAAUAUAUCUUUCUUCAUAAUUUUAUCUUUUGAGAGUUAACCCCCUUGGAAGUAUUGGUAGGUGAAUUCUGGCUUACCGAAAUCUACAUUGCAUGAGUGGCAAUUCCCAUGGUUGGUCAGGAUCUGAUAUUAACGGUUGCUUCAUACAUCCAUGCUAUGUUAGAACGUUGAACCUUCUCAGAUUGUUGAAUAUCUCAUUUUCUUUUUCAUCUGUCUUUACAUAUAUAUUUGUUUCGCAGUUUCUUCAUAUCCUUUUCUGCAAAUUGGUGGGGUACAUGCUCAUGUUUCCAUUUUUUGCUCUAUUGAAGGAACUUCAUGAAAUAAAGAGGAAAAAUGCUGCUCUACAAAUGCAACAGUUUGUUGGGGAAGAAAAGAAUGAUUUACUUGACUACUUAAGAUCACUUCAACCAGAAAAGGUUAUCCUUGGUCUCAAAACCCUCUAAAGCAAAUUAAUCUAGUAAUAUCCCAUAAACACGAUGCUACGGGUUUGAUAUCUGAAAGGAAAUACUAUUUGAUUUUUUUGCUUUUUUCUCCAUUCACAUGAAGGCAAGAUUGAACUAAUUAAAAGGAGUUUUUUGCAAUUUCACGAUUUGUGCCCCCCCCCUCUUCUUUCCCCUCAGGUUGUAUAGGAAGGAGGGUUAGCUUUUGGCUUGAAGGGGUACAUCUGCUCAGUGCAAAUUGCUAGAUAUAGCAAUAUAAAUUGAUAUUUCUAUACCAGUAAUGCUUAAUCUGUCACAUUAAACUGUUUCUUUAGCAGUGAAUUUCAGUAAAAAUUUAUAUUGCUGUGGCUAAUAAGGUUGUAACAUAAUUUCAGGUAGCUGAACUUUCUGAACCAACAUCUCCUGAACUGAAGGAAACAAUCCAUUCAGUAGUCCAUGGUCUCCUUGCCACUCUUUCUCCGAGGAUGCAUUCCAAGGUUCCUCCUUUGUCAGAGAACACCACAACUGGAACUGUAAACAUUGGGAGUGAAGACUGUGCAGAACUUGUUGAGAAUACUUCUCUUCAAUUCCAGCCCUUCAUUUCAUUAACGCGGGACUAUCUUGCUCGUCUUCUUUUCUGGUUAGUCCACCUCCCCCCCGCCUUUUCAAUCACACACUCUUCUCAUUUCUUUUAGAUCACUUUGACCCAAGAAGCUUAUGUAUAAUUAAAAAAAUAUAAAAUAAAAUGAAAUCUGGUUUUUCAGAAGUUUAACUGGAUAUCUGCAUUUCUAUGUACUUAUUUGCUCACCAUAUGGUACAAUCCUGUUUAAAUUUGAACGUAUUAUUUGUGUUUGACCACUACACUUUGUAAGAAAGAUGACCGAAUGGAGAUCUGAGAGAUUUUCUUGUGUUUAAACUUCGAAUGAGCUUCAGUCACUCCGUCUAAGAUUCAAAGAAUUUGUCUGAACCCCAUCACCAUAUUAUAAUAUAGCUGAGUUCUAAUAUUCUCAUAUCUGUCCUGAAGGUGCAUGCUGCUGGGGCACUACCUUAGAGGCCUCGAGUAUCGGUUGGAGCUAAUGGAGCUUCUGUCAUUGACAAGCAGUCCCGGCAAUAAUAGUUAUGGUGAUGAGCAGGUUGUUUAGAGUUGCUAUCUGAUUCCAGUGCUACCAUCUGUAUAUAUGUGUGUAAAUCGGCAUAUCGACUAACUUCUUUUACAGGAAGAGGUAAGAAUCGGACAAGAUUAGGCCCUUCACUCUCUUGCAGAUGGCGAAUUGUUUUUAUGUAUAAAAACGAUACAUUGUUUUUUGUCAAUGUCGAGUUUAGCGUUGGUAUGUUAAUGUUUUUUACCCAGAAAUGGAGAAACCUUGUUGAUAAUGCUCAUUAUUAGUUGCAUUAAGGUUUGCUUUGAGCCAUCUUGAAUGUCAUUGUUGCAAGCCUAAACUAAUAAAAAGGCAGUUUAACUGUCGCUUUAUAUUAGCCCUUAAUUAUUUCUUCAGUGUCAACUUUCAAAUUUUAGUGAAAAUCUUCUUCUUUGGAAAAAAAAUUUGACCGAACUGUUAAAAUUUUAAUGGUACUACGUCUUUAAAAAUUUUAACGUUUUGAAAAUUUUUAUUAAUUUUAUCAUGUGUGGACCGCCAAUUACUUUCCCGAAGAAAAAUAAUUUAAUUAAAAUUUGAAUUUUGAUGGUGAAAAUGAUAAAAAUGAAAGAAUAAGUGUUAAAUUUGUGAUUAUGCUAUGAAGAAGCCCUCAUAUAUUUUGUGCACUUUUUUCUUUUAAUUUGUAUUCUAAAUAAAAAUAUUUACGAUUUCCAUGAUUGGAUUGAGAUUUCUAAAUAAAAAAAAUAGGACUUAAUUUUUAAUUUUUUAAGUGUAUGACUCAAAUCUCAAAUUUUGUCAAAGUACAAGUACUAACAAUAUAUUUUAACCUAAUUUAAAAUAAUCUAAUGAUAACAAUUAAUUAGAAAGUACCUUUAAUUCUUUGUAUUUUGAUAGACGAGUUAACUAUAAUAAAUUAAUUAACAUAAUAUUAAAAACAAAUAAGACUUUUGUUUUAUAAAAGUAUAAACUUAUUUUAUAUAUUUUUAAUUUCAAUAUUUCUUUCAUUAAAUAAAAAUUUGAAGUUAAUAUAUAAAUUUGAAAAGAUUAACUUACUUUUAACUAUUAAAAUAAAAUAUUUGAAAGGAUAUUUUUCUUGUUAAAAUUUAUUCUGAAAUUAUCAAAAUUAACACUAGAGGUCAAAUUUUAAUUAGAAGAAUAAAAAUAAUAAUAAAUUUAAAUAAAAUUUAAAGUUUAGUUGCAAAAUUUAAUAACAUAAAAAUUGAUUGGCAAAAUGAUUUAUAUUCCUAAAGUAUGAUAGCAAACAUCAAUUAAAAUAAAGUAUAGUGACAAGUUUCAAUAUUAAUUAAUAAUGUGGUAACAAUUUUACACUUUAAAUUAACUUUUAAAACUUUUAUUAAAUAGAGCGGAUUUGAACUAUGUUAUCUCAUCUCAAUUCUUAAUAUUAUAUAAAAAAUUUAUAAUUAAAUAAGCUUGACUUUUGAAUAUUUACUUAAAUAAACCCUUAAGAUAAAUCAAUCUUCCAAAGUAAGGGCUUACCAAGAGGAUUAGGGUUUAUUUAGGAGUAAAAAUAGAAUAGAGCUUAUUCAAUAAAACAUUAUAUAUCAGUUUUUUUCUUUAUCUAAACCAAAGAUUAGUCUAAUUUAUCUAAUAUUGGAAAGGGUUUGGAAAAAAAAUAGAGAAAUUAAGACCCAUUUUAAAGUGGGUUGGAUUUUGAUUUCAAGCCAUGAAAGAUUCAAAAUUGUUAUAUAUAUUUUGAGUAUUUUUCAGAUUUUUUUACUGUUUAAGUUCGGGAUUCGUGAAUGUUUCUCCUAAUAAUGUCAUCUUUAAAGUUAAAAUUUGUGUUCUCCUUUUGAAAAUACAAUGCGCCUUACUAUUACACCAAACCACUUGUUGGUAGUUAUAUCUAUUCUUUAAUCACGUAAAUUAUGGUUUUAUAUAAUAUAAAGAUUAAAUAUAUAAUAUCAAAGCGUAAAUGUUAAAAAAAUAUGAUGAUUUGCUUAUGUUUAGAUCCAUUUAUGGGUUGGGUCGAUGCAAAAUAUUAGGCUCAAAUUAUUGAUUCGGGUUCAGCUCAACGAGAAAAAUGGGCCUAAAAUUCUGCCCAAGCUUGACCCUGAUUAAAAAUGCUAAAUUGAGCUCGACCCGGUCCACUUGUAUUAAUUUUUUUAGAUUAAUAUUUUUAUAUAAAAAUAAAUUUAAAAAUAUAAUACAUCGUAUACUAAAUAUAUUAAAAUAAAUGUUUUCCGACAAAUUAAAAAUACAUUAAAAAAUAUUUAUACUUAAAUAGCGUUAAAAUAGUUGCAGCAAGCAAAUGCCUCUUAAAUUGAAGCAAAAUUAACAAUAAAGCAAAAUUAACAAUAAAAUAAGAGUUAUACAAUAUCCAAACAAUAACAAUAAAAUCGUAGCAAUAUAAUAGCGAAAUUGUAGCAAAUAAGCAACGAAAUGACAACAAAAAAGAAAGUUUAGGCUAAUUCGGGUUGAGCUGAGUCGGGCCCAGGUAAAAAAUCUUACCCAAGGCCUAGCCCUUUUAGAAAACGAACCUUAUUUUUUUUAUCUAAGCCUAUUUUUUCGGGCCUAUAUUUUUACUCAAACCCUCCCACUUUUGGGAUAGGCAUUUAAGCCUGGACGGGUGACCCAACUCAUGAUUAGGUCUACUAAUUAAUUGAAGACUUCUUUAUAAAAAAAUUAAAAAUAAUAUAUAUUUUAUAAAGAUGUUGAUAUAGUGACAAAUAACUUGUUGGCAUGAACAACGAUUCGAACGUUAGACCUGAGGUCAAUUGUAAACUUAAUACAAAUCUUUUACCACUACACUAAUGACUUAAUUGAUGCACUUGAGAAUAAAUAUUAAAUUUAUAUUUAGAAUUGAAUUGUAAUUCUUACCUAAUUGGGCUUGAUUAGUGACCAUGGGCCUUUUCUUCACCAAUGUUAAUCUAAGACUACAAAAACCAUAGUAACGGAGAUAAUUAUUUGUGGGUUGAGGUGCUUUUAGAAAAUGAAGUAUUGACAAAUAAAAAACAAGCAGGUUUAGAUUAUUUAUCUGUAAAUAUAAAUAAUAUUUGGUAACAUUAAAAUUCAUAUUUUAAUUCAAUGGAGUUUACAUAAAUACACGUAAUAUCAUAAAUAAAUUCUAUGAUUCAUGUUAAUAAUAUUUAAGUAUGGGAUGACAAAAUUUAUGUUAUUUGAUGGAUUUUUAUCUGAAUAUAGAAAUAUUUAUAUAUUUUUUAUCUUGAGCAGCAAAGACAAGAUGUAAUAUGUAAUUAUAUAUUAUACAAUAAAUUUAAAAAAUAUUUAAGUUAGAUAUUCAUAGAUUAUCUUUUUACGUUUAUAUGUUAACUACACAUUGACCUUAUUAGAAAUUAGAAACUUCAUCGCACAUGUAUGUGUCACGUGAUUAGAAUUAGGGAAGGAUUUUACUCCAAGGGGGAUAAAACUUCUAAAUCCGAACAACUUUUUUUUAAUGUAAAAAAGUAAAUUCUUCUCGGAUCCACAUUAAGGCAAUAACGUAAAAGAACUUUACAAAUUGCCUUCGCCAAAGCUAACGACGCGGUGUCCUUCACAUGAACCAAAUCAAAGAAUCGUUCACGUAUAAACCCUUCUUUAUCAACAAACCGUAAUAAAAUUGCCAUUUUUUUUCUUUGACUCAUCAUGAGUUUCAUCCACUAUAAUGCAGAACUUUGAAUCUCCAAUCUCUUCCCGAAUGAAUCCCUGGAUUUUACUCGCCAAAAUAGAAAGAAUGUCUUUUUGAACAUUCGGACUCACAUACUAUGCAUUUUGAGGGGCAUUUUCAAAGACAAUUGCUCCCACAUCUUCAUUAUAAGAAGCCAAAAGUUUUAUUAGUUCAAGAAAGUUACCUCGAUUUCUUGAAUCUUGUGUUUCAUUGCGUCCCUUAAAGGCAUAACCUUGAAAUAUAAGCCACUUGAUAGCAUCUAUUGAUACCUUGAGCUGUAGCCGAUUUCUUGCAAUUUGUUCAGAAUUUUGUUUCUCAAUAAUCCUUCCAAUAAUUUGCAAGGAAUUUUGAAGAUCAAGAUAAAAUUUCAUUGCAUUCUUAUUUAAAUAAUUUUUUGCAUCCUUACCCACAUGAGUAAUAAAAGGACAUUUAGAUCUUUCAUUGACCUUCUUCCACGAUCAAAAUCCUCGGCUUGUAAAAGUAUUUCCAUGACGCCCAAAUAACUUGUUGAAGAGAAACAAGGAAGGCAAUAUGCGGCAUUCUCGAGCCAAUUUGGGAAAACUUGUACCAAGAUGGAAGAAAUUGACGUCCGUUCUUGUUAAUAUACUGAGGAGAUGUUGGAGCCUCACUUGGAGGAAUCAGUUGAUAUGACACAAACGUAAUGUAAGCUUGACGAACUUCAUCCUGUUGAUUUGGAAGGUAAUCCCAAAUAGAUUUUCAUAGUCCCAGAUUAUGCUCUAAAGAAAAAACAUCAAACUUCUUUGUUUCUACUCUUGGCACCUUACAAGGACGUUUAAGAACUUGAGAAGACCCGAUAUCUUGUUCAGGAGCUUGGGAAGACUCAAUAUGCCGUUCAAGAUCUUGGGAUUAAGAAGACUUGAUAUCUCGUUCAGGAGCUUAGGAAGACUCAAUAUUGCGUUUAGGAGCUUAGGAUUAAGAAGGCCUGAUAUCUCAUUCAAAAGUUUGGAAAGAUCUGAUAUUUGAUUUUUCUCCACUAAUAACAGAAGGUUGAGGAACUGAAUGAUCAUUAUUGCUUUCUGACAUUUUUUCCUUGAAAAAAGAUUCUAUCUUUUAGUUGACCAUAAUUUAAUAGAAAAACCUAAAGAUUGUAAUAAUAUAUUAAACAAAAACAUAUUAUGAAAAAGAAAAAAAUAAUUCAAAUAAAUAAAAAACAUAAUUUAUGAAAAAAUAUUUACCUAAAGGUCUUUUGUGCAAUGAGCCAAAAGGAAGAUAAUUUGUAUUUUUUUACUCUGUACUCUCAGUCUCGGCAUCAAACUCGUUUCUUUUUCUCUCGGUAAUGUCAGUACCUUACCAAAGGAAGAUAAUUCCUUAGCAAGACAUACAAAUCAAAAUACAAGAAAGUCACUAACAUAAUAUGUACGGGUAUGGGCCAAAUCAAUUAAUUAUGGAAUUUAGCUUUAAAGUCCAUAUUGGGCCUUUAAGUUUAAUGUUUCAAGGCCCAUCAUACAUUAAUAUUUGAUUAUUAUUAAAGUUAUAUAAUUAAAAACUGAAAAAUACUUUGUUAAUAUAAAUAAUAACCUUAUGGCUUAAGGGGGCUAAUUAUAUAAAAUACAAUUUAGCUAAGAGGGCGAAUGUUAUACAAUGUGGACACAAAAUCUAAAAUACAUUAUAAUUUAUAUAUAAAAUUCAAAAAUUUAAAAAUUCCAAAGGGACAACUGCGCCUCCUGGAUCCAUCAUUGGUUAGAACUUUAAUCUAGAAAACUAUGUGACCUUAGGCAAUUUUUUGGGUUCAAAUCUUGCCUAAGUUAACCUACUCUCGGAAAAUGAGAAUUCUUAUAGAAAUUCUCUAAGGCACCGAAGCAAAUUGGAAGCAAACUCGAAAGAUAAAAAAAAGCUACAAACGAACAAAAAGUCAUAGAAAAAUACCAUACACCAAGUGUUUGAGUAAAUACUCUCAAAAGAAAUCUAUUACUUUGAAGGUUUAUAACUGAAUGAUUACAAAUGAGGAGGAAUACAUUUAUUUAUAGUUAAGCUCCCCCCAAAUCCAACAGUACAGAUUAAGUUACAUCUGCAAUCGAUAUUAGAGCCUAUCUACAAUAUGAGAGUCUUAAGGAAUUUAAACUCUAUACAUCUUUAUCCUUUAGGAUUUACAUUAGUUACCUUGGUAACUCCAGUUUUACUGGAGUGUUUCGUAGGGCCACCAAGGCUUCAAGUAAAUGGUUUUGUCCAUGGGUUCCACAAAUUGGGGCAGUUCAAGUGGGUCAAAUGAGCCCCAUAUAAUAAGUUGACCUCUAUGAGAAGUUCUAUGCACGGUGGUCAUAGGCUUCGAUUCGCAGCCUGUGACAUUUUGCCCCACAUAUUCUCGCGAUGGCCUCAUCAAGUCCUCGGAAUGACACUGCUUUGACUAAUCUCAGAACGGUUUUGAUGCCUAAGCUAAUUCCCAACUACUGUUUUUGUUAGGUAGUUUCACCUCUUGGAACAUUUGACUUAGCUUAUGCCUCCAUCGUUGUCUAACCGACACUAUAUUUAUCUCUUGUACAUCUCAUUCAUAAGAGGCCACCGCUCGUACUUGUACCCAUUGUGACUUGUUUUGAUCGAGAUUCUCUUGAUUCAUACAAAUAGGCUUAAGCAUGCCUACUGAUCUGUCGUAAUUUGAUAUAUCAAAUUAGGCUCUCCAAUACACUUGAAGAGCUUAUUAUUAAGCAAUUUAAGUGCCUUUUAUAUGUUUUUGUCAAUUUUUAGCUUUAAGCAUUAAUAAACAUUUUUACUUAGUUUUAUACCUUUUUUGAGACCCAAAUUGGCCAAAUGUUGCCAAGGGGAAACUAAGGAUGUGAUUGAGUUGGUGUAAGGAGACGAUAAAGUCUCAAACUCAAGAAUAACAUCAUUCAGAGUGGGUAUCGCGGCACUGAUGCUAUGGAAGUCAUGAUAUCCCUGAAGGUGCUGAAAUAAAGAAAAUUGAGUCCAAUUUUAGUGGUAUCAUGACACUGAGACCUUUAAGACCUCAAUUUAGCCACUAUGUUGGGAUCGCGACAUUAAGGAAUAGGUAUCGUGACACCGAGUCCCCUAAGACCUCAAUUUAGCCACUAUUUUGAGUUUUGCAACACUGAAGCUUAUGUGUCACCAUACCACUACUUGAAGGGGAAAUUUUAUUGUAGGGGUCGUUUUUGUCCAACACCAACCCAAUCAAAAUAUAGCAUCUAGAGGUAUUUUGGUCCAAAAUUUUGGAUUGUAAUAAAAUGUUAAAAGCCACUUGUGGCUGAGAACAAAAAGGGGUUGCUGUCUUUACCUUUUCUUUCAUUAUUUUAGAUUUCUAGUUAGCUUCUUCUUUAUUUUCUUAUGGUUUAGUUAAAGCUUUCUGGUUUUAGUUGUUUUAGUUGUUAAGUUAGUUAGUAUUUACUGUACCUUGGUCUUAAUUGUACUUUGGUGCUCAAUUUUUUUUUGUAUUUUCAUUUUAAUCCAUAACAUUUAAUAUAGCUCAACUCCAAUUUUCUUUCUUAGAUAAAAAUCUGAACUUUAGUGUUAAUUUUCAUCACCACUGUUGCCAUCUUUAUCUUCUUCAAACAACUAUAAAAAAAAACUCUAAGCUUUCUUUAACCCUCUUUUUGUACUUAUUUAAAUGUAUGCUUUUAAUUUAUGUUAGGUUGUUGCUUGUAUGGAAAAGAUGUUGAGUAACUAAAUCUAUGGUGGUUGGUUGAUUGAAAUGUUGCUUGAUUAGUUUUUGCUAUAGGGACUAAAUCGUAAAAACUAGACUAAAUCGAAUAAACUUCAAAACUUAAAAUUGACGCCUCUUUGGUAAAACAUAGAUAGGUGAGUCCGAGAGAUCUUAUUGAGCACCAAUUUGGUUGUCUCGAGUUAGUUUGGUGAGGUUGAGAGAUAAACCAAACUCAACCAUCUAAUUUGGUAAAAUGGUGACGAAGAGGUAAAAUUGAGUCAAUAGAAUUUUAGGCAUUUUAGAUCCAUAAUCCAAAGACUAGUUAGCAACAUAAAAGUCAUCCAAUCAUUAUUUUUUAUUGAAUUGUUAUUUACUUAGUUUUGUCUAUUUUACAAUUUGGUCAUUUUUAGUGUUAGGUAAUUAAUUAUCAUAAUUAAAUUCAAUUAUGAAUUGUUGUAAUAUAAGACUUAGAGAGUAGUUAGUUAGACUUCUUGAUUCCAUGUUGGUUGAGUAGGAAUCACUUAAUCCCUAAAUUCCCUUGGGUUCAAUCCUUAGAAUACUUGAGUGCUCCAUUGUAACACUACAAAUAUUACAACUCAACCUGUUACACUUGCAGUAUACCACCAUAUUAUAAUUGUUUUUGUGUUGAUUCAUAGCCUUGGUGCACGUACACCGAGGUGUGAUCACCUACAUUGAACAUCGAGUUCACCUUGAGUCUUGCCGCUAACUCUGAUUUGUAAGUUCCUCAGCUUACCCCCUUCAAAACUCUGAAAGAGCCCCAGUGUCUUUGCCAAGCCAAUAAUAAGUCAUAAUGUAAAACACUAGAUAUGUGUUUGAGAUAUUCAUCGCUCAUAGCAUUUACUCUUUCUAACUGCCUAGUCUGUAUCACUACUUUUCCUACAAAAUCUGAUGUACAACCCACCUCUCUCAUAGGUGGUAGCCCCACUAAUAUCUCAACAGGCUUUAUAUUGGUAUUUUGCCCCUUUAACAUUUCUAAGGGGGUCUUUGUAAUACUAUGAUCUACCAAGUCAAUAUCCCCACCACAUGGAGCAUCCUUGGCUAGCUGAAUUGUCAACAAUACAUUGGUUCCACCCCUCAUGUCUCGACUCGUCGACAUAACACAUUGCUUUUGUUGAGUAUCCAAGAUGCAAAUGCAUUUGAAAAAAGAAAUAAAAAAAGCAUCAAUCUUGUCAAGAAAAUUCAAGCCAAGCACGAAGUUGUAAUAAUCUAAGUAAAUUACCUCAGAUUCUUUUUUGUCUUUCCAUUGACCGAUCUAUAAAUCAACUUCUUGUGCUACCUCCACAGUUGGGACAUCUUUGGAAUUAACAAUCUUGAUCUUCUUGGUCAAUUUGCUAACUGAGAGACCAAGUUUACCCACGAUUUUCUCUGAAAUGAACAGAUCAGAUGCCCCUGUAUCGAUAAGAGCACUCCUCCUUUGAGCUGCGAUGUUGAUGUCUACAAACAUCAACCUUUUUUUCUUGCGAUUCUUCAUUGCAUUAGCAAAAUUGAGUAUAAUUUAUCCAAGCUUCAAUAACCUUUCCUCCUCAGGCUCCUCUUCAACUUUUUUACUGAUCGUGGACAGUUUGGAUCGCUCUAGACAAUCCUGCCUCCUAUGCUGACUACUACAUAAGAAGCAUUUCGCUAGUUUCUUUUCACUCUCUUUGUACCUCUUGGCUUCGACACUAUGCAUGAUCGAACCAAACCUCAUGGGUGUUUUUUUUGGCUCAUAAUCCUUUUUUAUGGUAGAAAACACUAAUCAUUUUUUAUAGUCCCUUACCAUAUGCGUACUGCCACAUAAGAAGCAUUUUAUCUCACUCUUCUUUUUGUUUGUGUUGUUGGGUUUUUGUUUCCCAUUUCAUGAUUUCCUAUUUCCACCAUUACCGUUGCUAUAUUCAACUUGUCUUUUUUUUAUAUCCCGUACCAUUGACUUUUUCAUUGGGCUUGAAAAAAUCGAACUUGUCUUUCUUCGAAACAAACUCAAUUAAGGACGCUGCCACAAUCAUGGCUUUGAACAGUUCUUGGACCCCUUGACAUUCCGAUUCUUGUUUCACCCAUGGCUUCAACCCACCAUAAAAUAGAAGAAUGCUUCUUUUUCAUUUAGGUCGGAGAUUUGAAGCAUCAAUUCAUUAAAGUCUCUGACAUACUACCGAAUAGCACCUUGUUGUGUAAGCCGGCGCAACUUAACUCGAGCCUUCCCCCGACAUACUAUGAGUAAAAUUGCUUCUUCAAUUUUUUUAACUCCUCUCAUGUCCUAAUUACGAUACCACCUCGUCCCUCAUCUGUGGACCUACGAUGCCACCAUAAAAGAGCGAUAUCAACAAAAAAAACUGCAGUAGUGUUUACCUUAGUGGUAUCAUCAUUGAUGCCUAUUGCAUAAGAGUAUUGUUCUAUCCCCCAAAGAAUAUUGUCCAUAUUCCUUACGGUCCUCGUUCCUUUGAACUAUUUCGGCUCAGGAACAUCUAUUUUGCAUUGCUUAGGAACUAAAACCAAUAUCCUUUUUCCCAUAGUAGCUCUGCACAUAAUAAACAUUCCUUCGAACUCCUCAAUUUUUGCCAUCAUGGUUUCAAUUUCCUCAUUCAAAGCCAUAAUCGAAGCUUCGAGAACACCAUUACUCUUAGUUUGCUUCUCAGUCUGAUGACCCAUGGUGGCAUUGAGGGCUUCUUUCAACACAUCCUGAUUGGCACCAAGAGCUUCUACCACAUAGUCCCUAAGUUACACUCUCAUCAAGUCUAACUUAUCAGUACGUUCUUCAACUAUCUCGAGUGUUUUCUUCACACCACCCAUGGAUUCCUCGAGAUUGAUCACCUGACCUUCCAAAGCUGGCAUCAUAUCCGUUGAUCUGUUAUUUUCUUGGACCUCCUACAGGUCUCCAUCAGGAUAUUCUACUCAAAUACCAACUGUCACAGAGCUAGAAAUUUAAUCUAGCAAAUCGCGUAACUUUAGGCGAUUUCUUAUGUAACACCCCUAACCUAUAUCCGUCGCUAGAAUAGGAUCUCGAAGUAUUACCGAAGUUUAUCGAUCAAAUAAGCAGAAUUAUCAAACAUUUCAUAUCAUCAAAACAAGUCAUCAAAUUAAAAUUAUAAACAUGCCAAAAUCUAUCAAUUUGGCCUAGUUUAUAUCUACCUAAAACAUUAACUUAAAUUCAUAUACACAUACCAAGCUUUGGUUCAAUUUACCAUACCAUACUAUGGUUUCAAAUACAAAGACAUGUUUAUAUGUAUAAAACCAACCAAUAUUAAACUUAUAAUCUCAUUUACAAUCAAUUCACAAAACAACUAUUGUUUAGACAUCCUAGGUACAUGCUGACACAAAAGAUAGACAUCACCACAUUUGAGUUUGGGAGCAUUGUUUGAUGCUGAAUCAACAAUCAAAAUUGAAGUACCUAAUCUGCGCACAGAAAACAAAACCGUACGCUGAGUAAAACUCAGUGGUAUUUCUAUAAUCUGAAUAUUUAAAGACAAGAUAAAAUAAUAUGCAUUUUUAAUUAUAAGCACAUUUGAAUAUUUAUGACCACAUUUAUUCAUACAAUGGCAUUAGCCAUUCAAUAUUUAAUUCAUAAAUACAUCAUUUCAUACCAUUCUCGAAUCUCAUCACUUGUUAUAUAAUAGCUUUUCACAAUUUAAUAUAUAUAUCAUUUAAACAAUAAUAUUAUUCAAUCCAUAUCCAAUUCAUGAAUACGUAAUUCAUGUGUCUCAUUUUCAUGUUUUAAUUCACUAUCCCAUUUUCAUUCACAUACAAUAUCAUCCAAUAUCAAUCAUAGUAUUAUUUUAUUUAAUUACCCCUAUUAACACGACUCAGACUCGGACGGAUACAUGGAUCCAACCAACACACCAGUUUGGCACCCAGUGCCUCAUCAGAUAAAUCCAAAGUAAUAACUGCGCCUAGCGCUAUAUAAAUUUGACACCCAGUGUCUCAUUGGUUAAACCGAAGUAAAUUGGCACCCAGUGCCUCAUCGACUCGAAGUCGAAGAAAUCCCUGAACUCUUCCAAUUCUAUGGCAUGCCAUCUAUAUCCGACUCAGUCCGAUACAGUUAAUAGGAUUUAAUUUCACUUUCCGAAUACAUCCAAUAUUUAAUAUCCAAAUUUCACAUUAACACAUAUAUUCAUUUCAAUUCAAUUCAAUUCAAUCAACUUUAAAUCAAUUCAAUAAUCAAAGUGCCAUAUACUCACCUUAACCACUUACCAUAUACAUUAAUUUAAAAUACAACAAUUAACAAAUGGGUUCGGAUUAUAGAAAUACAAACUAGAAAUUUCGAGCCAUUCGAUGUUGACUUUAUCUUUGCUCUUUUUAAUCGAAGAUUCCAGUACGACGUUAGCUAUGGAAUUAAAACAAUUAAAAUUCAUUAAUACAACACAAUUCAAUUUCAUAUUGAAUAUUUAAAUUUUGACUCAAUAUUUUCAUACAAUUUUCACUUUAAACUAAGUUUAACUCCUUAUUUUCACUUAAAUCCCUAAAUUUCAAGUUUUUUACAAUUUAGUUCCUAUUAUUCAAAAUUUACAAUUUAUUCUACAAUUUAAUCCUUUUUCAUUUCUAACUUAAAAAUCUAUCAAUUUAAUCCUUAAUACUAAAAUUAUUCAACAUUAAAAACACUUAAAAACUCAAUAAUUGCUAAAAUUUCGACAUGGGUUGAGUAGUACUUAACAUCGAGAUUUCAAAAACAUAAAAAUUAUAAGAAAAAGAACUAAAUUGACUAACCAAUUGAGCUUUGAAACCUAGAAAUCCCUAAGCCUUGCAUCUUUCUUUCUCUUUUUCUUUUUCUUUCUUUCCUUUCUAUUUUCGUUUGGCUUUGGCUUUCUAUUUUUAUUUUUAUUAUAAUAUAUAUAUACUUAACUAUUAAGUAAACUUAUUUUAAUAUAAUAUGUAUUAAAUUUAUAAAUAUCUUACCUUAAUGCCGCCUUAUUAAAGAACAAUGGCAUAAUUACUUCUUUAGUCUCUUUAAUUUUUCUUUAAUCUAUAAUUCAAUUUUCACCAUAUAUGCAAUUUAGUUCUUAUACCUAAUUACUCUUAAUUCAUACAGUUUCACUUAACCAAAACCUAAUUAACUGUACAACUAGCUUCAUAAAUAUUUUUAAUAAAUAUUUACGAGUCCGAUUUAUGGUAACGAAGUCUCGGGAAUGCACUUUCUGACACCCCUUACUAUCGAGUAAUUACAUCUUCAGUUCAAAUCCUGCCCAAGUCAACCUACUCCCAAAAAAUGAGAAUUCUUCUAGAAAUUCUCUAAGGCACCGAAGCAAAGCGAAAACGAACUUGAAAGACAAAAAAAAGCUAUGAAUGAACAAAAUGCCACAGAAAAAUACUGCACACCAACUGUUUGAGUAAAUACUCUGAAAAGUAAUUUAUUACUUUGAAGGUUUACAAUUGAGUGAUUACAAUUGAGUGCUUACAAAUGAGGGGGAAGGCCUCAAUUUAUAGUUGAGCUCCUCUAACGGUACAAAUUGAGUUACAUCUAUAGUCGAGAUUAGAACCUAUCUACAAGAUGAGAAUCAUAAGGGAUUUAAACUCUAUACAUCUUUAUCCCUUAGGAUUUACAUUAAUUAUCUUGGUAACUCUAGUUUUACUAGAGUGUUUCAUAGGGCUACCAAGACUUCAGGUAGAUGAGUUUCUCCAUGGGUUCCACGAAUUGGGCUAGUUCAAGUGGGUCAAAUAAGCCUCAUUUAAUAAGUUGACCUCUAUGGGAAUGUUUUGUGCACAAUGGUCAUGAACUUUGAUCCGUGGCCUGUGACAUAUGCAUGUGGAAAUAAUGAAUUUAGAAUAUAGAUUUGUAUUUCAAAAUAACAUGCAAUAAAUAAUGAAAUUUAUGAUAAUAUAAUUUAUUUGUGUGAAAACUCUAUCUCGCCAUAUGCAUAUUUUUAUUGUUUUUUAAAUUAAAAAUAUUAAAUUACCCUUGAAUAAUAUAAUUUAUUUUAAAUACUUAAAUUUUUAUAAUUUUCCUAACUAGGUUGGUGCUUGGUUGACUCGUAACACCAACUCAAUCAAGAAUUUUAUUAAUAGUAAGUAUAGAUAUACAAUUGAUUGAGGCAAUAAAGUGUGCAUACUAAACUUGAAAUGUAUAAAUAAAUCAAAAUAAAUUUUUAGUUGAGUGGUAAAUUUAAAAUAUUUUCAACAAAAUUGGCAUGAGUUCAAAUCCCACCAUAUGCAUAUUUUAUUAUUUUUUAAAAUUAAAAGACUAAAAUACCCUCAAAUAAUAUAACUUAAUCAUUUUGUAAUUUCCCUAAUCGAGUUGAUGCUUGAUUGACUUGUAACACCAACUCAAUCAGUGAUUUUAUUAAUAGUAUAGAUAAUUAAGAAGUAUCAAAUAAAGUAGGGCCAGGGGUGAAUCCAGAAGUAUUUUUUCGAGAGGACGAGAUUGAAUUAUAAAUUUUUGAGAGAUCAAAAUAUAAAUUUAUCACGUAUUGUAAUUUCAUUAUUUUACAAAGAACUAAACAUUUUCUUUUUCAUUUUUGGAGAGCUAAAAGUACAAUUUUACCAUACAUUUACUUAUAAUUUUAUCAUUUAUGGAGGGAUUAAAUUAUAAUUUUUUUUUUCAUUUUUAGGAAUUAAGAUUCUUGCCUACCUUCCCUUGGAUUCGCCUCUCGUAGGGAGGGCCAAAGACAAUUAUAGACACAUUUAAUAUUCGUAGAGGUGAUUGUGAUUUUUAAAAUUUGACAUCUAUGACGAAACUAGACAAAAAUAGGACGAAAUGAAACUAUGAUGAAUUUAACAAUAUGUAAAAUUAUAACAUGAAUAUUGACAGAGUGUUGUUGAAUAAUAAAUUAAUAAAAGUACUUUUAAAGCAUGAUAUUGAUAUUUAUGGGGUUACUUGACCCUCUUUUAAUCGAUGCUUAUGAAUUAAGGAAUAUACUCUGUCUGUGAAAAAAGCAAAAAGAGAGGUUUUAGGAUCUAUGCGCACCGUUUUGUACCACAUAUUUUAUUUUACAGUGUGGUCCUUCAUAAUUCAUUGAUUCAUAAUAUGAAAAAACAAUCAUUAAACUAACCACUUAAGCCUAUCAACAACCUCGAUUGACUUUAAUAAUUAUAACUAAAAUAAAAUUUUAACUAGGUUAAAUAUGUUCUAAUUCCCUUACUCGUUCUAUAUUUGUAAUUGAGUCCCUCUAUUUAAAAAUACAAUUUUAAUUGUUAAUACCAUUAAAAUUCUUCUACUAAAUUCAAGUCUAUUACAUGUCAUUCUUUUUAUCACAUGGGUACGAAAUAAUUUACGAUUAUUUGUGAACUGCCCUUUAAUGCAAACUAACAAAAGCUUCACUUCAAUUAAAUAUAGAGUCGCAUCGGAUCAGAUCUUUAAUAAAGAGUAAAAAUAAUUUAUUAUUGUUUUAUCCAUCCACAAGACUUAAAUUCAAAAUUUUAAACAUUAAGGUCUUUACAGUUUAGCUCCAAUUAGAUUAUAGAUAUGGGUGUUGGACAUAAAAGAAUAAAAAUCGAAGGGGGUAAAGGAAAAGGAUUAUAAAGUUAUAUAUUUUCAGAUCCAAUGUUGAAUGCCUUUGAAACUUUGCUCCUUCUUGGAUUUUUAUUUUUAAUAUUUUUUAAUAUCAAAGAUAAUGAUUUGUGACCCAUCUUUCUAUUUUUCUUUUUUAAUAUCAAACCUUAUAAUAUUCAAUAUUUAUAUUCGAUCCCAAAUAAAUUUGAAAUUAAAUCGAGUCGGGAUUCUAAAUAGGAAGUAGAGUUUUCCAAAUUUUUUAUUAAUAAAACUCAAAUUCAAUUUAUUAUUAUUAUUUGAUUCAAUAAUCAGUAUGGUGCAUCUAUUUAUUUCUUUAUUAAAAUAACCGAAAAUUUUAACUAAAAAAAGAGAGAGUAUAGAAUAAGAAGUGCACGUGAUUUGAGGGCGUAAAGAAGAAGGCUGUUGAGUGAUCAGUCAAAAGCAAUUAGCAUGAAAUGGAAGAGAAUAUAUAACAUCCAACACUUGCAGCACCUUACUUUUCCCCCAGUUAUAAUACUAAACAAAUAACAGAAAAAUUACAAAAUUGCAUUAAAGGACCAAAAAUAAAUUAUAAUUUUUUAGAAUGAUCAAAAUAUAAAUUUACCGUUAUAUUAAUUUAUAAUUUACAAAUUCUGAAAGGACUCGUAAGAGCAAAUUAUUACCCAUGCACGUUUCUACAAAUCAAAUUUAGAUAAUCUUUGAAAAAAAUGAACACCCGACCAAUUAACCAUAACUUAAUUCAAAUAUUAAGUAAAUGUUUAUAAUAAAAUUGAUAAUAAAUACUAUAUGGUAACUUCUGUUAAAUAAAAUGUUAAAAUAGCAUAAUUAAUUACUUGAGUAUAUAAUUAUUUUAUUUUUAUUAUAUCUCCUCAGUAUCACAUCACAUGCAGUAAAGUUGCUGAGCAAGUUCAUUUUUUGACUGACCAGCAAAUUAUUAAAAAAAAUUACUCCCCCAUAAAUACUAAGGGUUAGGCAAAAGUGUCUAAACUAUCAAUCAUAUUUUAAAUUAAACUCUAAAUUAUAGAAUGUACUAAUUAAUCCUUAAAUUACCAAUAUUAUAUUAAUUGGAUUUUUUAUCAAUUUAGGAGUAUCAAUUAAUGCUUCUUUGGUUCUAUAGUAAGCAUAUUUAGAACAUGUGGGUCAAAUUGUAAAUACGUGUAUACUUAUCAAAUGGACAAUUUGAGUAUGAUGUGUUACAAUAAAAUUGUUCAUGCAUAUGUAUACUUAUGUCUGCAAUAGGUUAGAUGGAUAAAAAAAACUUGAUUGAUAUUAUACUGAUACUUUGAAGACUCAAUUGAAAUAUUUUGAAAUUUGGAAAUUAGUUUAAAAUUUGAGUUAUAAAUUAAGGAUGUUUGGUGCAGUUAACCCAAAUUUUUAAAGAAAAUAUUACUAUUCAAUGCCUAAUUAAAUUUGUAUCACGAGUUAAUCGGGUCGAACAAAAAAAAAUAAAAAAUCCAAUUUUUUUAAAAACAACAAAUUUUAUUAUAAAUGUAUUUAUUUUUUUAAUAAUUUAAUUCUCUAAUAGGAUCUAUCAUAUCAGCUCUUUUUGACACAAUACCUAAAACUACCAAUAGCCUUUUCCUAACCCACAAAUAAGAGGAUAAUACGCUUCAGCAUAUUUAAAUCUACAUUUUUCUGUAUUAACAAUAAUAUCCAUGCCAAGACUCGAUUGACAAUAAAUUUUAUAAUUUUAUAAAUAAAUAAUUGAAUUUAUGAUGCUUUGGAGGUGGGGGGUUCGGAUUUUGACGUUGUUUAUAUAAAAUAAGAAUGCCUUUGUCCAGAAGGAACAAGGAUUUUGUCCACUGCUGCUGGCAAUAUUUUUAAAUAUGUACUGAGGAUGACGACCCACUACUUCAAAUUAUGUGAUUCACUUGUAAAUCUAUGAUCGCUCGUAAGAAACAAUUAUAGCAUUGAUAAUGACUAUUUAAUUAUUUAUAAUUAACUAUUUAAUCAUAUCAAACAUACUUAUACACAUUAACUAUUUAAUUAUAUAUUAAAUUAGGUUAGAUGUAGAGUUUAGGUCAAAAAUAAAAUUAUGUAGCAAAUAUAUUUAUAAAAAAAAUUAAAAAUAAUUCUAAAACGUAAAAGGUUAGACUCUGAUUAAAAUAGUGGAUAGAGAUGUUAAACAUCAUAGUAUCUUGGGUUCAAAUAUUUCAUUAUAUGUUUGUAUUUUUCUAUUUUUAUAUGAAUAUAUAUAAAAAAAACCUCCAAUUCUCGGGUCUAAUUUAAUUGAAAAAUUAAGAAAACUCAUUCAUUUUAAAAAAAAUGAAAAACAUUACCAUAAGAGUAUUUUUGUCGUUUUAUAUUUUAUGUCAAAUUUAAAAAAAUUAUAUUUCAAUGAAAUCCGAGCUUAAAGUAUAAUGGUUUUGAAUAUCUUUAAUUUUACUAUUUUAGUUAAAGUCUCAUUUGUUUUUACAUUUUCUUUUUAUAUAGAAUUUUUCCUAUUGUCAUAAAUGUGCGAUAAUUUAAUACUAAAUAAAGAAUAAAUAAUACAUUUAUUUUUUCUCAUUUUAAAAAUAUUUUAAUAAAUAAAAUUUAAGGGUUAAUGUAUUGAAGAAGUAAAUAUAUAGAGAGGAAAAAAGAUUAUAUGAAUUGUGAUACUAUGUUUUUUGUAUUCAUUUACAAUAAAUUAAUGUUAUUUCAGUAUUUUUAUCCUUAAAAAAAAUCAAAGCCAACAUAAUGUGUUGAAAUUUAAUAUGAAAAUGCUGAAAUAAUAUCAUAUUAUUAGAAAAUGAUACAAAUGACAUGGUAUCUCAGUUUCAUAUAAUCAUUUCUCAUAUAUAGAAAUAUGGGCGAUUUUAAAGGAGUAGGUAGGUGCAUUGGUCCUCGAAAAUUGAAAAUUACUAUGUUGAUCCCUUAAAAUGUUUAAAUUAUAAAUUAAUAUAUAAUCAAAUUGUAUUUUGACCCCCCCAAAAAAAUUCUAUUAAGUCCCUUCAAAAAGAUGAUUAAAUCAUAAAUUAAUACAUGAUAAAAUUAUACUAUAACUUGUCAAAAAAUUAUAAUUCAAUUCUGGUUUCUAGAUUCACUCCUGUAUCAAUCAAAGUAGGAAGCAAGUGUCUUUUCAUUUUCUCACAAUGAAGUAGGCCUUGGUAGCUAACAUUGUCGACCUUUUUUACUUAGAUAAUACAAAAAAUACCAAAAUGGUAUCCCAGUGCCAUUAUUUACUAAAAUGGUAUGUUAUGAACAAUGUUUAGGGGUGGAGGGUUUGAGGGUGGUAGCACCACCAUUGUUUUUGCUACCCAAUCAUUAAUCUGUUACAAAAAAAUUAGUUUUUUAACGGUGCAGGGUUUAGGAUCAAUGACCCCGGUAUGCUUUACGGGUUAAAUACGAGUAUUUGAAAAGUAAAUUUUAGUGAAUGGUGACAACUUGGCAGGCAACACCGAAAGAGUGGUGCCUUCCUGUCAAGUGACAUCGACUAUGGAUGUAAACCAUUGUUUCAGUUUUUUCUGAUGGUCUGAUGGGCUAUCGCGGGAAAAUCUAAGGGGACCUUAUAAUAACCAUGGUUCCUUCAGCAAUGGUGGUUUAAAAAAGAAGAGGGUUUUGGUUGUAAAAAAACAAAAGCAGAGAAAAGAGAAAGAAGACGGUAAAAAAGAAGAAGAUAGCAACAAUUUAAGGAGAGAAUAGAAAGAAGAGAGUAUUGGUCGUAUAAAAAAAAAGAGAGUAGAGAAAGUAGAGAAAAGAGAGAAGAGGGCUUUGCUUGUUAGGAAAAGGAAAAUAAUAGUUUAGGGAGAAGAGUAGUGUUUAGGGUCUUGAAAGGGGGACGGACAAUAGCCAAAUUCUUUGAUUUUGAAAGGUAAGUUUUCUUUUAAGUAAUUAUUAUGUAUUUCUUUAGUGUUUAUGGUUAUUUAUUAGUUGUUUGAUUUUGUGUGUUUAGGAAGGAGAGGAGGCUGUGGCCAAAUUUUUAUUUAAAGAUAAAUUUACUUUUUGUAAUUAUUUAAAGGCAAAUUUAUUUGUAGUUUUGGAAGUAGUAAUUUAAUUUGGUUUGAAUGUACAUUGUAAAUAUUUUUUGGUGGGCAAUAUUUAGUUGUUUGUUUGAUAAUUUUUUUAAUAUUUGUUAGGAUUUGUGGUAUUAUGUUAUUUAUUAGUUGGAUUUGUAAUUUUAUUAUUUAUUUGAUUUUAUCAGAAUAAUUCAAAAAAAAAAAUCAAAAAUGGGUUGCUGUACAAAUGAAUUACUGAAACGGGUUGUUUGUUUCAAAUUCAUAGGAAGACCCAUUUUGGUAUUUAAUUAUUUUUGAGAUUAUUGUGAUAAAAACCUCAAAUAUGUUGUAAAUUAAUUGUCUUCAAGUAAAUAAAAUAUCAUAAUACUUUUCAUUUUUUAUAAGAAAAUUAAUUUAUACAUGUUACGUUAAAUUGAUUAAAUACUAAUUAAUUGAACUGAAUUGGUUUUACAAAUUUUUACAAUUCACAUACGUUGAAUAUCUGUUACGUAAUAAAUAAAAAAUUGUUAUUAGGAUAAAAAAUGAAAAAAAAAGAGAUGAUUUCUAAAAAAUAAAUGAUCGAGUUACAUUAGUGUAUCCCAAAUUACGUUGGUAUUGACUUGUUUAUAAGGGUAAAAAUAUUAUUAAUUCUUCAAAAAAUAAUAAACGGUACAAAAUUCAUUUUCGUUAUUUGUUCAAGAGAUGAUUAAAUUUUUUAUUUGAAAUUGUAGAUGUCUGAAUGAACUCUUUGAUUACAAGAAUGGAUCACACAUUAGAUACGAUUAAUACGAUGUAACAAAAUUGUUAUUUGUUAAUCAUGAGUCCCUUUAUAAAGUUUCACGUCAUUUUUUAUUUAAUUGGGAUAUAUUAACUAUUGCGGUAAAUUAAUAUGGUCAGGGUCCAUACCGCGUAUUGAGGGGCCAUGACAAUAUUGUGGGCUAUCUGUCGAAUGAGUGUCUUAUACCAUACUUGGAGGCAUCUAGAUUCAGAUCAGUGACAUUGAUCUGCAUGUUUGAUUUGAAAUACAACUCGAUAUCCACUUUAGUCGAGCAGUGGCGCUCGAAGACCCACACAUUUCAUUUGUCGUGUGGGAAGUGCACUAUUACUCUGGAAGAUGUUGCACUGCAACUCGAGCUCCCAAUCGACGGUAGUGCAGUCAUAGGUGUAAGUAUAAUGUCCAAACCGGUGGCCCUUUGCUAUGACUUACUAGGCACUCGUCUAGUGAUGGUGGCAAUAAAUUAUAGUAAAAUAUUUUUUUAAAUCUUGUUUCUUUUUAAUGAUUACGAACUAGAAACAUAUAAUUAAUAAAUACUAUUCAUUCAACAAAUAUAUAAUUAUAGUAAACUAAUGUUUUAAAACUUUUGACUUAAUUUUUUUGAAAACAAUAUUCAUGCCAAAAUGGUGUUUAAAGAUGUAAUAUAGUUUUGUUGUUACUAAAAUAUAAAUAUGAAAAUUCCAUUGUAGUCAUAAAAAUUUUAUUAAAAGUUUGAACAUGGAGUACAUUAAUUCAUAUUCCACUUGAUCGAGACGAUUGUCCAAUGUGGUAGGUUCGAUGCAGACAUUUAGUUUAGUUAUGACUAGCUGUUCUGCACACGCCACAAAUUCUGAGGUCGAUUUUCUCCCUUAUGUCCAUUUCAUUACGGAUCCUGAUAACUUGCGAGCAACCUUUCAGCUUCCUAUGUAACCCCUUGUCUAGGAUAAGCUCGAAGUCAAUGGAGACACUUCCCAUGUAGACAAAUCACAUAAAAUGGGAAACUCGUUUCUCCAAAUAUGCAUAAAAAUUUUAUUACAAGUUCGAAUAUGGAGUACAUUAAUUCAUAUUCCACCCGAUCAAAACGAUUGUCCAAUAUGGUAGGUUUGAUGCGGGCAUUUAGUUUAGUUAUGACUAGUUGUUCUGUACAAGCCACAAAUUUUGAGGUCGAUUUUCUCCCUCAUGUCCAUUUCAUUACAGAUCCUGAUAACUUGCGAGUGAGCUUUCGGCUUCCUAUGUAACCCCUUGUUUAGGACAAGCUCGAAAGUUAGUGGAGACACUUCCCAUGUAGACAAAUCACGUAAAACGAGAAACUCAUUUCCCCAAAUACGCAAUGUGCGCUUGAGAGUGUACACUUCAUCAACAUAUUGUUCAACAUUUGAUCAAGGUGCAAGCACAAGCUGCAAUGACAUGCGUACAUGGGUAACGAAACGUCUAGAAGCACCGUUUAUUUUAGAGAUCAACUCCGUAGGACCUAGGUGGAAUACUGAGUCGACACCGAUGGACUCCAUAACUCAAAAAGUUUUUAACUGUUGAGACUAUAUUUCUAUAUUCAUCGAACUCGAUCUCUGAUGGUUCACAUCCAUUGCCUUUCUGACCUCCUUGACAAACACGUAUCCCGCCUCUAUUUCAUCAUGUAGAACAUAGUUGAGAAAACAGAUGAAAUUGGAAGAUGUCGUGUUUGCUUCAACACAGAGUUAAUCGCCCUGCCAAGUUGAUGGUUAUAGACAUACACCCAACGCACCAGCUUUCGAUUUCUUAUCUAUUUAACUUAGACUUUUACUUACAUCAAGGUGUACGGGUCACACAUAUAUAGUCUGUUAUCCAUUUAAGAUUUAGGUAUGUCACACUAUGAAUGUCACAAAUAAAUAAAUCCAUAAACAAAUUCAUGAUAAUUCUGUUUGGGUCCUGUCCAAUAUACUGUUAGUCCAGUCAGUCACAUCUAUAUCUCUAUCUUUUGGGAGUCAUCCGCUCCGAUGCCUAAGACAAAGCAUCUCCCUAAUUAGAAUUGAUAGACGACAUAUUAGUCUUUCAAUCAGUUUGAUCAUUUCUUAUUAGACUAAGGAUAUAUUUAGGCUCGUCUACUAAUACAAGUUAUCUUUCUGUACUAUGAUUCGACUAUAUAAUAUCGUUUAGUAUUAGUUAAACAUUUAAACAACCAAUGAGCAAUAUUUGUUUCUAUUUUGAUUUGCAUGAAAAAACCAUGUGAGGACAAUAAUACAAAGUAUAUUAAUGUAAUUCAUGAAUAAUUUUAUAAACCAAUAUGUUCGGAAAAAUUACAAGUAUACUUAGACGAAAAUACUACACUCAGGGCACCAGAUCCAACAUACUAUUGAAGAGGUUAUUUGUGAUUGGGUUAGGCAGAUCAUUGAAGGAAGCACUAUAGAUUCAGAGUUAAAUAAUACUCUUAUUGUUCUAAUUCUUAAAGUUUCUAAUCCAAAAAAUUUUAAGCAAUUCUGUUUAAUCAGUCUGUGCUCUGCUUUAUACAAGCUAGUUAUGAAGGUGAUAGUGAAUCGAUUUAAGAUUAUUUUGCCUAAGAUCAUAGGCCAAGAUCAAGUGGGGUUUAUUAUAGGUAGAAAUAUUAUUGACAAUGUUGUCAUAGUACAACAAGUGUUGCAUUCCAUGAAAAGUAAGAGUACAGUUCAGUGGAAAACUAUUAAGAUAGACUUAGAGAAAGCCUAUGAUAGGGUGCAUUGGGAUUUUAUAGAAGCAUAUUUUAAAGUGGUAGUUAUUUCUAACUUUCUAAUAAAUGUUAUUAUGUCGGCUAUCUCGACAUCCACAAUGUAGGUUUUAUGGAACGAAGUUCCAACCCCUAAGUUCAAGCCUGUUAGAGGAAUCCGUUAGGGGUGUCUUUUAUCUCUAUAUCUUUUUUGUGUUAUGCAUGGAAUGGUUGGCCCAUUGGUUUCAUUCGACUAUCUCAUCUAGGGAAUGAAGCCCUAUUCGGUUAUCUCGAAGAGGGCUUGCCCUUUUACAUUUAUUUUUUGCGGAUGACUUAGUGAUUUUUACCAAAGCGAACUUAUAGCGUAGCAAACUUCUUAUUGACUUGUUUGGGUGAUUCUGUGAGUUUUCCAGGCACAAGGUUAAUGUUUGGAAGACCAAUGUGUUUUUUUCUACUGGAGUCAAUAAAGACUUAGUGAGAAAGAUUAAUGAUAUACUCGGGUUCCAACACAUUUAGGAUCUUGGUCAUUAUCUGGGAGCUCCCCUUCACCAAAGAAUCACCAAAUGUACGUUGAGUUUUUUGGUAGAAAGAGUUCGGAGGAAGCUUUCUAGCUGGGAAGCCAAAGAACUCUCAUUUAUGGGAAGGCUUACUCUAGCAUAGUCAGUUUUACUUUCAAUCCCAAGCUAUCUCAUACAAUCCUUAAUGGUCUCAAAAGGCGUCUACAACGAAAUUGAAGAAAUGGUGCGGCAAUUCAUUUGGAGAUCUUCUGGUGGUAAAAGGAAAACGGCAUUAGUGAGGUGGGAUGUUAUUUGUUAGAUUAGAUCGUAUGGAGGUUUUGGGAUACGACAUCUUAGUGGUCAGAACUUCGCUUUUAUGAUGAGGCUUGGUUUUAAUAUUGUUACCAAAACUGAUGCUUUAUGGGUUCGGGUCCUUAGAGUGAAGUAUGGGAAAAAUGACAGAUUGCCAGAAUGUAUUGCAUAGAGUAGAAACUCUUUUAUGUUGAAAUCCAUUUCUAAGGCAUGGCCUUUACUGUGUGAUAAUUUGAUAUGGUUAAUGAAUAAUGUAAAUAACGUUCAUUGUUGGAAGGAUGCUUAGGUCUCUAAUAUAAUACCAUUAAGAAAACAUGUUCCUGCUUAUGCGAAUGUUGUUUCAUACUGUAAGCUGAGUGAGAUGGUUACGAAAAAUGCCACAUGAAACCUCAAUUUAUUUCGAGUUUGGUUGAUAGAAAAUGUUAUCCAACACAUCGUUAGCAUUCCCCCACCAAUGUCUUUUGUAGGACCAAAUUUGAUUUUUUUUUGUCGUUCUACAACAAUUGCCUUCUUUGUUAAAAGUAAAUAUUGGAUGUUGAAAAAAUGGUCUUGGAAUCCUAGAGAUGUAGUUUGGAAUAUAGUGUGGAAAUUUUCUAGGACUCAGAGAGUUAGACAUUUUAUUUGGAUAGUUCUAAAACAGAGACUCUUAACCAAUGUUGAGAGAAUUCAAAGGAGGAUUGGUCAGGAUGAGUUAUGCCUUCUUUGUGGACAUAGAUAUGUGGAUGCAUUACAUGUACCUAGGGAUUGCUCUGUUGCGAAAGAUGUUUGGUGCCAAGCUUUUCCACUAAGUCAACAUGGGGUUUUCUUUUCUAGCAAUUUAACAGAAUGGUUGAUUUCAAAUUUGCACGAUCACUCAAAUCACAACACGAGGGAUCAAAGUUGGGUUUGUCUAUUCGAGUUAUUAAUGUGGCAUAUUUGGAAAAAUAGAAAUUAUUUUAUCUUCCAAGGUAUAUCCAUGAAUCCAAAUGAUAUUAUUAAGGUCUCAUAUAGCUGGGCUAACCAAUAUAUUUCAGUACAUAGGGACGUGUCGAGGGUCAUCAUCCAAUUUGAUAAUUUUGAUGUUGUUAAAGCUAUUUGCUACCGUCAAUUAGCUGGGGCAAGUAUAUCACUUGUUAAGAGAAUCCAACAUAUUUUAUCCCAUGAAGACAAGAGGUUCGUGCAACAUACCCUUAAGAAAAAUAAUCAGGUAAGGAAUUCAUUAACUAAAAUGACUUUUGCGAAUGAUGAAGAUUUGUGUUUAUUUGAUGUCCUUCUUAUAGAGAUUCAAGUAAUUUUAAAAGAGGAUAGAGUGAGAGGUAAUUUGGCUCCAGUUAUUAAACUAUUUCAGUUUGUUUUUUCACAAAAAAAAUACAUCUAUUAGCCCUCUUAUAUUAACUAAUAAUUAAAAAAAUAUUUUAAAGUUUAUUCUAAUUAAAUUUGGGUGACUUGAUUCACAUACACCAAAUUCAAUUAGAGCUAUAGAUUAAUAAAAAUCUCAUAUGGUCACGUAACCAAUUUGUUAAGUUUUUAAAUGUACACAAAUUAAAAUGUCCUUUUCAAUAAUAAAAGGAUUAAAAUGAACAUUUGGUAUACUAUAAGGACUGGUAUUGUAUUUUAACCUCAUUUUUUGAGUGAACGAUGAUAUUAUAAAAAAAAUGAAAUUAUAACAAAUUAAAAAAUACCAGAACUAUACUUUAACCCAAAAAAACAAUAUCUUCAAUAUAUAUAUACACACAAUUUUUCUUUUAAGAAAUAUGUCAUAUUCUCAAGAGAAAAUACUUAUGUUAAAACUUUAAAGAUGAUAUUGUUGAAAAAAAAUCACAAAUACGAAUAUAAAUCAUAAAAUAAUCAUGAAAAAUAUCAAAAAAUAAGAGUAAAUCUGGAAAAUUUAGAUUUUAAAAUAUUGAGAUUAUUUUUAUUCAAGUUGAAGUUAUAACUUCUUUUGAAUUUAAAUUAUUUGUAGUUAAGGUAAUUUUUUAUUAAAUUCAUUUGGGUAGGUUAGUUCUUUUUUUUUUUGAAAUGCUCGACUGGAUUUUAAACAAAUAAAACAAAGUUUGCCUCUCACUUGGACAUUGGACCAAGGACCAGGCCUUAAAAUAAAGCAAAUAAUAUAAGAUAAACAGGCCUAGAAGACUAAAAUCCCUAAUUGGCCCCCAACAAGAUGGCCUAACUAAACCAAACUUAAAAAAUCAAAACUAAUAAAAAUCUACUCUAGAAAAUUCCAGCCCAAAGAAGACAGCUGUAUCCCAAAAAAUAUUUUGGCUUUCCAAUGCUCCUGCACAGCUCAUAAUAGCAGAUUCCUUCAAAUCCCAUAAGAUCUUUAACCUUCUGUUACACAUUUCCAUUUGACUGUUUCAUUUCAUCAGUCUGGAGUCCGUGGUCUUCUCCUCUCCAGUAUUCGCCGAACAUGCUCAGGAACUCCUCCUUCCAGGUAAUGGCCUUCAUUUACUUUCAACGCUUCCUUUACAAUCACAUGAGCAAAAAAAGUUUUCUGACUUUGGAAUAUGAUGGAAGUUUAGUUUUUGGUAGAAAUGCUUUAUCUCUUGAAUAUUUCUUAUUAUAGCUCCAAUAAUUGAAUUAUCUCUGUCUAUGUUCUGGCAUUUUUUUAUAACAGUUCUUGAAUCUUCAUUUAUGUCGCAUUCAUGAAAACCCAAUAAAAUUCCUAACCUUACUGCUUUUUCUCCUGCAUGUGCUUCCGCCGCAAACGGAGAGGCAACAUUUUCAUGAAUGACCGAUUUUGAGACCAAAAUAUCCCCUUGCAUGUUUCUAACUAGCAACCCUGAUGCGGAUUUGAAGAGUUGUUGAUCGAAAGCCCCAUCAAAAGAAAUGACUACCCUCGUUCGCCGAUCUUCAUGAGUAAAAACCCUUCCUUUAUCAGAGAUAAAUAGUUUCUCUUCUAAGCUUUGCAACUUUGAAAUAUAAUUGCUUAUUUGUCGUGAGAUCUCUCUGCUUGUUCUAUCUUUACUCUCAUAAAGCAAUUGAUUCCUGUUUGACCAGAUAAGCCAAAGCCCGUAGCAAAAUAGUCUGCACAGGUAAACCACUCCCAAAUGCUCUGAAUAUUAUUAUUAAGCACCAAGAGAAAUCUAAGUACUCCCAAACUUCCGUCGUUAUAAGACACAUUCUGAAAACAUAAUUGCUAUCCUCCUCAGACUGCCGACAUUUGGGACAUCAGACUUUAUUUGUAACUCGCCUCAAUUUAAGAUUAGCAAGCGUAGGGAUAUAAUUCCAGGAAAUUUUCCAGAUUGUAAUUUUAAUUUUCAAAGGGAUGUGUAAAUCCCAUAGUUUUCUGUAGAAAGUUGCAUUUUCGGCCUGUAUAAUAUUAUUACCAGGAAUCCGAGUAAUCUUUUGUAAUAGUUUAUAGGCAUUUCUAACCAAAAAGAUGCCUGAUGGUUCUCUACCCCAAACUUGGAAAUCAUCAUGUACAGACCUUGCCAAAGGGAUCAGCAGAAUGUUCUUUGCAAUACCCGCAUCAAAGGUAUUAAAAAUUAGAUCCGCUUUCCAUGUUCUACUUUCGUCCUCAAUCAAAUCAGAGACUAAUUCAAUAUCUGCAUUUCCUCUUUGAUGCUGUAACGUAUUCUCUUCAUAACCCGGUAUCCAAAGAUCGUCCUAGAUAGAGAUACUAUCCCCCUUACUGGUUCUCCAGCAUAAGCCUUUUUCCAGCACUUUUCUAGUUGACCAGAUACUUCUCCAAGUAAGUGAAGUUAGGUUCCCUAACCGUGCAUUUAAAAAUCUGUCGACAAAUAAUACUUGGCUUUUAAAACUCGAGCUAACAACGAAUCUGGAUAAGUAAUUAAAGGCCAACCCUGCUUAGCUAGUAACGCGAUAUUAAAUUUGUCAAACUCUCGGAAUCCAAUACCUCAUUCCUCCUUGAAAGAACAUAAAUCCCUUAAUGCACACCAAUGAAUGUCUUUCUUAUCCCUGCUUUUUUGCCACCAGAACUUUGCUAUUAAUCUCUCCAAUUCCGUACAAAAGGAUUUAGGAAGUAGAAAGCACGACAUAGAAUAAGUUGGAAUGGAUUGAAGAACCGCCUUAAUAAAAACCUCCUUUCCUCCUUGAGAAAGAUGUUUAACACUCUAAUUAUCUAUUCUUUGUUGCAAUCUAUCUUUCAAGUUUUGGAAAGACGCUUUCUUCCUCCUCCCCACUAAAUUAGGUAAACCCAAGUACCGUUUAGGAUCAGUUGAGCAAUGUACUCCAAGCACUCUAGUUACUAAACUUAUAUCCCUUUUUUGAGUAUUGGCACUAAAGAAAAUAGUAGAUUUUGAAUAAUUAACCUUCUGCCCCGAACAACCUUUAUAUUCGUGCAAAAUCUGCUUUAAUGAAAUCGCCCCUCUUUCUGUAGCCUCGCCGAACAGAAUGCAAUCAUCCGCAAAUAAUAAAUGUGAAACCUGUGGACCGCUUCUGCUUGCCUUAACUCCGCGAAGAAUUUUCUUUUUCAUUGUUGGUCUCAUAAGACUAGAUAGACCCUCCCCACAAAAUAGAAAUAAAAAUGGACUCAAGGGAUCUCCUUGUCUAAGGCCCCUAGAAGGAUUGAAAGUAGAACCACUAAAUCCAUUAAACACUAUCGAGUAAGAAACUGUAGUAACACAUCUCAUUAGUGAAUCAACCUAAUCGGGGUCAAAUCCCAUUUUCUUCAUUACCCUUUCUACAAAACUCCAUUCGAUGCUGUCAUACGCCUUACUCAUGUCCAAUUUUACUGCUAUAAAGUCUUUUUUCCCGACUCUUUUGUGCUUCUUUUGUGCUUCAGAGUAUGUAGAAGUUCAUAAGCUAGAAUCACAUUAUCAAAAAUCAAUCUCCCUGGCAUGAAAGCACUUUGUGCUGAAUCAAUACACUUGUCUAUCACAGAUUGGAGACAAUUAGCAAUAACUUUAGCUAUCAAUUUGUAUAAUACAUUACACAAACUAAUAGGACGAAAGUACGUAAUAUUAGAGGGAUUCACAAUUUUUGGGAUUAGCAUAAUAUUUGUCUUGUUAAUUGAGCUUGGAUCCGUACCUUCAUUUAACAAAUUGAGCCAAUAAGACAUGACAUCUUUUCCAAUAAUUAACUAGCAUUUCUGGUAGAAUAGUGCUGGAAAACCAUCCUUACCUAGUGCUUUUGUUGGUCCCAUUUCUUUCAACGCUACAUAAAUCUCUUCCUUUGUAUAUUCAGCCUUGAGUUUUAAAUUGUCCUCCUAAAAAAUGCAACGAUCAAUACUUGAAAAAGUGUGAUUAUAAUUUCGUCUCCUUCCAGCUAGAAACAACUGCUGAAAAUACGAUCUGGCUAUCUUUUCCAUUUCUUCAAUAACUUCAGUUUCCCUGCCGUCGUUAUAUUGUAACUUGCGGAUAUAGUUCUUUCUCCACCUUUGCGUUGCCUGCCGUCGUUAUAUUGUAACAGUACCCAAACCUCUUUUCCGGUAAGAUUUUCGGGGACGAAAAUCCCUAAGGGGGGAGAGUUGUAACAGCCCGAUUCUGGGCCUAGUCGGAAUAGUGGUUUCGGGACCACAAAUCCGACGAGGGAAAAUAUGGUUAUUAUUAUAUUUUUAUGAUCUACAAUUUCACGGAAAAUUUUCGUAAAAAUUUCGUUCGAAAAUUUCGACGUUUGGGCACUCAAUUUAGUCAAAAGGACUAAAUUGUAAAUAGUGCAAAAGUUGAGUUCUAUAUGUAAAAGUAUCUAAUUGAUAUGAAAUUUUAAAUUGGAGGUCUUUAUGUGGUAAUUAGACCAUUAGUUAGUUGAUGGACAAAAAUAGACAUAAGAAAUGAGAGAAAUAGAUUUUUUUUAAGUGGGGGCAUAUUAGUCAUUUGGUAAUAAAAAAAAUAAAAUGGGAAAAAGAUGACAAAAAUCAUCAUCUUCCUCAUUAGUUGCUGCCGAAAUUUGAAGGAAGCCAUAGCUAAGGUUUCUUUGCUUUCUCAAGCUCAUAGUAAGUGCAUCCUAGCCCCGUUUUUAAUGUUCUUCGCAUUUUUGGAAUCCUCGUAACUCGGUUUAGCUUAUUCUAGCAAUAAUUCGUGUUAGGGCUCAUAUUUGGAAAAAUACCCAUAGGUGAAAUGUGUUUAUUUUGCUGUUUUAUGGUGGAAUAUGAAGCUAUAAAUUAUGUUAAACAACUUUUGCUAAGCGAUUUUAAGCGAAAACGGGUAAAUAGGCAUAAUCGGUAAAAAUAAUUAUUGUUCAUAAGUGUAUGUUAGAGUGAGAAUUUGAUGUUGCCAUAGAAGGGGAAAAUGUUCAGCAUGUCAUAAAACCUAAGAAUAAGUGAUGAAGUUUAAUUUCCGAGCUUGGGGACAAAAGUGUAAUUAUGCAAAAGUUUGGGGGCAAAAUUGUAAUUUUUCAAAAAGUUGGGUGGUGGAUUAUUUUAAUGAAUGUGAACAUUAAAUGAGUUAAAUUUGCUAUUAUAGAUCAAGAAAGACGUGAAGAUUAUCUCAAACGAGGAAAAGAAAAGAUAGUGGAGUGAAGUGCAAUAUUACGAUAUUUUGCACCGAGGUAAGUAAACACGUGACUUGAUGUAUUAUUUUGACAUUAAUUGAUAUAUGUUGAGAUUUAUUUGGAAUUAAAAUAAAUGUUUGGCCAUAUCCUAAAAAUGUUGUUAAAUCGGGAAAGGUGGUAAAGGGUUGCAAUAUAUGAUUUAUGGGUUGAACACUCGGAAUAAGCCGAAGUAUGUUGUACAUAAAGGGGUUGCUGUGUGCUGAUUCCCCGAUUCAUUGGUGGUGCUAUGUGCGAUAUCCACCGUAUCUUUGAAAUGUGAAAGGGGGUUGCUAUGUGCUGAUUCCCCCGAGGGGUUGCUAAGUGCUGAUUCCCCAGUUCAUUGGUAGUGCUAAGUGCGAUAUCCACCGUAUCUCUGAAAUAAAGAGGGGGUUGCUAUGUGCUGAUUCCCCCAAGGGGUUGCUAAGUGCUGAUUCUCCGAUUAAGUGGUGGUACCCUCGCCCAUUGUUCCCAAUACCUCUCAUCCUUUUCAAUCUCAAAAUUAACAUCCACCUUUGUAUCAAUUAGUUCUGCUAGAUUUUCAUCGCUUUUAUCUUCUUCUAGCAAUUUUUUCAGCUUUAAAUGCAACAUCUCUUUCUUUGCUUUCCUACUAUAUCGAAUUUUAGCCGCCCAUUUCUGCAACCCUCUUCUAACACACUGCAACUUGUUUAAUAGGUCUCCUGAAGAAUUUUCCCAAAUACUCUUCACUUCACCAAUAAAUGAUUCCUCCAGCACCCACCAUGCUUCAAAUUAAAACCUUCUCUCCAUGUGCCUCGAAUAUUCGGAUUUAGUAUUUAUGAGCAAUAGACAGUGAUCGAAAAAGGAAUGUGAUAGAUGACGAACUUGAUAAUCGAGAAAUAAAACAAGCCAGCUGUCAGUAGCUACCCUUCUAUCUAGCUGUUCUUGAAUAUUAGUCUCUGGAAAUUACCUCUCUCCCAUGUGAACCAAUUCCCAGAAAAGCCCAUAUCAAUUAAAUUGCAAUCCUCCAACACCCUUCUAAAAGCUUCCAUUCUUCCUUCCUCCCGUGAUAAGCUUUCCUUGUCUCACAUCUGUACAUGAUCUCGUUAAAAUCCCCACUUACCAGCCAUGGAAGUUCCCCAGCUUCACACAAUUGUCUUAAAAGAUCCCAUGUUGCAUCUCUAUCUUGGUGAUAAAGAGAUCCAUAAAAUCCGGUAAAUCUCCAUUUAGUACCUUUCUCCAUAUCAUCUAUUAUCACAUCAAUAUGGCUAGUCGAAAAGCUUUGAAGUAAAACACUGAUAUCCCCUUUCCAUGCUAAAUACAAUCCUCCACUUGAACCAAUUGAUCCAACCUCAAUCCCAUUGAAAAAAUCGCAACUUCUUUGAACCUUUUCCAUGUGACUCCUGUCAAUUUUUGUCUCCAUAAAGAAGACCAUUUGGGGAUUAUGUAACUUCAACGUGUGUCGAAGUCUUCAAACUGCCUGCUGGCUCUCCAAACCGCGGACAUUCCAAUUUAAUAUUUUCAUUGUGCCCUGUCGGUUUGCCUCUUGGCAGUCGCCAAUAAUAAAUGUGUGGAAUCCUUUAUAACCUUAGUUCUCACAUCCAUACAGUUUCCUUCUUCUCUUACUGUUAAUCCUUCACUAUCCCCUCUUUUUCGUUUUUUACCUUCAUCCCCCAUUAGUACCCUAUCCUCAAAAUCAUGAUCCAUUGCAUUAAAGCUAUCCACCAUCCCUAAAUUUUCACCUUGAGGAUGGGAUUUAUACAGUCUCCCCUCUAAAUUUAUUCCCAAAAUGGGAUCUAUAUUGCUCCUAAUUCCCAUUUUCUUCUUGGGAAUUCUCAGCAUACCCCCUAUCAUUUGACUUCCCUCCUGAUUUCCGCCGAUACUUCCUCCUCAUCAUCAUGUAACCAAACACUUUUCAUAGCCAAAGCCCUUCGAGAUUGAGCCCGCAGCGUUAAAUCCCAUCCCAUUUCUGCAACUUCCACCCCUAAUGCCAUUUUUGCUUCACAAAAUAAAUCGCUAUGCCCUAAACGACCGUAAUAAAAACAAAACAGUGAUAAACGUUCAUAUUUAAAUCGAACAUAUGAACACUGGCCAUUAAACAUAAGCUGUUUCUUUCUUCUCAAAAGCUGACGUAUAUCCACUUGAAUUCGUAUCCUCAUAAAAUUACAAUUCUCUUUCCCUAACAUAGAAUUGUCAUACUCUAUAAAAAACCCUAUAAAAUUCCCAAGUUGCACCGCCAAAUGUUCAGCGAAAAAACCAAAAGGAAUAUCAUGGAUCUGAACCCAAAAGGGUGAAAAAAUUAAAGGGACAUUCAAUGGGUCUUCCUCGCUUUGCAGCUUAUGUAACAGCAGUAAAUGUCUGUUAAAGGUCCAUGACAAACCCUUUAAGACCCUUUCCAUGUCCAUAAUAUGAAAAAAUUGAAACAAUUACCUUUUUUCCCCCAGAUCUCGAAUUUAAACACCACAGACAGGAUACCACAAAUUUGCCAUGGUAUUUUUCAUUCCUGGAAAAUGGAUGACACUAGCUGUUAAAAAGCAACCCACCAAUUGGAAAAAUCCCCUCACCCUAUAUGUGUUUGUUUCUGCUUGAAUUUGCAAAACCUCAUCUUUCUCCUCAUUAAUCGAAAGUUCAGCAAAAUUAGAUUCCAUAAUCAAGACUCACGUUCAGUAGCUAUUGUAUUUUCCAAAGAAAAAUAGAUAGCAGCAGGGCAACUGCUAGAGAUAGCAGACAGAGACGUGCUAGAGAUAGCAGACCUAAAUAAAGAGAUUAGGUUAGUUCAUUAAAUAAGGUAGAAUUAUUAUCUUUUUAUGUUGAAAUAAAAUUAUAUCUAAUUUAAAUAUAUAUUAAUUAAAUAGUCCAACAUAAGUAAAAUUCUUAGUUAAAUUUAUUUGUGAAAUAUUUUGAAAUAAACAAAAUACUUACUCGAUAGCUAUGUUUACUUGAAUUUAACAUAAAAGUUUUAACAAUUUUUACAAUUAAAUUUAUAUUUUUAAACUCGAAAAGUGAAAAAUAGAUAAUUAAAAUCCUAACAAUAGAAGUAAAGAGACCAAAUUUUAAAUAUAUGAAGAUUACAGGUACUUAUAAAGAUUUUAAACUUUUUUUUUAAUUAACUCAUUUUCUUUCUCUCUAUUGACACCAAACCACACUAUAACUACAGGGAAUUAGGAAAAGCAAAAAUUCUGUAUUUAGCUCCUUGAAAAUUCGCUACGUUUUCUCCCAUAUUAUAUGCUCUGCUCUGCUCGCCAGUUCCCAGUCUCUCCAUGAAAGAACCUUCCCUCUCCCUUUAUCCUCUCUAAACUUCAUUCCAAUCCAACCCCUUUUUUCUCUCUUGUUUUUUCAUUACUAAAUCGACUAAGGAACCUUUUUUUUUGGGUUCUUUUUGAAAAGCAAAACUCCCGAGCAUUAAUGGAGAAAAAGCAAGGUUUUUUCUCAGCUCUCAAAGAGGAAGUAAUUCGUGGGCUUUCACCUUCCCGCUCGAGGACCAACAGCCCCGGAAGAGCCCGGUCACCUAUUGCCAUUCUGUUGCGGAGAAAGAAAAGCGGCCACUACAACUACGGAGGCGCUUACCUGGUACAACCGGAGCCCUUGAUCGCGAGGUACGGUGUCGGGGAAGCGUUAGCUCCGCUCAUGGAAGGUCCCGACCCGGACGGAGGCGAAACCGGGGAUUCCAAGAGGCUUGGGUUGGGGCUAGGACAAUGGGUUAUGGGACAGUUAUCGAGGACUCCAUCCAUGGCUUCCUUGAGUUGCAAAAGGUCCGAUCUAAGGCUGUUGCUCGGGGUCAUGGGCGCACCUUUGGCUCCUGUUCAAGUUUGCUCCACUGACCCUUUGCCUCACUUGAGCAUCAAAGACACUCCCAUUGUUAGUACCCUUCCGCCCCCCCCCCCCCCCCCGGUCUUCUUUAGCUUAUAAUAGACUUAAAAAAGAACAAAUGAACUUCUGGGUGUUUUUUUUCUGCUUAUGAUGGUUUGAAUGGCGACUAAAGUAUUUAUCAUUUAUAGUAUUUUAUUUGUAAUGUUCUUGUAUUUUUCUUUAAGCUUCUUCUAUGGUCUAUGGAUCCAUUUUAUUAAAUCAUGGUUUUCAAACUGUGGUUAGCAAGAAACUUGAGUAAAAACUCCAUUUCUUUGCGGUAUGGUGCAGGAAACGUCCACUGCUCAGUACAUAUUGCAGCAGUAUACAGCUGCUUCCGGUGGUCUGAAGCUGCAAAACUCAGUCCGGAAUGCGUAUGCGAUGGGAAAACUGAAAAUGGUAGCUUGUGAGUACGAAACUGCUGCGAAGACGGUUAAGAACCGAUAUGGCUCCAGAGGUGCGGAGUCCGGUGGGUUUGUGCUCUGGCAAAUGAAUCCGGACAUGUGGUAUGUUGAACUUGCGGUUGGGGGCAGCAAGGUUCAUGCUGGCUGUAAUGGGAAGCUUGUAUGGAGGCACACACCUUGGCUUGGAGCUCGCACUGCAAAGGGGCCUGUUAGACCCUUGCGUCGUGCACUUCAGGUGAGGUCUCCUAUGCUUAUCAGCAGCUGAAUAUUGGCUCUUCGGUUAUAUUUCUAGCAUUACUGGCUUUCUGAUUCUCUCUUUGUGCUUCACUAUUCCUAAAUCAGGGUCUUGAUCCGAGAACUACAGCUAGUAUGUUUUCUGAUGCAAAAUGUAUAGGAGAGAAGACAAUUAAUGGUGAGGAUUGCUUCAUCCUCAAGCUCUGUACCGACCCCCAGACAUUGAAGGCAAGGAGUGAAGGCCCUGCGGAGAUCAUUAGGCAUGUCUUAUUUGGCUACUUUAGUCAGAAGACCGGGCUUCUGGUUCACAUGGAGGAUUCACAUUUGACUCGUAUUCAAUCCAACGGUGGCGAUACUGUUUACUGGGAAACCACAAUCAAUUCAUAUCUUCAUGAUUACCGACCUGUCGAAGGUAUCAUGAUAGCACAUUCUGGCCGUUCUGUCAUUACACUUUUCAGGUUCGGGGAAGCUGCAAUGAGCCAUACGAAAACAAGGAUGGAAGAAGCUUGGACGAUCGAGGAGGUUGCCUUUAACAUACCAGGCCUUUCUGUUGAUUGUUUUAUCCCUCCAGGUGAUUUGAAAUCUGGAUCCAUCAGUGAAACCUAUGAACUACCUCAGGACGAAACAGGGACGAGUGCGAUCGCCUUAUCAGCAUAUCAUGCCAAAGUUGCUGCACUCGAGAGGGCACAGGAUAAUUGGCUGACAGUAUGAUUUGCAGGAUACAAGUCUGAAGAAGUGUAGAAUUCACAACUUAGCAAGUGCUCAAAUUGGUAGCUAGUUCAGUUGACUAAUCCAUUAGAAGUUAAAAAAAAGAAGAAGGUAGAAGUCAAUUUUUGGACUUCAGUGUUACGCCUCUAUUAAUCUGUAAAUAGAGCAUAAUGAUUCAUAUCGGGACCUCUAUGAAUCUUUAUACUCUCAAUGCAGAAUCCAACUAUGGAGAGUUGGAGCUCGGUUUUUCCAAUUAGGGAUAGAGCUAAUGGAGGUUGGUUUUUAGUUUACCUGGCUUUGAUGGUAAGUAGCAAAGCUGCCCCAUCGACCCUUUUAUUUUUUCUAUAGUUAUACUAACUAUAUAUAGUAUGGCAGCAUAAAGGAUGCUGCCAGUUUAACAGUAAUGUCUAGGUUUUUUUAUUUUUUUUGAUGUUACAAAUUCUGGAUUUGUGAUUCAAAGUGUGAUGAUUUGGGUUGAAAGUUGUUUUGGGGGGGUUUGAGAGAAGGGAAAGAGAUUUUGCCAUUUUUGUGGAAAUGGUGAUAAAUAGGCAUAAUGGUAAAUGAGAUGGAACUAACUAUAUUUCUUACCUUCUGAAAGUUAUUCAAUGCUUUUGAUGAAUAUACAGUGAUCCCCAUAUUUCCUUCAUUCUUUUCUGAGUUUUAAUACGUGACUUGUGAAUGCCCAGAUUAUCUUUGUACUACAAGUGACGACACUCGAACCCUAAUGCUGUUGUUAGGGUGUUAAUAAGAACUUUGGUUGAACCACCAUAUCUUUAAGAAUAUACUUAAUCUUCCUACACCAAGUAGGCAGCAAUAUCUAAGGUUAUCUUUGACCCAUCACUGCCAUUGGAACCCUUUAAGGCUUGAGUGUGUCCCCUUGGUGGGGUGUCCAAAGCUGUUUUUAGUCAGACAAGCCAACAUAUUUUUGAAGCAAUGCAAAGCCCCACCUUUGACCACAGGUGUAAUGUGGGGUUAGGUUGGUUCAGUGGUGUGAAGUUGUGGUAGCAUCGUUCAAAGCUAAAAAAGCUAAGCACGAGAUGAAAGUUCCUCAAAACCCCCAUGUGAUUCUUCAUUCUUUUGCUUUUGCUUUGAUUCCUUUGCUUAACUGUUUUAACAGAUCUUUUUACCUGCUUUUGCCAACUUAUUUAUUUAUUUAUUUCGGUCUUUCUUCAUCUUUACUCUCUAAGAUAUAUAUAGGUGCUGAGGGUAGGGAAAGUUCCAACUCAUCCCAUGUUUUCUGAAAAGUCAAUCUAUCUUUCUUUUACUCCAUUUUCUUUUUCAGGAGCCACAGAGGACUUCUCUCUAUAUGUAAAAUCAAGUCAUAAAAUUUGGGCAUAUUUUAAUAAAUGCAUUAUAAUAUAUUUUUACUAAAAUGUUUUUCUUUUAAUUUUACAGGUAUUAUAUCUAUUUUGAUUAAAUUUUAUCAUUAUAGAUGGCUUGAGGAGUUUUUUUUUUUUUUUUUACUUUACCGAUGGUGUACAAGACAAUAAUUCAAAAUAAUAAAUAUAAAAUAAGAAAAAAAUACUAUAUAUGUAUUUGUAUUAAGAGUUGAAUUUUAUUUUAUCCUCUCUACUCAAAAAAUGGGUUAAUUAGUCAUGUAUGUUAGAUCAAAGAGCAAAUUGAUCUUUUUGUAAAAUAUUCUAUCCAUUCUUGCUACUAAUAAUUGGUCCAUAGACUAAUUUACUCUUUCAUCUAAUGUACAAGAAUUAAUUUAUCCGUUUUUUAAGUAAAGGUAGCAAAAUACAAUGUGACUUCUAAUAUAAGAGUUUUCAUGGUACUUCUAUUAUAUAAAACAUUAUAAUAUUAUGUAAAAUAUAAAGUUGAGUUGGGAUGUUUUUUUUUUUCAAGAAGUUGGAGGGCAGGUGGAUUGAAGAAAUCAUUUUGGGGUCGGAAUUGGAUGCUAUUAAUUUUGAGUUUAACUUGUUUAAUUUGGUUGACAUCCAUAUUUUUAUCAGUACGAGAAGACGUAGAUUUGAGUGCGUUGUAGUCCAUUAACCUUUUCCCUUAAAAACUUAGCUGUAAAGUAAUUGACAAAACAAUUUACUUACAAUAAAUUUGCACUAGAAUAAUUUCUUGACUUAAACAAAAUAGGUUCUCUUAAUCUCAAGAAUUCUGUUAAAUUGGUGUUUAAUGGCUUGCAAAAGUACAACUAAGGUGUUCAAAUUUCGGUUAAAAUCGAAUGAACCGACCGAAUCGAACUAAUUCGGUUGAUCUGUCAGUUAACCAAUCUAAUUCGAUCAGAGGGUGGUUAAUGGUUUCUUGGAAGUUCGAUUAUCGGUUAAUUCUGGUUGAAAUCGGAUAAUUAACCGAAUUAACCGAACUUUUAAAAAACCAAUAUUAUAUAUUACCAUUUCGGUUAAGGGUUAAGGGUUUAAAAAUUUCGGUUAAUUCAAUUAAUGCUAGUUUGGUUUGGUUAAACGAUUGAGCACUCCUAAGUGCAAUUAAUGUAGAUCUCUCUCUUUUUUUCUCUAUUCAAAAAAUAGUCUUCAAUAAAGAAAAAAGUGGAAGAGAUAUUCUCGAUAUAAACUUCUUUAAAAAUAAAAUCUCUUUAAUUAUGGAAAUUUCGAUCACAUUGAAAGUAUUGAUAAAGUCCUUACUUUGACAUGAUUCUUAUACAAUUUGCCUUCACUAAUGCACUGCCAAAAAAGCCUUCCAAGAUGCUCAAUUAAAAACCCCAAUAGUUUUGAUCAAAAGAUGUCAACCAGUAUGAUAAGUUACAGUUGUUUGCCAAAUGCACGUUAAAUUACAACUGGAGUUGCACCUGACAUUUAUAACUAGCACUAACAAAUUAAUUGAGUGUAAAUCUUUGAUUGCCUUCACUAUGUGUAUACUCAAACAUAUAUGUUGAACAUACAUCCAAUAAUAACAAAAAUAACCAACAAGCUAUUGGUUUAGUAAUAACUUGUACGUGGGUUCAUGUGUUGACAUGCAUCUAGGGUUUAAUCCCUAUGAAAUCCCUUUCGGCUAAAAAAAGGGAAAAAAAAACGUAUACUUUAACAAUUUUUAAGGUAUCUACUAAUUAUUUCAUUUAAUUUUUUAAUACCCUUCAUUUGUGUAGAAGGUUCUUUAGUGGAGAGAGGAGGUGUUGCAAGCAAGUAAAUAGAAUGCAUCAGGAGUAGCUAGAGAGGAAGACUGGAGCAAAUCUUAUAAAUUGAGCGUAGUAAUAGGUGGGGGCUUAUAAUGUGGAAAAAGGUUGCACGUGGCUUAGAAUAAGACUAAGUAUGAGAAUAGUUUAAAAGAGUUUUAGAGAUAGUUUUGGGAGUUAGAAUACUAAAAUUGUUAAAAAGUCCUUUCACAAGUUGCAAAAGGCUUCUAUUUAUAAUGUCUAAAAAUAAGAGUAUUAAAUAGGGGUAAUGACAAAUAUUGUAAGUUAUAAAGGCAUUAAUAUCCUUUUAAUAAUAAAUAGUUUAGGCUUAAUGGUGAAGGGUAAAUAAGGAAUAAGAAUUCACUAUGUUUCUGAAAGAAAAGAGAGAAUCACAUAAUGUUAUAUGAAAAAGUUAAGAAGAAACCUUUUAACUACAUCCUUAUUUGAUCCACCAAAUCGAUCUUCGGAACAUCCUAAGAAUCUUGCCUUAUUUUGAGGUUAUUUCCACUUCUUCCGUUUUUGUGAAGUAAUACCUUGUGAAACAUUUUAUCUAGAACAUCACUUGAAAUGCAAGCUAUUCUUAAUGAAGAAUUCUUCUUGAAUGAGAGUUGUUCCUGAAUAAGGGUUAUUUUUACUUAUUCCAAAAGUGAAUUGUUCUCAACAUAGCCAUCCUUAGUAGUGGUUGUUUCAAGCAAGAAUCGUUUUGCAAUGAUGCUUUUCUUUAAAGAGAUUAUUUUGAAUAAUGACUCAUCUUUAAAAAAAAAAAAGAAAAAGAAACUCACAAUUGUUCUAAAUAGAAAUUGUUUUGAAUUAUGGAUAUUCUAAACAAAAAUUGUUUUGAACAUUAGUUGUUCCCAAAUGACAACUAUACUCACAGCUAUUUAAACUAGAGCUUUAUUCUGAACAUAGUUAUUUUGAACUAGCUAUUCUUAACGACGAUUAUUUUGAACAACAAUUAUUUUAAACAAAAAAUGUUCUUUCGGAAAAAGAAUUAAGUGAAACAAUAUUUUUACUUAUUCAUAGUUAACCUUUUUAUCAUCUUUGGGAGUGCAAUUCACCUUAUUACUCUGAAAAGAGAUAAAAGAUUAGUAGUAAAACUAGUAUCUACAUUUUUUUUGUCGUAAUCAAGGUAUCUAUCGCUAAUGGCAAUGACUAAUCCUCUUGCCAUGGGUGAAAACGAUUAGUCAUAAAAUGUUUUAUUCCCUUGAGCAGAGAUCGAACCCUCAACCGUAUAAUAAAGGAUGAGAUGAGCAAUCACCACACUAUUCCUCAUAAUUAAAACUAGUAUCUACAUUUUAUCUAUCUUAUGGUUUCUUUUUGUGUUUUUUUUUCCAUCUUCAUAAGUUGCAGCAGGAUAUUUAGGGAGUGUUGUUAAACUGGUGGACAUUGUUGAGCACUUCAAAAAUACAUGUGGAUAAUACACAAUAUAAUAUGCAAUAAAAGUUAGCAAUGUCAAUUCAUAUUAGAGUGUCGGCAAAGGAAAUUUGUACGUGAAAGUGGUAAAAACAUAGAUAUUUAUGAGAGUGAAGGGGUAAAAAAAACCAUAUUAAUGGCAGUGCAUGGUGGAGCAAUGGAGCAAGAGGGUAUCUCAGUUGACUUCAACGUACGUUGCUUUCAAUGGGGGGAAAGGGGAAACUUAAUUUAUUUUUAUUUUUGCUAAAAAUUUAUUGAAGAUGGUUAAGAAAAGGACAAUACGAGGGACUUGUACAACAUUGAUAAAAUCUAAUUGUUGCAACAUUCAUAAAAAUUUGUUUUGGGUAAGUGGUGGGAGAGUCUAUCACCUAUCCAUAAGUCGGGUUAUUGGUUUGAAGGUUACUCGAAAUACAAAGGGUUUAGAUAAAAAGACGAUACUCACAAAAUGAGUUUCGGCAAAAAGUAGGCUGAUUAAAAAUAAAGACUAGACCUAAACUUUAAUAUUUAAGGCUCGAACUUAGCUCGACCCACCCAUUCUAUACUUUUGUAUUAUAUUUUUAUUUUAUGUAUAUAUUAUGUAAAUUAUAUCACAUGAAAUUAAAUAUAUAUCUAUGAUAAUACAAUACUAGGUAACAUUAUAACAAAGAUGUCUAAAUUUAAAUUUUUAAUAAAAAAACCAUAUAAAAUAUAAAAUAUUAAAUUAAAAAUAAUAUAUUUUUUAAAAAAAUAAUAUGAACGUGCCUAAAACAGAUUUGGAUUAACCAUUUAUAAAUCUAGGAAAAUUUAAACUAAAUUUUAGACACAUAUUUAGAGUCAGGUCGAACCAAGCUUAGACAAAUAUAAAAUGUGUUAAUAUUAUACAAUACUUGACUCACCCAUAAACACCUCUAACCUUUACUAAUUGAAAUUUGGGAAACUAUUGAGUUGCAUUUUAUAUAUUUCACAAGUAUGCAGGCUAGGUUUUGGGUUGGUGGCAUCCAUGGUUGAAGGUUUGGAAAUUUUAAAAUAUCAAGUUUGAGUCUUAAUUUAUAUAAAUCAUAUUUAGAUUUUUAGUUUAGAUUUGUUUUGAAUCUGAUAUAAACGCAUAUAUUUAACUAAUUUUUGUUUCGAAUAUAUUUUUGUUAUCAGUUCAUUUAUACAUUGUAAUGAUUGAUUUUGAUCGUAAUGAUAUAAACGUAUAUAUUGUAAAUAUAAGUAUAACUUUUAAGAUUAUAUAUAUUUAACUAAUUUUCUUCUAUGUAAAAUGCACAAAUUAAUUAUAUGUAUUAUUUUUAUUGCAUUACAUUAUUUAUUUACAAAGUUUUGAUAUUUCUUAGUAUUAAGUAUUUUUUUAAUUAAUGUCUACCACAUUGCAUAUUGAGAAGUUAUCAUAUGUCAAUAUAAACUAACGAUGUUAAUACGAAGAUACCAACUAGAAUAUAUACGCAUAUAUACAAAUAUGUAUUGUAAUGAUUAAUUCUGAUCGUAAUGAUAUAUAUGCCUAUAUUGUAAAUAUAAUUUAGACGUGAAGUAUAGAUGGAUAUUUAAGAGAGUAAAGGGAGAAAAAUCCCAUAUUAAUGGCAGUGCAUGGUGAAGCAAUGGAGCAAGAUAGUAUCUCAGUUGACUUGAACAUGCAUUGCUUUCAAUGAGGGAAAAGAGGGAAACUUAAUUUCUUUUUCUGCUACAAAUUUAUUGGAGAAAGAUGGUUAAUAAAAGGGACAAUAAGAGGGACUAGGACCAGAUUGAUAAAAUAUAGUUGUUGCAACAUUCAUAAUAAUUUCUUUUUGGGGAGACACCGUGGUUGAUUGAAAUAUGGGAAAUUAUUUUGUAAUAGUGUUGAAGUUUUUUAAAUUUCACAUGUAUGUCAAUGAGGUUUUAGCUAGAUGGCAUGGUCGAGGUUUUGAUAAUUUAAAAUUCUCAAGUUUGAAUCUCACGUUGUAUAAAUUAUGUGUAAAAUUUCAGUUUAGAUUUGUUUUUUACAUUUGAAUAUGUAAAAUUAAAUUAUUUGUAAGCACCAACUCCCUCAUAGACAAUCAUGGGGCUUUAGAUGGGCCUAAAAGUCUCAAAGUCAGCAGGCUCCAUACGCGUCAACUUAGUGGACCCACAUCACUCAAGAACUUGGCCCAUGCAUAUGAUUCAAAAUAAUAGUAUUGUUGUUGGGUCCAAAACCAAAUAAAGCUAAAACUAUGUUGCCUAAAUUAAAUAACUCCUACAAAAUCAUAGAUCAAUAUAGAAAAGAUGUAGAAUAUGCUUCGCAUUUUGGUUAAAUUAAAACACAAAUAGAGAGUGACGUCGUGAUAAGGAGUUUUGGAUGUCGCGACGACACCAUAGGGGACAUUGCAAUUUUCUUGAUUUUCUUCUUCCAGUCAAAUUCUGAUUAUUUGUUCUAGUCGAACUCUAAUUAGUGUAGAUUAUUUUAAGAUUAUUUGACUUACGAAUUUAGCCUAUAAAUAGGCCCUUUUUUCUACCCUAGAAAGAUUAACCCAUAACACAUUUAAGUAUUAGCUUUUACAAGCUUUCUGAGAAUUUUAUAUUUAAGUUUUGAGAGUUCUUAUUUUCAGGUUUCGGGAUUUAGCUUUUAUCUCCAUCUUUAUACUCUUCGUUUUUGCCGAUUUAGUGAAUUAUCUUUGCCUGUGGUUUUUACCCUCUUCGGAGGGGUUUUUUCACGUAAAAUUUGUGUAUUCGAUCUUUUCAAUUUUUUCGUUAUUUUUCUUGUUCAUUGCUUAUACAAGUUUAUCCCCAACAGAAGAGGUCAUUGUCAUCAUUUAAAGCAGAAUCACAUCUUAACCUAACUUAAACUUGAUAAACACAAACUCAAAAAUAGAAAUUUGAUUUCAUAAAUUUGAUAUUCCAAGCUUGAUACUAAAUAAUCAAUACCUACAAAAUACUUAAAAACAAAAAAAAAAAAAGAUAAUCAAUCUCCGCUUCAUCUCACAAGACACAAAGUUUUCAAAGCAAAAUCAAAGAUUCGUUACAAGAUCUAGCCAAAACAUCAAGUAAUGAUCCGAUCAAAAUUCCAUCAAAGAAAUAUUAUUUACAAUUUCAUUAUAUUACUCAAAGAAAUGCUCUCACCACUCCCAUUCAAGGACAGCCAAAAUGUCUCUAAACAUUAACUCAAAACAAGAUCCAAAGAAGAAAGUUGAAGAAUAAAAGAGAAGUUGUGACUAACCCUCUUAAAUCGCUUUAAGCCAAUCAAUUAUUACAUUUAGCUUUAACUACCCAAGUUAUCCAACACAUUUAUUUUGAUAGGAAUAAUACUCAUAAGGACUUUAAAAUAAAGUUGUAAUCAUUAAUUUCAAUUACUUUAUUUUCAUCAUGUGGUAGACAUUAUAACCAUGCCAUUGCCAACAACAUCCACAUGGUACCAUGGUCACAUCUCCCCAUUGCCCACCCAUACAUUCAUGGUUCCAUUUUAACUACCCUUUCCAUGACAUCUAUACAACUAUAUAUUAAAGGCACUAAAGCUUUUCAAUUCUAAUUUUUUUUUUUUUUACUUUUUAGAUUAUAAGAAUGGGUAAUUUCCAAUAUGAUCCCUAUAUUUUAUUUAAAUUUAAGAUUUAAUCUAUAUACUUUAAUUUUGACAUAAUUUAAUAUCUCAAUUUUUAUAAUGCCAUUAGUUAGCCUAAAUAUUUUAUUCUAAUUAAAAUGAUUAAUAUAUGAAUUUUUAAGAAUUGUUAGCACUCUUAAAUUUUUUUAUUGAAUUUAUGUCUGUUACAAUGUUUUUUUUUGUUACAUGCAUACCAAGUUUAUUUUAUUUUUUCAAAAUGCCUAACCAACACAAAAGAAUUUUAACAGUAUUAACAAAUGGACCUAAAUUUUUAAAUUCGAAAAGCAGAGAAACUAAAUUCCUGAAAAUAAAAAUAUAAAGAUUAAAUUCUAAAUAUAUGAAUAAUAAAAAAAUUUGAACAGAUUGUAACCUUUAAAGUUUUACGCUAUAAUUUAAUUAAAAAAUAAAUAACUUAAUUGUACCCUUUGGACAAUAAUUUGAGCAUACCUUCAAAAUUGCUCAAGAUUAAAUGUUGACAUUUUGACUUGAUCUCCAUAAUUGUUUUCUUAUAAGCAAAUAAAUGGUGGUCGAAUUUGGAUGAUUGAAGGAACUAUGAGAUCAUCAUGCCCUUAUCCAUUAAGGCUUACCCUCAUCCUUAUUCUUUAAACAUUAUCUUAUGAAUUAUGCUGAUGAAUUUUCUUAUAUAAGAUUGUAUUUUGAGAUGAAUUUUGGAGGUUUUUAUCUCAAAUUAUUAUGCAUUAAAUUGGUGAUUUUAUCUCCACAAAAUCUGCUAAGAGGAGACUUUUUUACUAGUUUAUAAAUAGACUGCUACUUCCUCGUUGAGUUAUUUGGGUGUAUUUAGACACUCCUUGUUCUUUUGUACUAGCAUAUAAAUACAGUGUUGAUCAGCUUCCUCAUUUAAUACUGUAUGUAAUGUGAGUUAUUUGGAGAGAUUAAUUUGUUUGCAGCUACAAUUAUUAUUGCGAGAGGUUAGAUUGGGCUUUUGCUAAUAGUUAUAUCGGAUUAACUGUUGAAUAAAAUUAUUCUUUGAAUGAAGCUUGCAAAUAGGAUUUGUGAAUCCAUAUUGAUUCUUUAUUUACUUAUCUUUUGUCUCAUGUUUUGAAUUUGUGUUUAUUUCUCUCUUUAUUUUACUUCUUUUUUUAAUGUGUUUAAAAGGUUUUCUUCGAACUUCUAUUCAAUCAUCUAUUUGAAUAUUAAAUUAAAUGUUGAAUGAUAAAAAAACCCGAAAAAACAAUUUAAAAAAAAAAAAGAAUGAUGAGAGAAGGAAGUAGGCAGCCACCAACACAAAAUCCCAUACAAAAAGAAACAAUAGAAGUCCCUCCAAUACAAAUGAAAAAUAUAAAAGCUCCCCUCAAAAAAAAUCUCCCAAAGAAUACAAAUAUAUAUAAAUAAAUGUAAGCUCAAAUAUGCAUAGUAAAAAGCCCCAUCAAAGAGACUUAAGCCAGUAACAAUAUAUAAUGGAAAUUAAAACACUGAAAACAAAAACCAUAGCUAAGACACAAGUGGUGAAGAAAAGACUUCUUGGUUUAAAGCAUUAAACUGAGGAUACCCCAUCCAAUCACCAAGCUCCACACCAUCUUUCUUAUGGACCAUGUUUUCUGUACUCCACUCUGCAAUAAUCAAAUAACAUCUUGUAUUCAUAUUUUUUCCCACUAUUAUUAUAAUUGGAUAUGCAAAAAAAAAAUAGCUUCAUCCAUUGAAAGCUAAACAUGUUUUUGGAUAAAAAUAUAUUAAAUUUGAAAAAAUGAAUUUAGACUAUAAUAUUAAAAAAUAUUUAAAAAAUAAAUUGGGUUUUAGUUAAAUAUUUGAAGUAUAGACAUAGAUAGAAUUAAUUAAUUAUAAAUAUAGAUAAAUUUCAACAAAAUUUAUAGAUGCCAUUAAUAUGAUAUGUGUGUGUUGAUCCAACCUGAGGUCUAAUUAAAGCUUUCCAUGUCAGAGUUUACGUUAGAAUUUAGAACACCCUCUAUAUUUUUGCUAUAUUAGACAUACUUAAAUUUUAAACCCCAUAAGAGAAUAUGCAUAUACAUAUACAUAUAGAUAUACAUACCGUAUCGGUUCCAGCAGGGCCUGGUGAAGAAGCGCCGAGGCUGGGAGUAGGGGCCUCAUUUGAUGGAGACGGUGGGCUGGAGGCCGAAGGUGAUAGUGCUGGAGACUUAGCUUUGGUCUUGCUAGGGGCCGGAGCUGGAACCGUGGCAGGAGGAGAAGCCAAAGGAGCUGGUGGUGGGGUAGCUGGAGGAGGAGUAGCAGGAGGGGGAGAAGCAGGUGGUGGGGUAGCCGGAGGUGGAGAAGCCGGUGGGGGAGUUGCGGGAGGUGGAGUAGCCGGGGGAGGAGAAGCUGGUGGUGGGGAGCUAACGGGCGGGGGAGUCGCUGGAGGAGGAGUGGAAACUGGUGGUGGUGAUGAAGUAGGAGGAGGAGAGGAAGCUGGUGGCGGAGAAGUAGUUGUGGGUGUUGGAGGUGGUUGAGUAGUAGGUGGAGGUGUGGAAGCGGGUGGAGUCGGCGGCGCCGGCGUGGAUGUCGGAGGAUUACUAGGAGUAGGAGGAGCUUGGCCUAAAACGCCAGCUACAGCAAUGCAAAACAAAGCUGAUAAGAACAAAAACUUAUUAUUAAGCAUCAUAUUGGAAACAAUGGUGACCCUUUAAUCCUGCACACCCUCUCCGCUUAAACUACGCCCAGCCGUGCAAGCAAAUGAGGGAGAAGAAGAGGCAAGUAUGAGAAAUGAAAAGAUGGUGAUAUUUAUAUAUAGGAUAUGGAAAUUUCCAUAUCAUAUUUCAAUUUAAAAUCCCCAAAACAAAUACCAGCAUUUUUAUUUUAUUACUAAUGGGAAAAUUGCAUUACUAAUCAUAUACAAUAUUCUAUAUUAAUUUAGUGUAAUUUAAUUCUUUCAUUUUUUUAUAAUGUUAUUAAUAGGUCCAAAAUCAAUAUCUCCGAUCGUUAGUUGCUGUCAUUAAAGUGAUGAUACGAAAUUAUUUUUUUUACUAUUAUUCCAUCAUACAAUCAGAGAUAUAGAAAUCAAUCAAUUUUGUUAAACAAAUAAUAAAUUUCAAUCUGAGUCAAAUGCUUAAAGUUGUUAAAAAAAAUUCACGUCAUCACUUUAACAACAUCAACUAAUAGCGUUAUCAAUUUGUACUUUGUAGCUACCAAUAACAUUAUAAAAAUAAAGGGUCAAAUUAUAUAGAAGUAAAGGAUUAAAUCUCUAAUUUCAAUUUAGUAAAGGGACUAAAAUGGAAUUAAACCUAUUAGUGGGGGUCGGAGUUUUUUCCUCGUUUGGUGAGGUAAAAAAAAAAAAAAACCCUAGUGGGGCAUAGUUAUAAUGUCACUUUGAUGAUUAUAAAUGAUGCGUUAGUUAGUCAUACUUUAGGUAAAAAACUGUGAGGUGGGAUUAGUGUAGAUUGAAAAUUUUUAGUGAAGGGGUUAAUUUAUACCUUCAAAAUUUUGCAAUAUUUGGUAGUUCCAUGAAAUAUUCCCCGCUAUUUAUCAACUUUUCAAUCACUCAAAUAGGUUUUAAUUUAGUUUUGUUGUGAAAUUUCUAAUUCAAGCAUACAAUGAGUAGAUUUUAUUAUGGGUCGGGUCGGGUUAUUAUAAAAUUUUAGGUGUAACGUCCCGAAUUUUUGGGCCUAGAAGUUAAAAGAUUUAAGCAUAGGGGCAGUAAGGAGGCCACACAUAAGUGAUUAGUUGUGCACUAUAGUGAUAAGAAUGGGCUUAUUAGUCUAGUGGUUAAAUGGAGUGUUAAUUAAGUUCAAGGUUUUUGGUUUGAGUCACUAUGUGUACAUUUUGGGAGUCUUUUUAUUUUGUUUUUUUUUAGUUAGUGAUAAUAAUUAAUUAUUUUAUUUUAUUUUUAUUAUUUUUCUUUUCUUUUCCACGUUAGUUCUCUCUACUUCUUGGUUUUUUUUUCUUUUUGUUCUUUUUCCUUGGACUUUCAAUUUGUGCAUUCUCUAUGUUUUUGAAUCGUUUGCUUACAGAUUUCGAAUUGUCGCACCUCUAUCGUCUUCUUCGUCGUUCAAUCAGGUGAGGGAUUCAAACUUUAACUACAUUGUUUAAUUUUGCAAAGUUUACGUGCGGCUUUUCUUGAAUAUGUGAUAACCCGAAGGUUUUUGGGUUUUGAUCGUUGGAAGUGAGGAAAAUACGUUAUAUUGUGAUAUGUUCUUGAUGUGGUUAAGGUUAGGGACAGUUUGGGUGGCUAAAACGGUGUUUUCGGGGCUAAUUUGGGGUGGUUUCAUGACCUCUCCGGCAGCUACACGGGCGUGUGCCGUGGUAGACAGUCAUAUGGAUUUGGGAACUAGGGUUUCCAGGCCAAAUUGGAUGCCACACGGCCGUGUGGCCGAUUUGGGGAUUUUGUCGAAAUUCACACGGCUGUGUCCCCUAGGCACAUGGGCAUGUGGGUUUGGAAUUAGGGUUUCAGAGAUUUGAAGUCACACAGCCUGGCCAUACGGCUGUGUGGCUGAUUUUGGGAUUUAGGGAUCCCACACGAGUGUGUGUUUCGUAACACACAACCAUGUCUAGUUGGCACACGGGCAUGUGAGACCCUCACAUAGCCGUGUCUGCCCUGCACCUUAUUUUAGCGAAAUUGGACAGUGAGUUACACAGCCUGUUCACACAGUCGUGUCUCUGCUUCGCACGGGCGUGUGCCUAUGUCACAUGGCCGUGUGCUAUCCUUCACAAGGGCGUUUGAAGCCUCACACGAUCUGGAUUGCUCUACACGGCUGAAGCAUACGGGUGUGUAGCCCUAUCUCGCCAAAUAAUGAUUUUAGGUCAAAUUUAAGUGCAAUCGUGACUCUAUGUAUUCCAACCCUCGACUGAGCUCUAGUGAGGGUAUUUACGACGCUGAUCUGAGUUUGGAUAAUGUGUUAAUUGUGAUUGGUUAUGUGACAUGUUUGAUUCUGAACCCGGGUUAGCUGGGUGAGUGUGUAUGCAACUAGUUCUGUCUGACUGUUUGAAUACGUGUCAUUGAUAUGCGAGCUUAUUUUGCAAUUGCUACUGAAUUCAAGUUACGAGUAUACUUAAGACUAAUUUUGUAACUAACUGAUUGGAUGUGAGCGUCUACUUCUGAAUAAUUGUUUGAGACUAGUAUUCUGAUUGUGUACAUCUGACUGCAUACAUACAUACAUAUGCAUAAACUAUUUUGGGCGGGAUUUUUGAAGAGAAGGUGUUGUAGGCCAAUUUUGGGCCCGUUUACACUUUAGGCCGAACAUACAUCAAACCCAUUUACAAUUAAACCCCAGCAUAACCCACAACCCAAACCCAACAAAUAAACCCAAAACCAAACCCAAAUUUAACCCAAUUCAAAUCCCAUAGACCCAAACCCACAUGUAAGCCCAAGUUGUUAGACCCAACUAGCUUGAUUUAGGGUUUCAAAAAAACUGAAACCCUAACCUACCCCCAGCGCCGCCAACGUCACAUCGCCCAUGCCAGUCCACUUGCACUACCUUUGCUCCACUGUUCAACCACCACCUGCAAAACAAAAGAGCACGCAACAGCAGCGCAAAAAUAGGAAAUAGACAGUGUAUGAACAACAAAAUCGGCUAUAAAGCCGAAUGGAAACCAAUGUAAUAGAAAAUAUUUUCGGUUAUUUUCUUCAUCAAUACAAAAAAAUAGAUUUAAACAUAUACAAGCAAUAAUUCGGGGAAAAUCAAAACACUAGAAUAACACCAAUUGGGCAACCAAAACAUCAAUAUCAAAAGCCUAAGGUGAUUUAAAUCUUUUUAUUUUUAUUUAUUUUUGAAUCAUACAUACCUAUGUAUUUUCAUAAAUAGUAUAAUAAAAAGGAAAAUAAAAGAAUAAAAAAAAGAUAGGAAAUUUUUACCUUUUCCGGCCACCGUGCGACGGUGGCACACGGCGGUCCGGCAACCAGACGUGGACGGCGACCGGCCUUGUGGCCGGAAUUCGCCUCUCCUUCUCCCCUCUCUCUUUUUUUUCUUUGCUAUGCAGAAAAUGAAUUUUUUUUGAAGAUUUUGGCCUUUUUAUAGCUUCCUAAAACGACGUCGUUUUGGGGGUUGCCCUUUAACCUCAAAACGACGUCGUUUUGCCCUGGAUCAGGUCGACCCGACCCUACCCACUCAGGAUCUGAGUGUUUUUGCUCUUAGGGGCUAAUUGCGCACGCGGUCCUUCCGCUUUUUCUAUGUUUUUCAAUCAGGUUUUUUAUGUAUUUUAAUUUGGCCCUAUAAUUAGUUGCGCUUUCCAAUUUGGUCCUCAAUGCUAUUGCGCAUUUUGGGUGGAGAGGCUUAUUUCGUUUUAAGUCCCUCCACUAUUUGUGCGCGUUGAAAUAGGUCCCCUUCCCUUCUUUUUAUUUCAGUUUUUGCCCCAAGCCUUUUAUUUUUAAUUCGAUUCGAUCCUUUUUUUAAUUACUUUAUUAUUAAAAUUAAUUAUUUUAGUAUUAUUGUUAUUAGCACUAUUCAUGUACAUAUAUAUUAUCAUUAUUGUUACUAUUACUAUUAUUAAUCUUCAUAUUAUUACUAUUAUUUCUUUAUUUUUAUAUUAUAUUAUAUUAUAUUAUUAGUUUUUACUAUUAUUAGUAUUAGUUUUAGCUUCAAUUAAUAUUUUUAACAUGCAUAUUUAUAUACUUUUAUGUAACAUUAUUAAUAAUUAUUUUUUAAAAUAUUAUUAUUAUUUUUUAAUACAUGCAUAUAUAUUAUGUGUAUAUUCUUUUAAUAGACAUUAUGUAUAUAUAAUUUUAUAUAUUAUUUUUAACUUUACAUUAUGUAUAUAUUGUUAAUAUCAUAUUAUUCAUAUAUUCUAUUAUAUUAUAUAACUAUAUUAUGUAUGUAUUUUUAACACUAUAUUACGUACAUACUUUCAAUAUCAUUAUUAUUAUGUAUAUAUAUUUUUAAUAUAUAUAUGUGUAUAUUUAUGUAGUAUUAUUAAUAGUUGUUUUUAAUAUUAUGAUUAUUUCUAGUAUAUAUAUAUUAUGUAUAUACUUCUAAUACUAUAUAUUGUAUAUUUCUAAUACCAUUAUUAUUUAUAUGUGUAUAUGUGUAUGUAUUUAUGUAUCGUAUUAUAGUUGUUGUUUUUUUUGUAUCAUUAUUGUUGCUAAUAUAUAUAUAUCAUGUAUAUAUGAUUUUUUUUAUAUAUAUUAUGUAUAUAUCUUUAAUAUUAUAUUAUUUAUAUAUUUAUGCUUACAUAUUAUCUUACGUAUAUAUUUUUAAUAACUAUAUUAUGUAUAUACUAUUACUAUAUAUCUAUUUAUGUUGCAUUAUCAAUGGUUGUUUUUACUAUUAUUAUUAUUCUUAAUAUAUAUAUUAUGUAUACAUUUUUAAAUACUAUAUUAUAUACAUAUAUUUUUAAUACCAUAUAUGUACAUAUCAUUAUUAUAUCUAUUUUUACCCCUAUUACAUUUGUUAUUAAUAUUAGUAUAUAUUUUAUUAUACGUGUAUAUAUAUACUUUUUAAUAUAGUAUUAUUUUUAUAUAUCAUUAUAUUUAUUAUUAUACUUAUUAUUUUCGCUAUUGUUACUUAUUAUUUUAUUUUAAUAUUAUUGUGUAUUAUUUGGUAUACAUAUAUCUUUUUGUACAUAUUGUUAUUUUUUAUUAUACGUAUAUUAGUUUAUUAUGGUAUUAAUACAUUUUUACCUUUUUCUUUUAUUGUAAAUAUUAUUUAUUAUUACUCUAAUAUCCUAAUAUUAUAUUAUAAUACUUUUUAUUAAUCAUCUCAUUAUUUUGCAUCGUUUAUUUACUUAUGAAUUUUUGUUAACAUCAUCAGUUUUUUUUUAUCAUUAUUUUAGAAACAUUUUUAUUUUAAUAAAUAAUGCAACGUACCGAUUUUAACAUUAAGUUUGUGAUUUCAUCGCUAUGUUGGGUGAAUCACGUUGGCUCGUGUUAAAAACGGGACAUCCUUCAAAAAAACCAAAAACUUGAAAUUUCUCGUGUCUUGGUCGGAUCAUGAUUAAAUAUUAAAUUAAACUUGUAUUUUUGAAAAUUAAGACAACGCGUAAUUAACAAGAUACUAAUUUUGGGCGUCGUGAGGGUGCUAAUACCUUCCUCGCGUGUAACCGACUCCCGAACUCUAUUUUCCUCUGGAUUUUCACGUAGACCCAAAUUCGGCCUUCAUUUUUGUUCAAGAAUAAAUUUUCUUUUCUAAAAAGAAGAUUUAUUAGGUGUCUGAUCACACCUAGAAAAAAGAUCGGUGGCGACUCCUUUUCUUUUUAAAACCGAAAUUCCAUUUUCAAAUAAUCGCCUCAACUAGCGACCGGAAAGUGAAAUUUUUACGUUGCUACAGAAGGAAGAUUGACUGAACUGAACUGAUAGCUAAUAUGUUGCCCCUAAUACCCAGAGGGUCAUGGGCGGUCCCAAUACCCUGAGGAUCGUGGUUAAUUUGACUGUACUGCGGACUAUCGCACUGUACUGUACAGAACAUACAUCAGCACCGCUGCUAUCAUUGACUAAACUGGCAAUUUUACUGCAACCUAACGAUAUAGCGGUCUACCGCAUUGCAUUGUACCGCAUGUACGUUAGCUACGCUACGUACUAUUAUCUGAUCUGGCAGUUCAUACUGCAUGUCUGUACCGCGGUUCACCGCAUUGCACAGUACAACCUAUACGCUGGCUUUCCUACGUAAUUUACGUGACUAGCAGUUUAUCUGCAUACUGUUAGCCCAAAUUCCCAGAGGGUCGAUGGCAAUCCCAAUACCCUGAGGGUCAUGGACAAUGCUGAUGAUCAUCGUUGUCGGGUAACCCGGGAUGACAUCAUAUGGGGUGUAGGGUUGGAUGGGCUUUGCGAGGUCCUGUAUGGAGUGUUUGGUGGGACAAGCUUAAAGCUUUUAUGAGAAGUGAUGGGGGACGGAGAGGUGUGUUGGCUGGAUAGGUGGAUAUUUUUAGAACUCAUUUGUACUCAUAUGUAUCUGAUUGAUCUGUUUAACUGAAUUGGAACUUGUGAAUGGUUGAGAAUUAUUGCUACUGUGACUGAAUGUGAUACUGUUCGAUUGAGAGGCACUUGUGCCUAUGUGAAUUUUGUAGAUUCUGAUUGCGACUGUCUGACUGGAUUCUUACUGUGACUGAUUAAGAUUUGUUGCUACUCUGUCUGAGUGGUACUUGUGGCUGAGUGUAUCUAACUGAUUGAGUUAAAACUAGUGGCAGAAUAGCACUAUGUUUGUGUAGCUGAGUGUAAUUUUUAAUAUGCAUUAACAAAUAUCUGUCUGUCGGUACGUCCGUUUCGAACGUACCCUUUGGUUCUGAAUAGCUCUGUAAGUAUGUUUUAUUUCUGAACUGCUUUUAGUUCCCUGUUUCUGUCUCUGUAGUUUAACUGGUUUGAUCUCAAACUGAGCUCGAGUAGCUCACCCCCUCUUUCGUUUCCCUUUUCAGGUACAAUUCUGGAUUAUGUUGAUGGACUUGGCACGCGAAGGUCUCAGACAGUCUCGCAAACAAAUAAAUUAUCAGUUUUGUUUUCCGUUACGAUUUUGUUAUUUGGUUAACUUUGAACUGUAAGGCUUUAUAAUACUGUGGUACAGUUUCCAUUUUAGAUUUUCAUGCAUACGUUUAUUUUGGGUUUUAUAUUGAGUCUUACUGUAAAUUUUAUUGACUGAUUAUUAAAUGGUUUUAAACACUUUUGGUUCACUGAGAUGAGUUAUUUUGUAAAAUUUUCCUACGAUCACUUCGGUGAUCAAUGUAGCAUUCCGAAUUCGGUCUAGACUUUUAGGCCGAGUUUGAGGUGUUACAUUAGGUUUAUUUUUUAGGUUCUAAUUUGACUCGAAAAAUAGGUCUAAAAUUUUAACUAAACCCAGUUUAGAUAAAAAUAUUAAACCCAAGUCCAAACGUAUUAAACUUUUUAUAUUAUUAUUUAUAAAAAAACAAAUUUAAAAAAUAUAAUACAUCAAAUACACUAAAAAUAUUAAAAUAGAUGUUUCCUAAUAAAUUGAAAAUACAUUAAAAAAGUUUUUAUACUUAACAAGCAAAUGCCUUUAAAAUAGUAGCAAAAUUAACAAGCCCAUGAUUAGGUCUAAUGAUGAGUUCUUUUGUUAGUAAUGUUUAUUUUGGUAUUUGAGUUUUUUCUGUCUUAAUUUGGUACUUAAUUUUGACUUUAAUUUUUUUCCAAUUAAGCACUUAAGUUUGGCUUCAAUGUUCAAUUUGGUACCUAAUUUUUUUUGUCCAAAUUAAUUACCUAUAUAUUUUUUACCAAAGCAUGUGUGUCAAACAUUUAUUGGAUCAUAUGAUGACAUUUGGCUUAGGUAUCAAAUUGAAUAUCAAAUUCAAACCUAAGUACUAAAUUGAAACAAAAAACACAAAUACUAACUUAAGUAUUAAAGCUAAACUCAAGUAUCAAAUUGUAUAUUAAUCAUUGGUAAACAAAAUUUCAAGGAUUAGCAUCUACUAAGCUUUCAUUUUCCCUUUUGCAUGUUACAAUUGAUAUUUGUUUAACGCAUAAACUUGGUAUCUUUUUUCCCGUAAUGAUCCAUUUUCAACAAUUUUUGUACACCUAUAUUAAAAUCUGAAAUAAUUUGGUUAUCUUCAACAUACAUAAAGCUGUUAUAUUAAAGUUUAUUUAUAGUUGAGAUUUUUAAAGGAUUUUUAUAAGAUAUUUUUUACACAUUCUUUCCAUGACAUUAAGGAGUAGGGAAGAAAACGUGGUAGUGUUAAAAGGAUCAGUUCAUCUAAACAAGCGGAAAGUCAAAAUAAGAAACAAAUUAAGGAGGAGUAGGGGACUCACACAUCCAUAACAUAUGCAUAUGUUAAUAUUAAAAAUUUACACAACGCAAUUGUAAAUGGUGAGACUUGGACUUCGAUACUUAAAGACCCAAGAUAUCGCCUUAACCAAUAAUGUCAACAAGAUCUCAUUAACUUUUUAGGAAUUUUCUUAACUUCACAUAUAGGGAUUAAAAAAUUACGAUAUAACUCAAUAUAAUAUUAAAGAGUAAAAGUUAAUCAAAAUUUACAUAUAUCACUCAUUUAAUCAUAUGUGUACAGAUAAAAGGAAGCCACUCAUCCUCUUGCCAACCCUACGUGUAACAUAAUUCACUAUAAAUUCCACCUACAUAUACAUACAUACAUAAAUAUAAAAGAGAAUUUCAUGGUCUUGGACUAGAUUGGCUACAAAAUUUGACAAACGGCAUGUGUAGGAGGAUUAAAUUCGAUGAAUUGCAUGAGAGUUUCUCCUUUUUGAUAAUUUAGUACAUGAGAGAAUAAUGAUGAUUGUGGGGGGGGGGGGGUGCUCCAUCGAAAUAGCUGGAAUUUAUUUAUUUUAGUGAACUGGCAAAUGUAAUUUGUACGCCAAGUUAUAAGGUGAAAAAGGGAGAAAUCAUAUAGAUUUGGUUGGUAAUGGUAUGUUGAUGUUGGAACACCUGCGGUGCACCGCCACAAUUAGUAGGCCCCUAGCCCCGCUGUCACCCCAUCAUAUGUGCUUUUGGAUGGAUCCAACAUUUUCGUGUUCUUUCAUUCUUCAACAUCAUCAUUAUUAAUUAGUUACUCUUCAAUUUCUAUAUGUAAUUUGCUUUCUUUUCAUUCAUAGGUUUUCUGUUUUCUGUCUUUGAUUUUGUCUUGUGCACAACUGAUGUCCUCCAUUUUUUUCCCCUUUUGUAGAAUUGGGUUUGUCACUUUAAUAGUGCCCGAAAUUAUUUUAUGGAUUUUUUUCAUCAUAUCAUUUAUAAUCUAUUUUUAGUUAUUUAAUGAUAUUUUAGUAAUUUUUUUAUGUUAUUGACACAUAAUUUUACUAAUUUUUUUACCCAGAACCCUCAAUCUUGAGUUUAGAAUCUUGAACCCCGAACCUUGAACCCUAAACUCAAACAUUAAACUCCAAACCUAAACCUUAAAUCUUGAAACCCUCAAGGUUUAGGUUUGAGGUUUAAGUUCAAAUUCAAGUUUGUAGUUCAGGGUUCGAGGUUUGAAAUUUAAGGUUCGGGUUCAGGGUCAGAGUUCAACAUUCAGGAUUCUAGGUUUGGGGUUUAAGAUAAAAAAAAAUUACCAAAAUUAUAUGUCAAUGACAUGAAAAAAAAAUUACUGAAAUGUCAUUAAAUAAUUAGAAAGGGACCAUGGAUGAUGUGGUGGGAAUGGUCCAAAAAUAAUUUCUCAUUUGUAUGGGAUAUUAUUCAUUAUCUAUUAUAAUUUGAUAUCUCUAUUUUUAUAAUAUUAUUAGGGGAAAGGAUUGUAUGAAACAGUGACGCCAUGUCAUCUGUAUCCCUUUCCAAUAAUUUUAUGCCAUAUCAUUACUUUUAUCCUCAAUUUCAGGAUUUUAUCCUGAAAAAAAUCAAAUCCAAAUUAAAAUCCUGAAAUUCAGGAUAAGAAUAUUGAUGUGGCAUAAAACUAUUGGAAAGGGAUACAGAUGACGUGGCGUCACUGUUUCAUACAAUCCUUUCUCUGUCCAAAUUUAUAACAAUGUUGAUUGCUUCACUAAAAUGAGAAGGUCCAAAAGAGUUAGAAGAUGUUAUUGAGAUUAAUAAAGGAGUAAUUUAUUUCGAGAUAGAUUAAUAUAAUUUAUUUGUGUUUUUUAUUUAAAAAAAAAAGUAAAAGGACGUAGUAAAGGAAUUUUCAUGCAUCAAUAAUUUAUUAUUUAAACUAUGAAAUUUCAAAAAAGAAGAAAUUCAUGUUGAAAUUGAUACUAUCAAGCAAUUUAAAAGUGUAAAAAUUUCAGUAUCAGCUGGAUAUUUAAUGUCAAAUAAACUAAAGAAAUGAGAAACACAAGCCAAUUGUCCACAAUGAUUAACUUGUUCCUAAAAAGAAAGUUGUACAUAGACUUUGCUUAUAAAUCAAUCCAAUUUUUUUUUAUAUAAAAGGAAACAUAUUACAUACUUAUAUUGAGUUAUUUGUACCACAACCCACUUAAAUUAUGAUUUUAAUUUUCGAUUGAGUCUUAGUUCAAUUGAUAUUGGCAUUAUUAUCUGUGGAGGAGUGGAUUCAAGUGCGCUGAAACGCAUUAUCCUUCUAUUUAAAUGUUGGGAAGGAACUAUAGAUUCGAAAGCAGAUAUGAUAAGAACCUAUAAUAAAAUUAAUGUAAUGCCUCCUUUUUCCUUUAAAUCCUACUUAAAACACACUUACUUAUUAUUUGCUAAAAUAUUGACAAAUCUAUAAUUUGAAUUCGAACAUUUAUAAUUCAAUCUUGGUCCCUUUAAUACAAAAAAUGUUGGCUUCACCCUUGAUCAAUUUAGUCAUCAAGUUUUUUUUUUUUAACAUAAAUUUCAAUAUAGAUUCUUAUCAUAUUAGCUCUUUUUGAUACAAUGCUUAUAACUAUCCAUAGCCCUUCCCCAAUCAUUAAAUAGUAGGAUAAUACACUUUAACGUAUUCGAAUCCACAUCCUCUUCUACUGACAACAAUGUCAAUCAAUACAAUUUUAAAUACGAGUGUACUACUUAGAUAAUCAUAUCCAAGGUACACAUACUUUUAAAAUUUGAUCCACACACUUUAAAUAUACCCCACCUCUGAUCUAAUCUAGCAUUUAUCACCUAAGCUGACGGUUAGAGGAACAAAAGAACUUGAUUGAUAUAAUAUCAAUAUUUUAUAGACUCAAUCGUACCAUAAUUAUGGACGUUUUCGCUGAGUUAACUCUAUAUCUAAAUAAGUCAUGGUAAACAUUCAAUAUUAAAAAAGAUAAAGGGAAAGUAUAAUAACCCAAAACACCAAAUUUUGGUUGGUUUAAUUUGCAGCUUUAACCAAUGCUUUUGCAUGAUCCAUCAAUUAGUGAGGAUUUUGAUCUUAAUUGGAGGGUCCCAUUCGGUUAUUAAGCUCUUUUUCCACCCUCAUGAUUGCCAUAACAUGGGCCCUUACCGUUUUACUUUGGAUACCCUUUUAUCUUUGCUUUGCUUUGCUUUGAUUUAAGGUUUUAUACAUAAAUGGUCACUUAAACUAUACCUCAAUUUUUAGAUUUGUCCUUAAAGUUUUUUUUUUAUCAAGAGUGGCCCCCACACUAUCAAAUUUAUCUCAUUUUACCCAAAAAGCGUACAAUAUCCAAUAAAAAUAUUUAAAAUGUGACGCGUGUCACAUUCUUAUUGGUUAAUAUCAUUUUUUGAAUAAACAAAAAUAAAAUUAACAGUUUAGCGAUCACUUUGACCAAAUAAAAAAGUUUUAAGGACUACUUUAGGAAUUUAGAUAUAACUUAAGAGUUAUUUUAUUAAUAAAGCUUUGAUUUAUUCAUCAAUUAACACUGAAAGAGUUUUCCUUAAUUUACUCAAAUGGUCUUUUUGUUUGUAUCACCUAACAUUUUGAAGAACAUCCUUUCUCUGUGUACCUCAUACAAUUCGUUAAUACGAAAAUUUUAUGAUUUUUUUAAAAAUAAAUUUAAUUGUCACGUUGCAGGUUACAAAUACUUUUAAAUAAGGGCUUUUUUCAUACAAGAAUACCAAUUAAAAAAUAUCUUCAAAGGUAUAUCAGUUAUACUCAGAUCAAAAUGUUUAAACUUAAUUUAUCUAAUUUCUUCGGCAGGGACCUAACCCAAAAUUGGUAAAAUUAAAAUUAGAUCUUUAUAAUUUUGAAGCAUUAAAAUUGAAUUUUUUUUAAAUUGUAAAAUUAUAAAUUUAGCCCCUAAAAAAAUUAUAAUUCAACUUCAGCCUCUAAAAUUUUUUCCUCUAACUUCAUCUCCCCAUAAUUCAAUAUAUUUAAAAAAAUUUGUGACUGACAUUACCAACAAAAAAUAUAUUUAUAAUUAGUAUUUAAUAUACAAUUAAUGAAAUGUUUUAAUUCUAUAAGCAAUGUUCAAAAUUUUCAUAUAUCUCAAUUUUUAAUAUUUUUUUUAUUAAAUCAUGAAUGAAAUAUAUAUUACCUUUCAGAUUUUACUUGUAGAGUCUAAUAACUAUAUGACGCAUUAAAUCAUUAUACAUAUAUAAGGUCAAGUGGUCCAUAGGUAGCUUAGAGUACAAGGGAUUAAGUUGAGGGUCUCUUAUCAUUUUCCCCAAAUGUGAAGUGAUGUUAACUGCUUAGCUUUCUCCUCUUGCCCCAUUCAUUUUCCUUCCUUUCCACAAUAUAUAUUGUAUAAGUAUUUAUGGGUAAUCGAUUGAGUAUUUACUCGAUUAAUAUGAGUAUUAAUGUCAAUAGAGGAGGACGUAGAUUUGGCGCAUUAUUCUUCUAAUCAUGGGUUGAGAGGCUAUGAGUAGUUUUAAAUAUUAUGUCCAAAAAAAACAGAUAUGAUUAGAACCUAUAAUAAGAUUAUUUAAAAAAAUAUUUAUGGGUAAUCAGUUUAUACAAUUUCGAUUAAAUGUAUAAAUCCAAUCAUUAAUCAUUAAAUUGUUUUACUUUAUGCCAUAGUAUUGUUUUAACUGCAUAAGCAUGUGGGUUAAUGAAAACUACUUAUAGUAUCUCAAUUAAAUGUAAUCAACAACCUCAACUCAUAUCUCCCAUCUCUCUCACUCUCAAUUAUAUAACCUAUUAAUAAUUAACAUUAAUAACCCACUUUCAAGUAGAUCUCAGGCUACCUGCCAUGCCAAGCCUAAAGCUUAUAAGAUGCUUGAAAAGGUUUGCACAAAUAUACAAGAAUAAGUAGGAUAAUGGUUUGGGCAAAAAUUAAGCUUAAUUAUUUAAAUUAUAGAUUAAAUUUAUCGAUAAAUCAUGUUAAGCGUAAUGAUAAGAUAUAUUAUACUCUUAAGAAAAGAAUGUAGAUUCAAAUACUAGAAACGAUAUUGUUAGGAAAAGUAAUCACAAAUCUCAAACAUGAAUCAUAAAAUAAACAUAUAAAAUACUAAAAAAAAUCGAAUUUAAACUCAUUUAAAAUUGUUGAAACAUGGAUAAUUUAACUCAAUAUUGCAACAGGAAUUUCGAUAUAGUUUCUAUAAAAUUUAGUGUUACAAUAUGAUUUCCCAUAGAAGUGUGAUAAAAUCAAUAAUGUUGACUUGUAUUAUUGCAUUAAGUAGUGCAUGAAAUGUAGGAUUCUAUUGUAAAAGAGAAUUAGAUAAAAUUGUAUAAAGUGCAUACUAAAAACUGUUUUGGAGGCUUUAAAGAAUUCUAUUCGCUUAAAAGGUAAGAGUCUACUUCAUCAGCUAAGGUUUACAAUGUAGGGUAAGUGUUCAAUCGAAUUAAGUGAAAAAAUUUUGAGUUUAUCGAGUUGAUGAGUCCUAUUUUAUCAUACUAACUUGAUUUGAAAUUUUCUCGAAUCGAGUCGAGUAAAAUGAAAUUCAAGCCAAAUCAAAUCAAGUGAAAUUAUUUGAGUUAAAUUAAAAAAUUAAACAUGUCAAAUUAAAAUCUUGUUAUAGUAUAACUAAUUUUAUGUUAGAGCACAUAAAUUUGAAAUCACAUAUAUUUGAAAACUUUUUCAAAGUAAAAUAAGAAAAAAAAUAAUUUAAUAUAAUAAACUUAAAUUAUUAAUUAACUUUUAUUUAAGUCCCCAAAAUUAUUAUUUUAAAAAAAAUUAAAUUUUUAACUUUCUUUAUAUACUUUAUAAUUUUUUUAAAAAAAUAUAAAAUUUGGAAUUUUUAUAAAUAUUUUGAAUUUUAAAAAUUAUUAUGAAAAUUUUGAAAUUUAUUUUGUAUUUUUUGUUGAAAGAGAUCAAUUUGCUUUUUUUUUUAAAAUUAAUAGGGACCAAAAGGGGUAUUUAUACCAAUCUAUUAUUCGAGUUAUUCGAAUUGUAAAAUUCAACUUGACUUGAACUCAGAACUCGAAUUACUUAUUCGAUUUAAUUCGAAAAAAUUGAAUAAGAUUCAAUUAACUUAGAAUUCGAUUUUUAUUUUAUUUUUUUGAUCAAAUCGAGUUUUGUUCACCCCUAAUAACUUGUUAGCAACUUAUGCAAGAAUUUUUUAAUUUUAAAAUAAAAGCUAAUAAGAUUAUUUUAUCUUGAUAUUAAAUGCUAUUUAUACAACAUAUAAAAGAUGGUGGAUACACACAGUUGGGGUAGACUUUUUGAGUGUUUCAUUUUUCGGGUUGAGGGAAUAUUUUGCAAGGUAAAUACACCUUGAUACCCUAGGUAUUAUUUGGAGAAUUUUAUUCACUUGUAUGCAAAGAUGUUUGCAAUAUGUGAUAAUAUUUUGGGAGAUUGGAUGCAAACAAUUGCAUACUAGUGAAACUACUUUUUAUCUACAUUUUGCAAGAUAGAUACAUUAUAAUUAGAGGUGUCCAUAAGUCGGAUUGGAUCCAAUCAAAAUUUUAUACCCAUUUGUCAGGCUAAAAAUAUUAAAAUUCGAGUCCCAUCUGGCCCGUUCGUAUUAAUUUUUUUAUAUAAUUUUUUAAAAUAUAUAUAAUACAUCAACAAUACUAAAAACAUUAAAAUAAAUGUUAAAAACAUUAAAAUAAAUGUUCCCCAACAAAUUGAAAAUAAAUUUACAAAUUGAUUAAUAAAUUUUAAAAAAAUAUGUAUACUUAAAUAACACUAAGAUAUGUAUAACUUAACAAGCAAAUACCUCUAGAAUAGUAACAAAAUUAAAAAUAAAACAACAGUAAUACAAUAUCCAAAUAAUAACAAUAAAAUAGUAGCAAUAUAAUUGUGAAAUGGUAGCAAAAUAAUGAAAAAGAAGAAGAAAAAAAAGAAAAAAAUUACAAUUCUUUUAUUUUGCAUAUUCGGGUCGGCUAUUUUCUAAACGGACCUUAUUUUUCAGCCAAAAAAGUCUUACCUGAGGCUCAACCCGUUUUCUAAACAAGCCUUAUUUUUUUGCCUAAACACAUUUUUCGGGCCUAUAUUUUUAUCCAAACCCUCCCACUUUUCAGGUCGGGCCACAUGUACAGGUUUAACCAUGAUAUAUUAGGUAUUAUUAUAAACUACUAAAUACUAAAUAAAAAAUAACAUUUAAAAUUAAAAAAAUGAAAAGAAAAAAAAACUUAAAUGAAUAUAUACAAUGUAACAAGGUACAUAAACCUACAUUGUGACAAGUGUCGCAACUUUAUUUUUUUAUUUAAUUUCUAUAUUGUUUAUCUAUUAAAUAAAAUUAAAAUAAUUUAAACACAAUUUUAUCUUAAUGUAUUACAAAAUUUAAUUAAAAUAAAUGAAAAUUGUUAUUUGGAAUAUAUGGAUUUUAAAAAUAAUAAUAAUUUUCAUUUAAAUAAAUUUUACAAAUAAUAUAUAAUGCUGAUUAUAUAGUUUUAAAUAAUAUUUUAAUAUAUGAAUUGUUAUCUACAUAUUUAUUUAAAUAUAUUACAAGAAUUAAAACUAUUUAAUAACAUAUUCAUCAUAAAAUAAAACGAGAAUUAUAAAUUAUUAUUAUUAUUAUUUUAAAAUAUUUAUUUAAAUAAAACUAUAUGAGCAUAGGUUGUAACAUUCUACAUAUUUAUAUAGGUAAACCAUCAUGAUAAAAACUAUUAUCAUAAAAUUUUGCACUUUUUAUUAUAUGAUAUGUAUAAAAUAGUUCAAUUAGAUAUGAUUAAUAAUAAUAUUUAUGCUCAUAAAAUUAUCAAAUUAUAUAUUACAAUGUAUUUAUAAUGGCUCAAAUAUUAAAUAAUGGUUUACGGGUUGUAAUAUAUAAUAGUUCAAACAUAUUAUAAAUUUGAAAUAUAAUAUAUAUUAUAUUGAAUUAUUAUUAAUAGUAGAUAAUACUGUUAUAAUAAUUUAUAGUAGUAAAAGUAAAGGGUGAGCUAACAAUUCAGUGUGUAACUCAAUCCAAACAAUCAGCACAAAUACAGAUACAGUAACAAAGAUGAAUAUAGAUACAGAUAUAAAUCCUACUUCAUCCACUACACACCAUAUUUGUUCAUCCCUAGACAUCAAUUAGAGUAUUAAAUACUCAUGCAACCUUACCCACCUAGAAGUGAGCGUAUGUCACUUUUCAGAACAGUGCAAUCAAGCUACCAGAAAUAAUGUAAUAAUCCGCCAGAAUUAGAUAAGUGUGGUCAAGCCAUCAGAACAAAUAUGUGGUUUAAACCACCAGAUAAGACAGAUCAUUAAAUUGUUAACACUUCCUCCAUCAUAUUAUUAUCCCACCUUAAUGCAUAUGCAAACAUUAAUCAGGUAACAAAUGCAUAUAUAUCAUACACGCUAUACGUAUCAGAAUAUACUAUCAUGCUUUUAGAAAUUGCACAAACAGAAUAUUAGAUUUCAUAUCUAUAAGUCAUACAUAACACAUUAUGAAACCUACAAAGUGGCUAAUCUCGAAUCGUACUUUAAAUACGGCCUAACUAAAUUUUAUAGAAAAUGAGCACACAUGCCCAUGUGACCCACACGGUCUGGCACACGGCCUCACACAUACUCAUGUGGCCCACAUGACCCACUUAACUUAGCCCAUGUGGCUCACAUGGUCGUGUGAUUUACACGGUCUGGCACACGGCCAUGUGGUGUCGACAAUGAAUUUUUUGGCUUCGCAUCGUUCAUUGUUUUUCGAGAUUAUCAUUACAGACUUGGUCGUUUUUCGAUACUAACACCACGAAAAAGAUUCCAGAACUUAAAACAACAUUUAACACGAACAAUUUAGCAACGAUACACUAAAUAUAAUCCAUUAAUUCAACCACAACCACUAACAUUAGGCCUUAACAAGCUGGAAAUCAGUCUUUUGGGCAUUCGAUUACUUACCCAGAACAGUAGUGACAGUCCUAAAAAUCUCCUAAUUCACUAGAAGGAUGUCACAUGCCUCACAAACUUCUCCUAUUGAAACAUCAAAACAAUCAAAAAAAUGAAUAUUGCAUAAUACUACAACCCCUAUUCGUCAUACGGAAACGAAUUAACCUUACCGAAGAAUGCACUUACAAGACUUACACUUAAACAAAAAUAUGAAUUCUUUGCUCGAACACGGCGCUACGGUGAUUACAUGCAAGAAAAUCAAUACCACAAGGAUUUAAACAUUGGACCUCUAGGUAAGCUGAAGUUUUACCACUAAAUCAACAAGCUCAUUCUUAUCAUUAAUUUAGCAAAAAUAAUAUAUAAGCUUAAUAUCCAAAGUCGGUGGUUGGGACAAAAAUAACAAAAAUUUAAAUGAAAGAAUUUGAACCUAGAACAUCACACACACUAACACAACACAUAACCAAUAAACUAAAUUAAUCACUUUAACAAUAUUUAACAAUUCAAAAAUAAGAAUUUUGAGACGUUGCUAAAUUGUAUCAUAUAUCAUAUAUCAAACUUACGAUACAUCAUUCAUAAAAAUUAUAACAAACUUACGAAAGGAUUUAAUGAUAUUUAAUUCUUAACGGGUAAAAACUUAUAUCAUAUAUCAUAUAUAUUUAUAUAUUAAGAAUUUGAAUCAUUAAUUAUAUAUCUAUAUAUUAUAAUAGUUUCAUCUUUCAAAUUUUCUUCCUCAUAAUUAAAGCAUAAGUUAUAUUUAUAAUAUCAUAAAUAUAUUAUAUUUCAAAAAUUUACACACAUAAUCAACCUAUACAUCGCUCGUGAUAAGAAAACUAAUUUAUAAAUAUGAAUGUACAAAAUUCGAGCUAAAUCUAGCUUCAAUUUUCCGGUGAACUUCUUUUGACUUUAAAUCUUACUUUUUCUUCUUCUUUUUGGCAAAAUAACUUAUUUGGCACAAAAACAAAAGUCGUUUUAACUUUUUUUUUCACCAUUUUUUAGCAUUUAAACUUGCAUUUUUUUGUUAAAUCACUCCAAAAUGAAUGGAAAAGUUAACAUUUUUAACUUUGCUGAUGUUUCGUACAUGUGGAUAACACAUCAACAUUUAAUAAAUCUUAAAAAAAUUAUAAAAACUAUUUUUAAAAUUUAAAAUAUUAAUAUUAUAAAAAAAUAUAAAUAUUUUUAAAAAUUAAUUAAAUGCUGAUGGGUCAUCUACGUAGCAAUCCAUAUGUAUGUCAUGUCAACAAAGUUAACAAAUAUUAAUAUUUUCAUCCAUUUUAGGAUGAUUUAACAAAAUAUAUAAAUUUAAAGACUAAAGAUGCGAAAAUAAUUAUAAGACCAAAAUGACUUUUUUUUUUAAUUGAAGGACGAAAUAAAUGAUUAUGUAAAGUUGUGAAUAUUAAUAUUACCAUAACAAUCAUAAUUCGCUUAUGGUUUAUUCAUUUUUAGGGUUUUCCUUACUAGGAGUCUAGGAUACUUGAAGGCAGAUAUUAUUAUUAUUAUUAUUAUUAUUAUUAUUAUUAAAUUUAAACAUAUUUUUUUAAUUAAGGAACAAUAAUUUGGUCCGGGUCGGUCCUUGGACAGUAUUGUAAUUUCCCAAGUUAUUAACAUUUGUUUAGGGUUUCUCAUAGUUAAGAAUUAAGUGGGCUAAUUUCCCAACUUAGAUUUGAUGAUACGAUUAAAAAAUAGGAAAUAUCAAAAUAUGAUCAUAUGAAUUAUUAAUACUAGUUUUUUUUUAUCUGAGUAAAUAGAUAAUUACUUGAAUCAAUUUAAUAAAAAUUAAUAUACUAAAAAAUACAAUUCCAUCAUUUUAAUAGUUUAUAUAUUUAUAAUUUUUAAAGAAUUAAAUUAAUAUUUUAUCAUUUUAGGGAGUUAAAAUUUAAUUUUACUAUUAUUAAUUUAAAAUUUUAUAAAUUAUAUGUACAUACCCAAUUUUGCCAAACCCAAAUACAUUUCAAACCCUUACUAACCCAAGUCUGUUUACAAUAUUUUCAGCCCAAUUAGCCUAACCCAAGUACUACUAGCCCAAUACCCUAAAUUAACCUAGCCCAGCAGCCCAAAACAAAUUAGCAGAGAGGAAACCCUAAUUCCACUUGCCUCCUUACUUGCGCCGCACGCUCUUCUGCCCUUGGCUACCACGCCCCACUUUCUUCUGACACCAGCACUGGCCACCUGCUCCACCAUGCCUCUGCCACCGCCGUUCGCCCAUACCCUGCAAAAUGAAACAAAUGCCAAGACAGAAGCAGACAGCACAAGCAGUAACAGAGAAUAAAACAAACAAUACUUUAAUAUGGGAAUCGGCUAUAAAGCCGAAAUGGAAAAUCUGUAAAAGGGGGGAUUUUUGCUAUGAAAACAAAGAUUUUCUUUCAAUUUUAACAGAUUGAAUACAAGAACCAUUCGAAAAUACAUAUACAAUCAGGGGCUCUAACACCAAAUCGGAGAAUCAAAUCUAAAACCUAAGGUGACUUUUCUUUCAUUUUUUCUUUACUAUUUUGAGUUUGUUUUUUACACAAAAAUACUAAAAAAAAUAACAAAACACAUAAAAACAUAUAUAUUAUUAAGCAAAAAAAAAGAAAAGAAAAUUUACCUUUUCCGGCCACCGUGCACGGUGGCCGACGCCGACGAGUCUCCGGUAACCGUCCGGCGACCGGACCCCUGGCCGGAGUCCCACCGAAAAUCGCCCUCUCCCUCUCCCUCUCCCUUUCUUUUCUUUUUUUUCCUUUCCCCAUCCCCAAAUGAAUUUUUUUUUAAUUUUUAACUUAUAUAGGGGACCAAAACGUCCCCCCCUUUAAUAAAUAAAACGACGUCGUUUUGGACGCGGGUCGGGUCGACCCAACCCGCACCAGGGCAGGAUCCGCGUGUUUCUUAGCGGAAGGGAAAUUUGCGUGCUCGGCCUUUCCGCUUUUCUGAGAUUUCACAAUUACGUUUUUUAUGUUUUGUAAUUCGGCCCUAGAAUUUUUCAUCGUUUUCAAUCUGGUCUCCGUGCUGCGCAACGUUUAGAUAGUUGGGAUUAUUUUCAAUUUUGGUCCCUCCAGGUUGCGCGUGCCUCACAUUUUGAUCCCUCCUCUUUGUUUCCUUUUUAAAUUGACCCCACAACAUUGUUUUUAAUUUAAUUUUAGUCCUUUUUCGUUAUUUUUAUUUCCUUAUUAAAUACUCUUAUUAUUUUUAUAUUAUUAAUUUUAUUAUGUAUUAGUUUAUGUUUUAUUAUACAAUUAUAUAUUUAUAAUAUGUAUACACGCUUAAUAUAUUUGUAUAUACUUAUAUAAUAUUAGUACUAAAAGUUUUUAUUUUAAUAUGUAUAUAUUACCUAAAUGUUUAAAAUUAUAUAUGUACGUAUAUUCUUCAUUAUGUUCUUAAUACUAUACUUUACAUAUAUCGUACAUUUUUGUUUCAAGUUUGCUUUCAUGUAUUGUUUAGUCAAAAUUGUUUUAUUACUCAUUUUAAAAUUGUUUCACAUACUUUGCUUUAAACAUUAUAUCUCUUUCAUAUUAUGCACGUCAUUUUUAACUCUAUAUUGUAUAUCACAAUCUCAUAUAUUAUGUAUGUACUUCUCAUAUUAUUAGUUAUGUAUAUAUUCUUUACAUUAUCUUAUGUACAUAUAUUUUUCAUAUUAUAUUAUAUACCUAUCCUUUUGAUACCAUGUUGUAUAUAUUUUCAAUACUAUAUUACAAAAAUUUUUACCAUAUUAUGUAUGUUAUGUAUAUACGUUUUAAUGUUUUUGUAUUAUCUUAUAUGUAUAUUUUAAUAACUAUAUGAGGUAUGUAUUUUUAACACCGUAUUAUGUACAUAACUUUCAACAUCAUUGUAUACACACUUUUUAAUACUAUGUUAUUUAUACGUUUUUAUAGGUAUCGUGUACAUGCUCUAAAUACCAUCAUGUAUAUAGUUUUUUAUUGUUACUAUUAUGUAUACAUAUAUAUAGUAUCAUUAAUAGUUCUAAUAUCAUGCUCCCAUCACUUUGCUAACUAUUAUUAUAUGUUUGUAUAUAUUAAUUCUUAUUUCGCGUUUAAUACUAUUGUUAACAUAUUUAAUAUCGCAUAUAUGGCCAUUGUUUUAAUAUUCUCGUCGUAUUUAUCAUUUAUUUCAACAUAUUUCUAGCCCUUCCAUUUGUUCACUUUUAUUUCAUAUCAAUUUUGCUUGGCAUUUCUUCGAAAAUCUUAUUCUCGUUUUCUAAUUAAUUUCAAUAAUCGAGGCAACAUAUCGACUUAACAUUAAGUCAUCGAGUUCAUCGCUAUGUUGGGUGAACGUCAAUUGACACGUGUUAAAGCGAUAUACCCUUCUCAAAAAACGGAAUAAACUAAAAUUUCUCGUUUUUUAAUCGGAUCACGACUAAAUUUUACAUUGAACCCGAAUUUUUAAAAAUCAAGACAACCUGUGUUUAUGAGAUACCAAUUUUUGGGCGUCGCGAGGGUGCUAAUACCUUCCUCGCGUGUAACCGACUCCCGAACCUUAAUUUUUCUCUGGCUUUUAACGUAGACCUAAACUCAGUCUUUUUCUCGUUUUUAAAGAAAAAAGAAAUUUAUUAGGUGUUCGAUCACACCUAGGAAAAAGGAUCGGUGGCGACUCCCCCUUUUAUUUCAAAAUCGAACUUCAGUUUCCAAACUUUUUCACUAGAUCGCCACAAUUAGCGACCCCGAAACCAAUUUUUACGUCGCUACAUUAUAAAUGAGACUAAAUAGAAAAUUUUCUAUUUUAAGAAGGCUCAAAGACCUUGCCAGCCUCCUUGACUUCACCAUUGAAAUCUAGAAUAUACUCCUCACUAUGCUUUGGAAAAUUAAAGAUUUGAAAUUAUAUUAUUGUGUAAUAGAUAUAAUUAAUUUUUAAAUAUAUAAAUAAAGUUAAAGUUAAAAUUAAAUCACUGUGAUAAAUUGUAUAGAAUAUAGAUGAUUUAAGACAUGAUGCAAAUAAAACAUAGUUAAAUAAUUAAUAUAUAGCAUGCCAUAAUAAUAAAGGUGAAUCUAGAGGGUUCACAGGGCUUGAUUCUCCUAAAAUAGAAAAUUAUUAUUUAGAUUUUUUUAAAAAAUUUAAAAUUUUAAAUUAAUAAAAAUAAAAUUGUACUUUGAUUUCCCUAAAAUUAUAAAUUUUUUAUUCAAUCCUUUUAAAAAUUAUAAAGAUAUAAACUAUUAAAAAUUAAAUUUUCAUUUGGCCCCCUAAAAAAAUAUUCUGGCUUCGCCCCUGCAUGAUAAUAAUAUUAAUACAACACAAAUACACAAAAAAAUCAAAAUCUAUACAUAACAAUUAUUUACUUGUAUAAUUUUAUAAUAUUUUGAAUACAAAGAAAUAACACAAACAAUUUUCUCUAAAUUGAAUCACUCAAAUAAAAUAUUUUAAAUAUCUCAUGAUUUUAAAAUAUACUAUAAGGAUAAUUUUUUAAAAAUAAUUUAUUAUGAUAAAUCAUAUAAAUUAAAUAAAGAAACAAUACUAAUCCAACAUAAAAGAAAUGUAAUAAUAAUAUCAUAAAAAAUAUGUUCUUAGUUAAUGAUUUAGUCUGUACUUUGAGAAUUAGAGAAAACUCGAGUUCGAGAUUCAAUUAUAUAUGAGAAAAGUAUUAACAACCUCACAAUAACUUAAUACAUGUUGUUUUAAAAUUUUGAACCCAGUAUUUAAAUAUGAUCCCGUAAAAUUUAAGAAUGCAUGAAAUUUAUUAAUUAAGUGAAUUUGAUUUUGGAAAUAAACAAAAUACUCAAUUUAAUUUUAUUAUAUUUUUUAAAAUUUACUCACAUUAUAACAUUAAGAACAACAAAUGAGAGCGUAUCCAGUAAUUUUGGCAACAAUCUCUUUAAUUUUCGUAAUGCUAAAAUAUUACCUUUUUUUUUAAAAUUAAAUCGAUGUAAAGAAAUUCAUAGGUGCAUUUUCAUAUAAAUAAUUGAAUUAUUCAAAAUUACAUGCAUUUAGAGAUAAAUAUUUUACCCAGCACUACGCUUGUUCGACUCGUAAAAGGCAAAAAUUAGGAUUCAAAAUUAAAUUAUAAUUUUUAUGAUAAUAAAAAUUACUUAGGACAUCAUGUUCUCAAAAACUCAAACCUUUAUCAACAUAGAAUUGAAUCGAAUAUCGUUUUCAUCUUCCCAAGUUUCUAUACAUAAACUAUGAACACGGAAUUAAACAAUACAAAAAUGGUAUUCUUCUUCCAUUGACAUUUGAUAUCAGCUUCAGAAAAGGCAAAAGACAAGAAUAAAGAGAUAAAACAAAAGAUUAAAUCAAUCCUAUAUCCUUGACUGACAUAAUUUACCUUAAAAACUCUAUACUUUAACCAAUCCCACCUAUAUGAUUUUUCUGUUUUCCUAUACAUAACUUAAAGCUUACUUGGAACCAAGUCAUUGUAUUGUAUUUCAUGUAAUUUUUUGAAGCAGAUCCUCAUCUCCUCCAUCUGCAUUGAAGGAAUAGAUGUCGACCGGGGCCACCGUGCAACCCAUGGCAUUCUGCUUGGUUCUUUUAUUACAAAAGGAGCCUCGGUGUUUGUCUAGAUAGAUUACAAUCACGGUGAUAUCGUCGUGAAAAUGGCGCCUUAUCCCCUUUUUUAUUUUCUUGAUGUCACUGUAUCUCAUCUCCCUUUUCUUUGCAACUUCUUGAAGUACAGCUCUUACCAAUCUCCUGGCAAUACCCUGCAAGCAUUCAAGCAAACAAAUAUCAAUAAUGAAAUGCAUUGCAUUUCCAUAGGUUUCAUUAGGUUAAUGGAAGAACACGAAUACUCACGGCUCUCGGGUUUUUGAAAACGAUGUUUACAGCAGCUUCAUCACUCAACUGCUCCCAUAGGCCGUCUGAUGCAAAGAUGAGGAAUUGAUCCUGUGGCUUAAGCUUUCUAAUAAGGAUCGUUCUGCUGUAAUAACCGGCCUUUUAAGAGGAACAGGGUUUCCGAACUGCUGGAAGAUCGGAUCUCUAUAAAACUCAGGUUUCUUCAGGUAAACAUCACCUAUAGAUCUUGACACCUGAAAUAAGAAAAACAAAAAUGGCUUAGACCAGCAUGAUCACUCACAUGCUCAAAGAUCAUGUAUUAAUCAAUCAUCUCCAGUUCUACAAUCCAAUGUAAGAUAAAAGCUAAUGCAUCUUAUUCUCUCGAUUCGUGAAUGGAUCGAAGUAAAAAGCUCAACUUGCCUACCAAAGUAAAGGGGAACAACAUCACAAAAAGAGAAGAAAAACAUAAAAACGAGAGAGCAUCGAUUCCUUGCAGUUACAUAAGCCUAGCUUUAUGCUUCAGGGGCCUGCAUUUGUCCAUCUCAUGCAUAUAAGGCAUACUAUAUGGAAAAUAGCAGCAUGAAACAGUACUGGAAAUCAGACCAAAAUAUUCUUGGAAAAGUCGAAAAACUCAGAAUUAUAACCAUUUUUUAGAAUGAACUUCCAUUCUAAUGCACAAUGUAUACAUCCAUAAUUAUACCUCUCCAUCAAGCAAAAAGAAACAAAAUGGUUGCAAGCAAUGCCUACGAAGAGGAAGUUAAUUGGCAACUAAUUCUAGAAUCAACAUAUUGAUCAUUUCUCAAGCAGACUAGUUUUGAACUAAACGAUUAUAAAUCAACUUGUCAAUAAAAUUGUACCUGGAUUAUGCCCUUAAUCUUCCAAACUCCGCGGGUGUAAACGACUAUAUGUGAGUCAUCUGGAUGAAGUUCCUCGACCUCCUUUCGAACUUCCUCGACUCCAACAUUAUGAUCAGUUGACAACCUCUCUGCCACUACUGUGUUUUCCUUAUCCCCCGAAGCUUUCCUGCCAAGAACAGCUCUCGAGUCACCGAGAUUCGCCACGUAUAACACAUCAUUCGAAAUUGCACCAACUAGACAGCAUGAUCCAACCGAAGCAAUUUGAGGCCUCACGGACAAUGAUCGCUUCACCAAACGCAAAAACUCCUCUUCAGUGGCAUUGAAUGCCUUCUUUAUCACAUCUGCAGAUAAUCCCCCUUGUUCUGUAGCAAAUUCUACAAUGAAUAAAGAAAAAAAAAUUUAAGGGUCUCCAUCAAUCUUUUUUAGAAUCCAAGUGCAUGCUUAUCACUGAAAAGUGUGCAAAACAAAGAAAAAUAAAUGACCUGAAAAAUGCCAAAACUUGAACUACACUUACUAAUUAUUCCGAAAAAUUCAAGUCCAGACAACCCCAAGUAGAUACAAAUUUAGACAAAUAGUUCAUAUUCUCUUUUCCCAUCAAAACAUAGUGCUACAUGACUGUGGAGCGGGGCAAGAUAGAUAUUGUCAAAUUCAUUACUGUUCCAUUGCUGGCAUGAUCUGCCUCGACCCCACUCUGCUUCGCCAUAAAUGUUAAAACUUGAAUAUCAUUACUUUUAAUAUGCAUAAUCUAUCAAUACCUCACCUAAUAUAUACAUUUUUACUCGUUUUAAAAGUUAAAUAUAUAAGAAUAGAGCAAAUAUCAAAAUUAAGUGCCCCAUUGGUCCCUCUUUUACUGUUAAAAAUUAGAAAAAGAAAGUCUAUUUGGAGUCAUCAGUUCGAAAUCUAUCAAACUAAAUACAUAUUUGAUGAUUCCAUAGACAACUUAUGAUUUUCCUGACAAGGUCAUAUCUAUAUACAUACAUGAUCACAUGUUCAUUCAUGUCAUACAUACAUAGGAAUGUUGAAAUAAAGAGGGAAAAAGGGAAUUACUGUGGAGAAAAGGGAAGAGAUGUUUGUUAACAAAACGGGAAGCUUCCGGACCGCCAUGACCAUCGUAGACGCCAACGUAGGUAGCAAAAGGAGAGGUGAAGACUUGGCUUUGAUCUUCGAGACAGUUGUUAGCCUGCACGACGGCGAUGGAGAAAUCACCGGAAGCGUGGGGUUUAAGGUCAGCGUGCCACAUGAGAGCAUCCCCACCAGCUCUAACGCCAAGACAACGUUCGAGCGGCCUGGAAAGGGACCGUAACAUCAUCAUCAUCGUGUUUAAAAAAUAAUAAUAAUCCCUUUAUAGGGGAUUUGAUUAAAUGAAAACCUUUUCGAUGGUUUCAAUGGGGGGUUUCACUUUGGGGGAGAGGAAAAUGGAAAGAUAUUAAGAGGGAAAGAGAGAGUAGAGAGUGGGGUAAAGUGAAUGGAAAAGAAAUGCCGCGUAAAGAGAGGCAGAUGAUGAUGACCAACGACCCCCGAUGCUUGCUGUAAUUACUUCCCACUCUACGCGUUAACCACCCUUUUUCUUCUUUUUUGACUUUUAAACCCAAAUCCUUUUCUUUUAUUUUUAAUUUAUUGAAUGGAGACACUUAGGUCUAAUUUAAUAUUUCAAUUUUUAAAGAAUCGUAUCAGUGAUUGAAUUAUGUAUCUACUUAUUCUCGAUUUAAUCGGUUAGUUUAGCUCAAUUUAGGCCUGUUCAGAUUAUUCAACUUAAAAAUUUGUUCGAAAAGUGAGAUGAUUUAGGUAAAAAUAUAUGUUUAAAAAAUAAAUUUUAAUAAAAAAAUAAGGUAUAUUUUUUAAAUAGAUUGAGUCUUAAUAUUUUUUUGUUCAGGCUCAACUUGAUCUGGCUCAAAUUUGUAAAAAAAAAAAAUGUUGUUACUUUGUCAUUGUUUUACUGUCAUUUCGCUAUUAUAUUAUUACUAUUUUAUUGUUUUUGUUUAGAUAUUGUAUAAUUAUUUUUUUAUUGUUGAUUUGGCUACUAUUUUAGAACCAUUUGCUUACUAAGUUGCACUUAUAUCUUGGUGUUAGUUAAGUAUAAAUAUCUUUUAAAAAUUUGUUUUCAAUUUAUUGGGAAACAUUUAUUGCUCCAACUGACCUAUGGAUAGCUCUAGUUCAAUCCUUUUGCCCGAAUUGAUAUAUCAAUUGAUUUAUUGGUUCAACUAAUUCGAUUAGUUGAUUUUAUUUGAUUUGAUUCAAAAACACUAAGUGUUAUUUCAAGUUUAACUUAAUUUAUAUUUGUGUUGAUAGUUUAAAUUAUUUUAAUUUUAAAUCAUUCAAAUUCAACACUUAAUUUUUUGGGUCAGAUCGUUUUAGGACUAUUUCAUAUUAUAAUUUUAUAAAAAGGAAGUUGAACUGAAUAAUAUUUAAGUUUUUGAGUUGAAAUUCAAAUCAAUGUUAUUAAAUUGGGUCAUAAUUAAUAGGUGUACUAGAAUCUAAUUACAAAUAUAUAUCUAUAAGAUAAAACCAAAAAUAAAGGAUUAACAUCUGACCAAGUAUUGACAAUGCAUUGUUAUCCACAAAUUUAAUUAGAUACAAAACAAGAUAAACACUGUAAUGUGAAUUUCGUAUGUUAACUUAACGGUUAGGAUAUUCAUCGCUUCAAAUGUGAUUUGGGAUUGAGUCACAUUAUCUCUAAUAUGUCCUCUACCAAAGAAAAUGGAGGACUAAAGUUUGAAAUCUUAUUUAGUAUUUACAGCCAUGAUCAAUUUCUCUUUAUGAUCUCCACCCAUACAAUAAAUGUGAAAAGUGUAGCAGUACGAAUACCAUGUUUUUAUAGGGGCCGCCAUUCAAGAAUAUAUUACUUCCUCUGAACCUGACACUAAGGCAUGGAUAGCAACUUACAAUGUAUCAAAUUAAACACUAAAAUUAAACUCAUAUAUCAAAUUGAGAUUUAAAAAAAAACACUCAAAUACAAAAUUUGACAUUAAAAUCAAACGCAAGUACCGAAAAAUAUAUUAAUCCAUAUUCAUAAACCUUUUUCUUUGUUUUUGCACCCGUCAAAAUUCCAAGACUUACAUAUCUCUAAUUAAGAGCAUCAUCAUUUACAAAAAUUAAAAAAUUAAUCCCUCUACUUUAAUUUGUUAUAAUUUGUCCCACGUAAGUUAUAACAACCGAAAAGUUAAUCUAAUUAAGUAAUAUUGUUAAACCUUAUCAUUGAAUUGUUUGUUUGGAAACCAGCAAUUUAACAACUUAUAUGCAACAAAUUAACAAAACUCAUUUGUUCAAGUUCAUGUUUUGAAUAACACCUGGACUAAAUUUCCAAUUUUCAUAUGCUACAAUGACUAAAUUUUGACAAAUUAAAGUAGAGGGACCAACUUCUCAAUUUUCAUAAAGUAGGGGAUGAAAAUCAUAAUUAGACCAUGUAUAUGUUCUAUCGUGUGAGUUGGGGCCUGUUUUAUAGUAUACUUCUACAGUAAGGACAGUCCCCACACGUUCUGAGCCAAGGAUCUAAGCAAGCAAAGUGAAACCUGUGCCCACACGGCAGCUGAGUAAGCACAUCUCCUUCUCCGAAGCUUUCAAGGCAUAUACUGCAAUCUCUUGAUUCCCUUGAUGUCUUCCUUUCAACAUUGAUGUCUUGGCUGCGGAAAAUUUCCAGCGGCAAACGGUCCAGAGCCUCCUGAGUAAGUCCAGGAGGCUUCUUGUUUGUUUCUCGUAACAAUUCGAAUCUUUCUGCUUCAGAGGUUAAUGGGGAACCCCUAGCUGCCAACCCUGUAGAGAGUUCACUUAUGAUCCUAAAAUCAUCGCGCGUUACAUGCUCCCGGUGGGAAGCAUUAGGUGGAGCUCUAUUGCUUCGCCUGAAGAAAACAACAGGAAGAAACCGUAAUGAGAGGGAAAAGAAAAGAUGUACAAAAUGUUUAAAUAGCGGUUAAUGCAGGACCUAACAUAUAUGUGUCCAUUAUUGAAUGCCACGUGCAAGUAAAAUUCAGGAUCGAGUGGUCCACAUGCUUCUCUCAAGCAGUAGAUGGUAGUUAGGAAACGAGUAACACUAAUUCGCUGUGUACAUGAAGUGGUACCAAAAGUGGUCUGGAUAGUCAUAGUGGCUAAUGAUGUUACUACUUAGAACCUAUGUUACUCAGAGUCAGGCAUGAGUUUCAGAUAUGGAUAUGUAUCCAGUACAGGUAUAAUUACUUUUUCUAAGUUUUUCCAUAUAUUUAAAAGAUCCUUGGAGGUCAUAUCCUCGUAUUUGUGUGUCAGACACGAGUGUCAAAUGAAGAGUCCGAGCAACAUAGCUUAGAACCACUAAUAUUACCAUAGAAUAGGAAGCACCAGCAGUGGGACUGGACCAUAUUGAUAGUUAGCAAUGCGAGAACAACAGGCACUAAUGGGCAGAAAGCACCAAUAACAGCAGUGGGCCUGGAAAUUAAGGUACUACUGGUAGGUAAGGAGUGACGAAAGCAAUAUCAGCUUGAAUGUAUAAGCAGAAGUGGGACAGAAAUUUCAAGCAUAAAAACAAAAAUUCAAUCUAUUCAAGAAUAUAUACAUAUAGAGCGAGAGAGAGACUAAAUUCAACUUAAACAUUUUCAAGGAAAAAAAGAAAAAGCCUGCCGAAAUAUGAUGAUUAUGUUAGGCAAUUCCAUAGAAGAAAGUUCAAAUUCACUAGUGACAACCCACCCAACUGACCAGCUGAAAAGUCCAUGGUAAGUUGGAAAAUAGUUUGGACCGAGUGAAAUUAGUCUCAACAUUAACUGGCUACAACCCCUAACAGCUCUACCAUAUGAUACGGUAUCUCUAUUCUUACUGCUAAACCAAGUCAGACUCCUAGUACCCCUAAUACAAGACUACAUAUUUAUCAUUUGGAUUCACUAAUAAUAAGGUAGCACAAUGAACUGCAAGGCACUGAUUCUUCCUACAGGUUACGAUGCAAAUUGCUCAUAUGAUAGACACUUCUUUUGAUCAUAUUGCACCCUCAAUAGAUCCACAAAAUCAAAGUUCAAGAGCAAAAUCAUUCUGAAUUUAGGUAAAACUUUCACAGACACAGAGCUCCACAUGACUUGUCUAUCCUAUCAUCAAACUUCAGAAAUAAGUAAUAGAGAAGAGAUGUGCUGUGCUGUGCUGUCUUUAAAAAAUGAAAUUUGUGACAGACCAAGAAUAGUGGGAUAAAUUUGGUCCAACUUGAGUAGCAAAACAAAUUGAGUGCCACAGGCAAGUUCACCAUCAAUGAUAAAAGUGGCUUCCAAUUGGUGUCAAAGAUCAUGCAGAUAAGAAAGAACAUGAUUCAAUAGCUAUUAUAAUUUACUUGUUCUUGCAGUUUGACCAGUAAUAAUGCUGUACAUAAUACAUGGACAAGAAAUGCAAAUACUAAAAGUUGCAAAUUUGCAGAGAGCUCUAGGUAACCUGUUUGCAGAAACAGACACGCCUCUUAGUCUUUCAACAAGCCUUGCUCUUGCAAGCAGCACAGCUCCAGGAAGCCUCUCAUUUGCUCUCAAACUUUGCCUGCUUGAACUGCUUACACCAUCUGCAUUUAAUCCAUAGCUCGAACUGAGCUCACCAGUACCUUCAUCAAACCCUUCUCUAGCAAGCCUCUCACUUGAUCUCAAACUUUGCCUUCUUGCAUUGCUUACACCGACUGCAUUUAACCCAUUGCUCGAUACAAGCUCGCUGGUACCUUCAUCAAACCGCACUGAUGAACGCUCCUGAAAAAGUAAUAUCCAAAUAUAAGCGAUUCAGGCAAGGAGAAAUAAAUUACAUAGACUAGGUAAUAAUAUCAAACUUCCUUGUUUAUUCUUGUAUAUGUGGCAAAAUCUUACUGCAAGUGAGCUUAGGCUUUGCUUGGUACCAAAGAUGGAAAGGAUGAACAUGGAAAAUUUGUUCAUCAAAUGUUAAGAUUCAUAUCCACCUUAUUACUUUGUAACUUAACCAUCAGAUAAACAAUUUUCCAAUUCACUCCUUUCCGUCGUUCAUAACAAGCAGAGCCUUAGGGUUUAGAAAAAUUGUCAAGAAAAUACCUAUUCUUCAGUAAUUUCACUGAUAAAUUUAGCUUAAAACUAAUAAUUUUCAGAGCAAAGUUCAGUAUUGAAGCAUAAAACAGACAACGAAUAAAGUACCAAUAAAUUGGUUGAAAAUCCAAUUCUUAAAUUAAAAAUAAAAAAAUAAAUAUAUUUUCCCUUCCAAAAAUAAUACUUAAUUCACCCCCAUUUUUCCUUUAAGUUCUCUUUUUUCUCAGCAAUAAAAUAAAAACAAAUACCUAACAAGAAAUAAAUAAUUUGAAAAAAAAAAGGUAAAAGAGAAAUUGAGCGCACAGAGAGCGAGGAAGCACGGGAGCUGAAGUGGCGCACGUGGGGAGACCGGCGGAGGGAAUCACCGCCGUCCAAAUCAUGCCUCUGAUUGUGAUGACUGAGAUGAUUCCGGCGAUGGUAAUUCCGUUCAAUUGAGGACCCAAUCCCUGAAUCCGGAUCGGGUCGACCCACUCUUGACCUUCGUGUGUAGAAUAACUCCGAAGCGCUUGUCAUCCAACUAAAACCCCCAAAUGGUGUUUUGAUCUGAUCUUACCAAUUAAAAUUUAUUUUUAAUUUCUCCAAAAAAAAUUUAAAUAAACAUGCAAAUUGUAAUUUGGAUUAAGAAAUAAAGGAAGAGAAGCUGAUGAACCCUACGAAGAAACGCGGGAGAAAUUCCUGCGAAUGAAAAUCGAUAGCCUUAGCUUCAAAGGAAAUGAAUGGAAAGGGAUGUGCGUUUUUUUAACCCUAAAUGGUUUAAUUCCGGUUUUAGUCCCCCUCCUAAGCUAAAAUGUAAUAUUUAAUCUUAUAUUUUAAUUUUAUAUACUUUCGUCUUUGAUAUUAAAGAAUAAUAUUUGAUACACCGCAAAUACAUUAUCAUCGAACAAUAACAUGAUACUUGAGUAUAAACAAAAUUAGUGAAAGAAUUAUCAAUAAAUAUUAACAAUUUUAUUUAGUUUUUUUUUUAUUUUUAAAUUUCACAUUUCGAAUUUUAGAUAUAUUUAAAUAAAAUUAUUAAUAUUUAUUUAUAAGUCAUUCAUUAUUUUUUAUUUCAUUAGCAUUGAGGUGUCGUGUUAUUAUUCAUUAAUGGUUGACGAUUUAUUUUUAUUAAUUUUUAUCAUUAUAACGAUGAUGUGAAAUCUUUUAUUGACAAUUUUGUUAUGGUCAAGGUAGCCAUAAUAUAUGUUUUUUAAUACAAAUUCUGGAUAAUAAUUAGUAAUAUUAAGAAAGUAAAAAAAUUAAAUCAUGUUAAAUUAAUCGAGGUUUAAGGGUGUAAAAGCUCUUCAAUUUUUUCAAAAAAGCAAUUAAGUCUUUACUUUUUUCACUCAAUUGAGUACUUUAACUUUUAAAAUGCAUAAAAAAGGACCUUCAAACUUUUUCAAAAAAAAUUAAGCCCCUACUUUUUUUUACACUCAAUUUGGCACUUGAACUUUCAAAAUAUAUAUAAAAAAAAACCUUCAAGCUUUUUCAAAAAAAGCAAUUAAGCCCAUACUUUUUUUUUACUCAGUUGAUUGGGUAAUUAAAUUGUCAAAAUGCAUAAAAAAUAACAUUUGAUUGUUAACUUUAACAGUUAACCGUUAAAAUUAACUGCCCCUAAUUUUUUUCAAUUAAAAUCAUCCCGUGUCACAACCACAACAUGACAUAUGACAAAACAAUUAUAAAAAAUAAAAAUCAAUACAAGUUAUAAAAAGUAUUAAACUUUAAUAAAAAUAUAAAAUUUAUUAAAAUUGUAAAAUUUUAUAAAAAUCAUAAAUAAUUAUAAAAUGUAUCAAAAAGGCCCUUUAACCAUCAAUUUUUACCGUUGACUGUUAAAGUUAACGACCCCCAAUUUUUUUCUAAUUAAAGUCAUCACGUAUCGUAAUACAGUGUGGCAUGUGGCAAAAAUGAUAAAAAAAAAUAAAGAACAAUUAAAGUUAUAGAAAAAUUAUAAAAUGCUUGUUUAAAAAUUAUAAAAUACUUCUUUUGGUACGAUAAUUUUUAUAUUUUUUUAUAAAUUUUAUAUUUCUUUACAUUUUUUUAUAAUUUUCUUACAAUUUUUAUAAUUGUUUAUGAUUUUUAUAAUUUUUUUUCUAAUUUUUAAUAUUUUUAUAUUUUUAUUAAAAUUUAAUGAUUUUUUAUAAAUUUUAUUUAUUUUUAAUUUUUAUCAUUGUUUUGCCACAUUUCACGCCAUGGUUGUGACACAAGAUAACUUUAACUGAAAAAAUUAGGGUCAGUUAACUUUAACGGUUUGAUUAUUAAAUUUAACAAUCAAAGGGUCUUUUUUUUAUGCCUUUUGGCAGUUCAAAUACCCAAUUUAGUGUAAAAAAAAUAAAGGUUUAAUUGAUUCUUUUUUUAAAAAAAAAGUUUGAGAGUCUUUUUUGUGCAUUUUGACAAUUCAAGUACCUAAUUGAGUAAAAAAAAAGAACAAGGGUUAAUUAAUUUUCUUGAAAAAAUCUUGAAGAUUUUUUACACCCUUAACCCAUUAAUCAACCAACUGUGUCAUUGAAAUUUGAUGAUUUGGGAAAAUAUCUUGUGAAUAUCAAUUAGAGAAAUUAAAUCUGAAUUUCAAUAUAUUAGAGGGACUAAACCCAGAAAUUUACCGUGAAAAAGAAAAGGUAUAUCUUUAUGUGUUAGUUGAAGGACUAGUAUUUAGAUGUAGCCACGCGUUAAACAAAGUGUUCCAUUACAUCAACAUAGAAUUUAUUUUCCUUCAAUAAGAUUUUUUGCGUUGACUGUUGACCAUGGAAAAACUAUAAAUCAAAUUAUUAAUUGAAAAUGAUAUAUAUUCCUUCAAUGAGAAUCUUUUUAUUACCUUAAGUCGAGAAUUUGAUUCUCACCUUGUAUAUGGAGUAGUUUUAGAACUCGUAACUUAAUAUCUACCUCUUAAUAGACCUACAGAAUAGAAAAGAUUAGUUACUAUCUAACUUCAAUAAAUACAUUGAAAAAUAAAAAAAAUCGAUAUUAAAUGAAAUAGACAUAAUAGAUUUCUAAAGUCAACUUUGGUCAAUAUAAAUAGAAAAACUAAAUGAAAUUUGGUUUAGGUAAAUUUUGGGUUCAGAUUAAAUUUAAAAUUUAGUUAAUUUUUAUUUAAGUUAAUUAAGUUUGAUUGUAAUUUUUGAAGGUUUGGUGAUUGGGAUUUAGAUUAUUUCGGGUUAUAAUUACUUUGAGUUUAAGACAUUUUAAGUUAUUUAUUCGGGUCAUGUCUAAUUAUUUAUUUGAAUUGUUUCAAGUUUGGAUUAAUUUGGGUCGAUUUCAUAUUUAGGUUAGACAAAUCAAUUUUCAAGAUAUGAACUAGAGUUGUCUAUAAGCCAAGUCACCUAGUCUGGCCCGAAGGCUCGUCGGCAAAUAGGAGGAUUUUAACAAAAAAAUAUAUGUCCAAAAAUGAGAUUGGACAAAAAAUAAGGCUCGUUUUAAAAAUGGGUCGAGCCUCGGGUAAGGUAUUUUUUUACCCUGGCCUGACCUAGAUUUUACAAUAAAAAAAUUGUUGUUUUGCUACCAUUUCACUAUUAUGUUGUUUCAAUUUGUUGAAAAAUAUUUAUUUUAAUAUUUUUUGUGUAUUAUAUUUUUAAUUUUUUUUUAUAUAAAAAAAUUAAUAGUGUCAGACCAUACCCGGGUUUUAGUAUUUUUAUCCAAGCCAGGCUUGGACAAAAAUUUAAGCUCAUUUUUUUGGGCCAAAUUGGGCCCAAAAAUUUAUCAGGACCAACCUAAUUCGACCAUGGACAAGUUUAUAAAAUAGCUAUUUAUAUAUAAAAAAAAAAUUGUCCAUGAGCUAUUUACUAUUUAGAGUAUUUAAAUAUGUCGAUUGAGAUUUAAUUCUUUUUAUUUUGAGAGGUGGAAUAAAAUAAUUCAAUUAAAGUGUAAUGAUGAUAUACCUAUAAUGCAUUAUAUGUCCCAUUCUUCUAUCUUUUUAGGGAGUCAAUGAUUAUUUAUAGCUAUUAUCUUUAUAUCAAAAAAACAAUUCGACUCAAUAAUUAACUACUUUUGCUAGAUUGAUUUUUGAUUAGAUUAAUAUGUUUUUAGUCAAUUUAAAUUUUAAAAAUUUUCAAAUUAUUUCAAUUUCGAUUAGUUUUAACUUUAGAUCAAUUCUUAUUCAAUUAUAUUUUAGACUCAGAAUUAAAUGGAUCGAAUUAUCAGAUUUAAUGAUUUGUAUGUAAAAUUUUAUUUAAAAUAUUUUAAAUACCACUCUAACACAAUUACAUAAUUCAUAGAUUAUAUAAUUUGAAAUUAUCAUUACACACCACCAUUGAUAAUUUCAGCUUGUAAGUCCUAAUAUUUUAUUCAAAUUUCAUAAAAACCCUUCCUUAUCUCCAUGACUAAUUUUGUUUGAUCAUCACAUAUUUGCAUGGGAAUAGUGGUCAUCAUGAACCGAAGACUCCGGUUUAUCAACACCGUCGACGCUUCGAACCCAGAAACUUGAACCGAAAGAAGCCGCCCGGUCCGGAACGUCAUCCAUCACCCAUUCAUGGCCUUUCGGGAAAUAUAUCCCACUCUUUGGAUGUGGAACCCAACUCGAUGAACUUUUUAUAUCGUCGUUACUCUUGCACUUCUUAUUGAUCUCCCGAUCUGCGCCUGCAAUUUUGCUCAAUGGUCGCUCAACGCGUUUUGCUUCCCUACACCCGAAUAAAGUUUCCAAAAGUCAAACAUAUUUAUUAAGUUCAUAAUGAUUUGCCUCUAAAUUUUGUACUUUUGUAUGGUUUUUUUUUGGUAAAAAUUUUAAUUUUUGGCUUUUCUAAAUACAAAACAAAUUUCAAAUUUCAUUUUUGACCAAACAAAAACAUCUCAAAAUCAUGGCUCAAACUUUAAAACGAUCCCUAAAUUUUAAAAUGUUCUAAUUGAAUCUUUAAAAAUAAAGUAUACCUAAAACACGUUUUAAAUAUGCUCUACAUCAAACAUAAACUAACAUUUAACACCCAGAUAGACAGCGAGAGUGACAAAAAAAACUUGGUUAAUACGAUACUAAUAUUUUUAGGACCCAAUUAAACCAUUUUAAAAUUUAAUGACUAAUUUAAAAUUCAUUCUAUAGAUUAAGAAAAUCUGUUGUAAUCAACCCAAAUAAUAACGACAACAUUACGUACCUUAGCAUCAAAAUCUUGGUUUUGGUAAAAGCAGCUCUUCCCAUGCAAUGCAGCUCUUUAAAACCCCUCAAAAAAGGACUCCAAUGCAAUUAUCUAGGACUUGAUCGUUUGUUUUAUAGAAUGCUUUCGAAAGUGCAGUUUUUGUACUUCAAAUUGUAUCCGAACGAAUGAAUAAAGGUUUGACGAAUAAGUUCGAUUGUGAAGGUCCUAAGAAAAUUAAAAUUUUAGAAUAUUAUAUUUCGGAAUUUCGUCUUUUUAUUUUAAGAAAUUUAAUCAUUUUAUAUUUUUCGGAUUUAAGUAUACAGGUCCAAUUAUUAUUAAAAGUGAUUCGACUAAAAAAUUAAAAAAUAUUUCGAAUUUCAAGUUAAUUGAAUUGAGUUAUUCGAUUUUUUCGAGUCAACUAGAAUAAGUAAUUCGAGUUCGAGUCGAGUUGAAUUUUACAAUUCGAAUAACAGAUUAAUGUGAAUACCCAUUUGAUCCCUGUCAAUUUUAAAAAUAGGUAAAUUUAUCUCUCAACAAAGUUUACAAAAAAAAAUCAAAAUAAUUUUCAAAAAAUUUUAAAUAUAAUUUUUAAAAUUCAGAAUAUUUAUAAAAUAUCAAAAUUGAUAUUUAAAAAAUUUAUAAAAAUUCUAAAUAUAAAAAAAAACUUAAUUUUUUUAAAAAUAAUAAUUUUUGGAAAAUUUAACUAUUUAAGUUUAUCAUACUAAAAUAUCUUCUUCUUUUUUUUCUUAUUAUGCUUUGAAAGAAUUUUCAAAUUUAUAUGUUCUAACAUUGAAUUAGUUAUAUUGUAACAAUAUUUUAAUUUGACAUUUUUUUUUAAUUUCACUUGAUUUGGAAAAUAUUCAAAUCGAGUUAGAAUGAUAAAAUGGGACUCGUCAACUCGAUUAACUCAAAAGUUUUUCACUUGAUUCGAUCGAAUGCUCACCCCAAACUAAUAUCAUAAAAAUUCUUUUGUUAAAUUUAGAUUCGUUACAAUAUUAAUUUUUUUAUUUUAUGACUAUCAAAUUUGUUUUUUUUUUCUUUUCAUUUCAAGGUGUCACAGUAAUGAAUUUAAUAGAAUAAUUUUAACAAUAUUAACAAUUAAUUUUUUUUUGACAUUUAAAAAAUAAAGAAACUAAAUUCUUAAAAAAAAAACCAAAUUUACGAAGAAUCAAAUUGGAAAAUAAAGAGAUAAAUAUAUAUUUUUUGGUGCUUAUGUUUAUCUUUGAUUUUAAUUUUGCUAUUUAUAUAUUUUUUUUUCAAAUUGGUACUUAUGUUGUUUUUAAAUUACACAAAAUGGUAUCAAAUUUAUUAUCUGACGUAUGGAAUGAUGAUGUCAUAAUAACAUUUGGGAAAUUAUAAAAAUUUAUAAAAAAUAUGUAUUAAAAAUUCAAAAUAUAAAAAAUUAUAAUGUUUGAUACCAAAUAAAAAUAACAUAAAAAUCAAUUUUUUUUAUAUAUUUUCAUAUUUUUAUAAAAAGAGUAUCAUUUUUUUAUGAAAAUAUAAAAUCAAUUAUUUUUAAUAAAAAUAACUUUUUUAUAAAUUUUAUUAAAAAUUUAUAUCAAAAUCAUGAAAAUAUUCAUCAAGUCACAAAAAAGAAUUACAAUUUCUUACCCGAAAUAUAUAUUUUAUAUUUCCAGAAUUUUUUAGAUUUUUUUUAUUUAAUUUUUGGAUAAUGACAUCAUCAUCAUCACAUAUUAAAUAAUUAUUGGACCACAAAAUAAAAGUUAGCAUCAUUUAACUUAGGUACCAUUCUGUGUAACAGUAGUCAAACGUGGGUACCAAUUUGAAAUAAAAAAAAGGACCAAAAUGAAUAUUAAGAUCAAAUACAUGUACUAAAGAAUAUAUUUAUUUUUUCAUUAAAAUAGUUUAAAUUAAAUUAUUAUUUUUUGAGAGAAGUCAAAAAUGAAAAUUUUCAUUUAAAAAGAAUUAAAAUAUUAAAUUUUAGGAGGGUCCAAGGAACCAAAGCCUCUAACUGCCGUUAGUUUGCCAUUGUCAUUAUCAAUUUACUCGCCCUGAGAGGAGUUUAGCGGCGAAGCUUGGGGAUAAUUUGUGGCCUUGACCCUCUUAAAUUUAAAUAAUUCAAUUUAAUCUCUUUCAGCCCAUUUAUUAAGGAGAGGUCAACUUCUUUAAGAAAAGUUUAUGAAGUAUGAUUCAUUAAAAGCUAGCGAACAUCCCAAUAAAUCGAUAUUAUUUCAAUUGAAUUUUUUAUCUCCCAAUUUUACGAAGAAUUAAUGGGUUCACAAAAUGAAUAUAUCUUAUUAGAUGUCUAAUAAGACAAAUCACAUACAUCGCAUCGCACUUGAUAUCAUAUACGACAUCGAAAAGCUAGUAUAUUACCACUUAAACUAAACACCUAUUUAUUAUGAAAUCUGUUGCUUCGAAUAAACGAGAAAUAACAAAUUUCUCCCGAAAAAAUCGGCCCCUAUCGUUUCCUCUUUUUCAAAAGUAAAUCUUAAUUCGCUCAGGUGAUUUGGAAUAUUGAGAUUUUUUUAGUGAAAAGAGUGGCAAGUUGGUGUGACACCUAAGGUCACUUUAACAUAUAGCUCUAAAUUCUAGAGACACUGUGAAUCGUUACUUCAGCAUAUGCCUCUUGUUUUUUUUCCUUCUUUCACCAGAAUAUAUUCAAUGCAAAGAACUUAUCUCUUACACAUUUGAUUGUUGGUUAAAUUCGAGUUUUAGUCCCUAUAUUAUACUUCCUUCCUGUUAUCGAUGUUAUACUUUAGUCUAAAUCCAUAAUAUCAACACAACUCCAAAUUCAUUAUAUCAUUUAAACAUUAAAAUUAUCUAUUUAACUUGUGAUUUAAAUAAAAAUUAAAUUAUGGUAUAACCACGAUGUGGAUAAAAAAUAAAAUUAUGUGUUAAUUAUAUUUGUAAAAGAAUGAAAUUUUAAUUAAAACGAUAAAGUUUAAAUUUACUUUAUAAUGCAAUGAUAUUUGAGUCAUUAUCCAAUUGAAUUAGUGCCUAAUAACUCGUAACACCAAUUUAAUUAAUUAUGCACAACAUUAAGUUUUAUUAUCUUUCUUUCUUUAAUAGAUUACAGUCAGUUACUUAAAAAAAUUACAGUUAAUUAUUAUUUUAUAAGGUAAACUAUCAAAAUAGUCAUUUUUGUUUCUCUCAUAUUACAUUUUGGUCACUUAUGUUUGAAAUGUUAAGUUUUAGUCACUUACAUUUAUCGUAUUAUAACAUUUUAGUCACCGAGCGUUUAUUGCCGUUAGCAAUAUAACAAUAAAGCUGAUGUGACACGUUAAAUCAUCAAUUCAAACGAAAAUUUUAAGUUAAAUUAUACAAUUGGUCCCUAUUUAUUUUGAGCAAUUUAUUUUUUUAUAUUCUUUGAAUUUUCUUUUUUCUUUUUUAUUUUCCGUUCUCUUCUGUUUCUCCCUCUAUUUUCUUCCAUUCCCUGUCUUUUUUAACGUAAAUUUUCUAUGUUUUUCAUUUCUUAAAAUUUAUCUAUUUUUUUUCUUUUAUGUACUUCUACGUUAAAAGAUAUGGAGAAGUGGUGAAAAUAGAGGGAGAAGUAGAAUAGAAUGAAAAAAAAAAAGAAAGCUAAAAGAACAUAAAAGUAAAAAUAUGGGGAUUAAUUGUAUAAUUUAAUUAUUUGAAAUGAUGAUUUAACAUGUCACAUCAGCUUACCGUUAACAACAAUUAACGGCUCAGUGACUAAAAUGUUACAACACAUUAACAUAAGUGACUGAAAUGUAACAAUUGAAACAUAAGUAACUGAAAUAUAAUAAUUGAAACAUAAGUGACUAUUUUAAUAAUUUAUCCUAUUUUAUAUUAUAUGAAAUAAUAUUAUAACUGCUAUUUAUUUUAAAAUAUUAAUUAAUAAAAUCACGUUUCUAACUUGGUAGUUAUAAACCAACGAAUUUAGGCAAUAAGAAACUAAUAUUUAGUAGAAAAGGGUAAUUAGCACCUCAAAGACAAAGCCAGUGAGUAUUUUUUUUUUUUAAUCGAAAGCUCCCUUCCAUAUAUAUUUUGAUUUUAUUUAAUUUCUUCGUAUUUAAAUAAUCAAUGGUUUGUCGAUUGAGUCUUAACUCUAUUGACAUAGACAUUAUUGUUAAUGUAGGAGGACGUGAGUUCGAAUGUACUAAAACGUAUUAUCCUCCUAUUUAUGAAUUGAAGAGAGACUAGAGCAGAUAUAAUGAGAACUUAUAAUGAAAUUGUUCAGAAAAUCAAACUCACUAUUGAAUAGGAGAUUAAAUAAUAUAAAAAAUAAAUAAAUAAUAAUAAUUAUUUCGAAAAUAUCUUACAAAAUAAAACAUAUCUUCAAAUCCCAACAAGAAGAAUAUAAAUAAUAUUUAGUUUGGUCAAUCACGAAAAGAACUUAGAUUUUAACAGAAUAUAUUAAUUUUUAAAAAUAAAAAAACCAAAUUUUUUUUAGAAUAUAAUUUUUUUUAAAAGGAAAGAAUAUUAAAAAGAAAACAAUUGUCAUAAUUGAACUACUCUUUAAAUAUGUCUGGUUAAAUUGAACUGUAUAUGACCAUGAGAUCUUUGGUCGAUUUUAAGAGGUCUCGAACAAUUUAGAAGGAGAAAUCAAAUCUUCUGUUACUUAUAAAGUUCACAUUAUUCGGUUUGCGCAAAUAAAGUUUAUAUGUUUAGUUGGACUUUGAAUGAUUACAAAAAAUUCAUUCAUAAAGUUUUAUCUCAUCAAGUGAUUUUUUAGAGAGAUGAUCAUGUAUUGUAAUACAUUUGAAGGAAUAAUUCGGAUUUGACCGUGCAUUAAAGUAAGUAUAGGGUUUUGUUUUUAUCUUAGUUAGAAUGAAAUAAAUAUAAAAUCAAAUAAUUAUAGUAUCAUAACAGUACAUCGUGCGAUUUGGAGACCCACAUAUAUAAUUGCGUGUAGUGAAUUUUGAAUUUGGGUACUUAAAGCUAAUAACUUAUUGAAAUAUAUGGGAUAAUUUACACCAAGAUGAUGUUUGAACAAAAAUUUAGAAGGAUGAGCAUUUGGUACACCGGUAGUGUACUCUUUUUAUUUAAUAAGUAGUCUUAAAAAUUGCCAUGUGUCUCUUUUUUUAAAUAUAUAUAUUAAUAUUUUAUUUUACCCUUAUAGGAUACUCGUCAACCUCUUGACGCUACUUGUGAAGUCUAAAAACUCUAUUGACAUUGUAUUUAGGGUGUAAUAAAAUAAUAAUUAAAUAAUUAAAAAUGACACUUAUAUCAUCUUAAACUCGCUUGUGGAGUUUUUUUUUUUUUUUACUAAUAAUUACCCAUAAUUUAAUAGAAUAAUAUUUAGUACAUUAUGAAAUUUUUAGACUGCACAAGCAAAAUUACGAGAUUGACAAAUGUCCUAUAUCUAAACUUUACAAAUAGGGUCAUGAGGUUAUAAUAGAAUUGAAUAGAGUUUUGAAUUAGGUGCAAUAGUACCUACAAAGCCAUAAAUGUUGCUUUGCAAAUUGGGGGUUUGGUUGGAAGGAGAUGCAUUAUACAUAUUGAGGAAACUUACUCAAAUGAGAAAGACGUAUCUCUUGAGACAAGCUAACCAACUUGUGCUCUACUAGUAUCCCGAUCUUUCUUUAACAGCUCAACUACUCAAGAUAUAUUUUUACUUUGAGUAAAGAAAUUUAUAAAUCAUAUGACCGCUAGAAAAAAAAAUGAGAAAAUCCGCCAACAACUCUCAUCACCUUUUAUCGCUAAGGUCUUAAAUAUAAGAUGUUGAGAUUUGUAAGAAGUUUUUUUUUUAAUAUUUUAUGUCUAGAUUAAUUUUGAUUUUAAUUUAUGAUUAAUUGUGUCUUAGGCCGUGUGAGCAUUCGAAAUAGGGAUAUACAGUCGUGUCCCAACCCGUAUGAGUAAAUUGACUUGGGUCACACGGCCUAAGACAUGGAUGUGUCUCACGGCCUGGUCACACAGUUCUGUGAUCCCUGCAGUGUUGAAAAUUUUAAGUUUCUGAUUUAGUCCCAAUUUGUUUCUAAUGUGUAUUUUGGACCUCGAGGGCUCGUAUAAGAGACAAUAUAUAUGAUUUUGAUCAGUUUUUGACAUGAAUGCUAUAUGAUAUAAAAUGUUUGCAUUUUCUGUCUAUUUGAUUUGUAAACUCCAGUAAUGCUCCGUAACUCUGUUCCGACGAUAGAUUCGGGUUAGGGGUAUUACAGUGUGGGCUCGAACCAAUUGAAUUGAAACACAGAACUAGAAAAAGUUUUCUCUCUUUUUGGGGUGAAAACGAAAAUUCUCUUUUCUUAAUAGAAAACGAUAGAAUUGUUAUUCCGGAAAAAUAUAGAUAAUAGUUAAGAAUAAACUCUGUAUUUUUUGAUAAAAAUAACGAUAUCUUAAAGUUGUCUAAAUAGCUCUAUCGGUGCCAUUUAUUUAUACGAGGAGAAAGUAAAACCUUUGAUGAGUUGUAAUGGUUUAUUUCAAAUAGAAAAAUAACUUCCUACUUAGAAUAGGAGACAUGUGUACAACACACCCUAGUAUUCCUAAAAGGUUGUCGCCCCCUUCAUGUCACAUGAGAGGUUUUAGGCCUCUCUUACAUCAGGUCCAAGUACGAGUACUUCUUAGGCCUUUUUAAUCUAGUACUCUGUAAUGUGAUCCAACUUGAUUCAGUUUUUCUAUUUUCUAAAAUAAACUUUAAUAUUUAUAUAUAAACAAAGUUCUCAUCCCUAUUUUAUCCCUACCAAAAUUUUGAUAAUUUUGCCUCUGGUAAAAUUUCGAGAAAAUAUGUUCAAUAUUUCACAACUCAACACGUUCACUAUAACCGAAUGGUUUAUUUUCACUUUCGGGCUUCAAAAUAGUCCAAAAAGAUAGACUCAUUCUUCCACUAUUUUUUAAGUAAUCCAUAUAGGAUUGCAAAUUUUUAUUUUUAUUUUUAUUUUUAUUUUCAUUGAAACCUACAUUCAUUUCCAAAUGAUUUCAUUUCUCCAUUUUGAAAAAUAACAUAAUCAUUCAUGAAUGUUUCCUAUUUCUCUUUUUCUAUUCAUUCCGUUCAUUUCUAUUCAAAGACACAAUUCAUAUCUGGAUUCAACAAGCUAACAAAGGGAUUGAUUGGAUAUAUGUAGUUGAAGAUCAAAAGAUUUAUAAUUAAGUUCCAGCUUUUUGUCUAUUAAUUAUAAACUCAUUUAGUCAAGAAGUCAUUCCACUAUAAUAUCGUAACUGAGCUCUCCUCAAUGACAUACCGUUAUGAAAGCAACUACACAGUACUUGUCCAAUAACCUUAUCAUAAAUGUGAUACCCUUAUAGGAUAUCAUAGAUCUUUUUAGGAUAAUAUUUGUUCUCCUAAUAUUAUAUUAUUUUAUAUAAUGGUAAUCAUUACAUCUUUCUUCAUGAAAAGUCAAUCACUAUCAAAUAGUGAUCAAGUCAUCUAUCAGAAAAAUGGACGACUUGUGACCACGUUUACUUUUCAUCAACCAUGUAAUGCCAAAGAGAGGAUAUCAUCUACCCAUGUAUGAAUGACGCUACAUACUAAAAAAAUUCGUACAUCCAACACACCAGCUUUUGGUUCCUUAUCUAUUUGAACUCAGGCUUUUACUUAUGUCAAAGUGUACAACUCACACAUACAUAAUCCACUAUCCACUCUGGAUUUAGGUAUGUCACACUAUGAACGUCACAAGUGAAUAAAUCCAUAAACGGAUUCAGGAUGUAUCCUGCUUUGGUUUUGUUCGAUGUACUGCUAGUCCAGUCAGUCACAUCUAUGUCUUUAUCUUUUGCGAGUCAUCCACUCUGAUGCUUAAGACAAGACAUCUCCAAAAUUGGACUUAAUAGACGACGUAUUAUCCUUUCAACCAGUUUGCUCAUUUUUCAUGUAAUACCUCGAAAAUUUCUAUAGUAAAAUAUUAUCCUUGAUAUAGAAAAAUAAGGAAAUAAGUGAUAAAAAGGGAAGUUUUGAGUUAUGACAACAUUGGCAAGUAAAUUAUGAUAUCUUGGUCCAGGAAAGGACUAAAAGUUUUGUUGCACAAGAGUAAAUACUCAAAAACUUGAGGGGUUAAAAGGUAAAUAUGAAAAAGUUUAAAGACCAAUAAUGCAAAUAUUUUAAGGGUGGAAUGAUAUAAAAACUAAGGAAAAUGGAUGAAUUAGGACCAAAUUAAAUAAGUAAAGAAUUAUGAGAGACUAAAUUAUAAUUUUAUCAAAUUAAAUGAUGACUCAAGGAUGAAAUUUUAAAACAUAAUCAAGGAUAAUAUGGUCAAUUAGAAGGAGAGAGAAAUCUAGAGACAAUGAUGAUGUUGGAGAUAUUUUAGAUAAAUUAAAUAAAUAAAUAUUAGUUUAUUAAUACUUUAAAUUGAUUUUUAAAUGAUAUUUGAUUAUUUAAUUAUUAUUUUAUUUAAUAUAUAUAUGUAAGGAAAGAAAGAAAAGGAUGAUCAUUUUUCCCAUGCACUAAUGUGCGAGAAAGAGAGAAAGAAAGGAACUUUUGUUUUCUUUACAAUUUGGUCCUUCUAUAAAAAAUUCAUCAUUUUCACCCAAAAAUCAAAAGAAUUUUCAUAGCUACCAAGAGAAAAAAAUGUUAAGGAGACUAUGGGAAGUUAGAAUAUCAAGUUGGAUUCAAGAAAUGGAAGCUGAAGGAGAGAGAAAAUCAAGAUGAAGAUUGAAAUCAAUAGAACAAGGUAAGAACAUCAUGAUUUCAAUAUAUUUUUAAGUUUGAUAUUAUUGAAAAAGCACGGAAUUGAUGUUAAUGUAGAGUUUUCUUAUAUAUGGACCUAUGUUCUUGACAUGUUAGUGAAGAGAAAAUAAGAGAAAGUAAUGAGAAAUAGUGUAGAGAAAGAAAAUAAGGGUGUUAUAAACAUGGUAAAUAAACAUAUUGCACUAAAACAAUUUUAGACAACAGCAGUAGGUUAACUUUGAAAAAUCACCAUAAAUUUUGAAAAAAGAAUUAGAGGAUGAAAAAAUAUGGAAUUAAAUCUUAUUCAGUCUAUUUUCUUAUAAAAGAAACCGUGUAAGAAAUAGAAUUUUGAAUUAUGAGAUAUAAUAAAUUUUAUGAGACAAUGUUAGAAUGAUUUUGGGUUCCCCUAUUCUAACUUUGGAAAAUCAUAAAAAAUUAAAUAAAAAUAAUUAUGGGAUUAAAUUUAUAUUUUUAGAAUCCUGAAUGAGUCUAUUUUCAAUAGAAACAAACAAGAACAUUAUUCUAAUCUUGUACAAUGAGAUAAUUAAUUUUUAAUGAAGAAGGGUUGGAACUGUCAGACUUCAGAAUAGGGGUAACUUUAAAGAAUAAACUGUACUUAUUGGCUAAACCAAAAAUUCUAAAAAUUUUAUGGUAAGAAUAUAUGUGAGUCUAGUUUUAUGUAAAAUUAAUGAAUCUUAAUUUGGAGUUCUGUAUCUUAAGAUAAAAAUAAUUUAGUGACUAUGACAAGCUUUGAAUAUACAUAUAAGUAAAUAGUGAAAUUAUAGAUAAUGUUACUUAUAAGCAUGUUAUAUACAUUAAGGAUGUGGAAUGGAGAGGAGGGGGAGGAAAAUAUAUAUGAAUAUUCAGCUAGUAUGGUUAAUUUACAUGUUUUAGGCUCAAGGACUAAAUUGAAUAAAAGUAAAACCUUAGGGGGAAAUUUUGUAAAAAUGUCAAAAAUGACCAAGUUGAAGGGAAUGAAUUAUUUUAUUAUCUAAAUUAAUAAAUUAAAUUAAAUUAUUAAUUUAAGAUCGGGUGAAAGUUGAGAAAAUAGUAAAUUACCAAAAUGCCCCUAAAUCUUGGUAUUUCUGCAAUUUAGUCAGGUAGAUUCGUAUAACUUGAAUGAGCAUUUAAAUAUGUCAAUUUAAAUAUUGUAUUGUAUUUUAUAUGAUGUUUGAAUUGAAUAUAUGAAAUGUAUGGAUGUUGAAAUGAUAGAAAUAAUACAUGUUUUGAAACUACUUGAAAGGGAUAAAAUCUGUUUGAAUAUUGGGUUCUGGAUGGAUAUAGGUGAUUUCCCAAAUGAAAGAGUUCCUGCAUGUGUUGCAGAAAUAGAUAACCCGGACUGUUAAUCUGGCAAAAGCCUUCUCGAGAAUAUAAAGUGGAUAGGAUUCGUUCCUGAUUCACUAUAAUACCUCAAAGUGGAUAGGAUUUGUUCCUGAUUCACUAUGAUAAUUUAAAGUAAAUAGGAUUUAUUCUUGAUUCACUAUGGUAACUUAAGGUGGAUAGGAUUUGACCUGAAAAGGGUAAUCCUGAUUCCCUACGGUUACGCGAUAUAUGAUUCCUUAUGAUUACUUAAGGUGGGUAGGAUUUGACCUGAAAAGGUAAUCCUGAUUCACUACAGUUACAUGAGAUAUGACUUGAGAAAGUGCUUGAUGAUUAAACAUCCUAAGGGUUAUUUCUGAAUAUGAAUUUAUGGAAUAUGGAAAUGUACGCUUUGAAUGUACUGUUGAAAAAUCCAUCCGAACUCCAAUGAUCUGAAUAUGAAUUGAUGGAAUAUGAAAAUGUACGCUUUGAGUGUACUGUUGAAAAAUCCAUCGGAACUCCAAUGAUUCAACGGAUAGAAUAUUUGAUAUGAUAUGAGAAUUAUAAUAUGAAAAAGAUGUUACGUGAAACAUGAAAAUGAAUACCAAACGAUAUAAAUUAAUUGAAAUUAUUUUGAAAAUUUCGAUAAUACCUCAUAUCCUAUACCGAUCUCGAGUACCGGUAUGGGGUGUUACAUUAUAUUAGACUAAAGACAUGUUUAGGUUCGUUUAGUAAUACAAGUUGUCUUUCUAUACUACGAUCUGACCACGUAAUACUGCUUAAUAUUAGUUAAAUAUUUAGACAACCAAUGAGUAACAUUUGCUUCUAUUUUGAUUUACGUGCAAAAACCAUUUGAGAACAAAAUACAAAGUAAAUUAAUUUAAUUUACGAAUAAUUUUAUUAAUCAAUCUGUUCGGAAAAUUACAAUUUUACAAAUAAAUACAGUACACUCAAGACACCAAAUCUUGUUAGAAAAAUGAGUUUGAAAAACGUAUCAGAAAAUAAAUUUAUGGAAAAAUCAAAGUUUUAAAAUUUUUUCCAAAACAAGAUCUUGGUUAUAAUAUCUAAAGUAAUAAACACUUAAUAAAAAUUGUACUUUUUCGAUUCGUCUAAGAUGAGUGCUUCGACCGAGUAGUCUUUUUCUUUAUCCUCAAGCUCACGUCUGUCGAGUGUGAGCUUGCUUCGAAUCAGAAAAUUUUUCACAAAAAUUACCAGUGUGGUAAUUUUAUAAUUUCUCUAAACUUUUGGGUUAAGUUGUAAAUCAGAAAAAUAUUUGUAGAAAUUUUUUGAAAUAAUCUCUUCAGAGAAUUUUCUCUCUACAACUUUAUCUUGAAUUCAAAUAUGUGUAAAUAAUGACCCAAGAUUCUAUUUAUAUAGGGAGAGUUCAGAGAGUUCAACUAUGAUUAAACUUAAUUACUUUAAUAUUAAAUUUAAUAUAAUAUUUAUUAAGAUAAAUAUUAGAUUAAAUUUAAUAUUAAAUCUUAUUAAAAUAAUCGAAUGUUUAUUUAUAGGAUAAACAUUAAAUUAAAUUUAAUAUUAAGAUAAUUACUUUAAUAUUAAAUUAAUAAAACACUAUUAAGAUUAGUAUUAAAUUAAAUUUAAUAUUAAACUAUUAAAAUAAUAUUAUUUUUUGAAUAAUUAAUCUGAAAUCAAAUUCUCUAGUAGAAUCCCAGUAAGAGCGUAACUCUUCCACUGCUCAACCACUGACGACCAACCGCUGCCGACCACUGGGACGCUGCCGUCGUAGCCACCGAUACUAUAGUGUCCAGUGAUGCAAGUGUGACACCCUUACAGCACCCCCAAUAGGUUCAACUGUUAUCGGUUCAAAAAUUAAUUUAAUUUUACUUGAUCAGAACUAAUUUUUUCAAAAAUCAUUUAGAUUUUUCAAAUUAAAUUUAAAAAAAAAAUUCUUUAAUCAAAUUCUCUAGUUGAACAAUUCUCACGACCACUUAAUUUAAUUCCACGUCGAAUAAAUCGACUCAAUUCAAUUAUUCCCAAAGUCGUAGAAUUUUCUUUUAGUCCAAAUGCAGUCCAAUCGAACAUUUGUUGAGCUAGUAGAGGGACCAAUCAGACAUAUACAAUUAGGCUUUAGUGAUUGCAAUUAUAUCCAGAAGCAUUGUUCCGAUAAUUCGCAAUUACUUAAUUAUGUAGUCAGUCCAUAAGAAGUACCAUGAUUGAAAGCUCCUUAUUGUAUACUCUUUAUGAAAGCAAUUCAUCCAACUACUUUGUCUAAUAACUCGUUAUGUGUGUGUUACCUUCAUAUGAUAUACUUGAUUCAUUUGAGUUAAAUCCGUUCACUCAAUAUAAUCCUAUUUUAUCUCAUUGCCAUCAUUGUGUCUUCUUAAUGAUUAAUAUGAUCACUGUCAACAAAUGACUGUGAGAAAUUACUCGUUUGAGAACAAGCAACCCGUGACCAUGUUCCCUAUUUUUCAAUCCACACAAUGCCAAUGAGAGGAUAUCAUUAACUCUUUAAUUGAGUUAUGAAUUCCACUGUUGCUAGUAAAGCCAUGUCAUACACAAGUCAUGUACCCAACAUAUCGGCUAUGGACUCGAUCAUCUUUAGAGCAUAAGCCUCUACUUAUAUCAAAAUACAUGAGUUGUAUACGCAUGCCAAUGACUAACUCAGGAUUUAGGUAAAUCACACCAUGAACGUCACAAGUGAAUUAAUUUACAAACGGAUUCAGAAUUAAUUCAUCUUAAAUUCAGUCUAAUAUAUCAUUCUACCAAUGAAUACAUUUAUGUCUCUACUCGUGGAGUCAACUGCUGCGAUAGCCAUAACUAAACAUCUCCCUAAUUGAAAUUGUAGACAACAUAAUAAUCAUGCUCAAUAUUUGAAUCAAAUGCUCACUUUGAUUCUUUUACGUUAUUACAAACUCAUUUAGAUUUUCUACUGAAGUAAGUUGUCUUUCUCGUAAUGUAAAUGUUUUUUAUAAUGCCACUUAUCUUUAGUUUGAAUUUUAAACAAUCAAUGAACUAAUAUUUGCUUGUCACAAUUUCGCUAUAAAUACAAAAGAUAUAAUAGUGGAAUGUGAAAUUAACUUUAUUUAUUUAUUCAUCGUUCAAAUAAAUAGAAAAUAAUUACAUAUUUACUACAAUAUGAGAACAUUUCCCAAUAGAUCCAAUAUCGUUUCCAUUUAAUUAUCGUUUUUAACCGAGAGAACAAUAGUAAAUUGAAAUCGGAUACAUGGGACUGAUUUACUCACACAAGUUGACAUAUUUAGGUUGCUCCCACAAGUUUCAGACUAGGGUUGCUCAUACAAGCUUAGUUCUGUGCUGCUCACACAAGCUUCAGAGUAUCUGCAACACAUGUUGGAUCUCAAGUCAUCGUAUUAAUUAUUGAUCAAAUAUCCGUUUUCCUUUUCGGGACCCUAAUGGCAUGUUAUUCGUAUCUUAAUCGUUUAUUAAAUUCACACAGCCAUUGUUACCAUUUUCAUAUAAUUUCAAACCUUGUAACAUCAUCAUAUGCAUAUCAUUCAAUCAUAUAACAAUUUCACAUACAUUCAAUACCAUAUACCUAUUCGUAUUUUUCAAAUAUUUCAUAUUUUACGAUUUAGUCCAUUUGAUGCCAAAAGACAUUAUAUUUAUAAAAAUUCAAAUUAGAAAGCCAAACAAUACAAUACAAACAUAUCAUGAAUUAAUAAAGUAAGUCCCAUAUGAACUUACUUGGCAACAACAACAACAAAUAAUACGUCAAUGACUAAUUCACAAUUUUGUCCUUUCAUUGAUUAUCCUCCGAUUGAUUUAAUUCUUGAUCUAUACGAUAAUUCAUUUCAAUUUAUCAAUUAAAAACACCUUAUUUCAUCCUACUAUAAACAUAAGUCAGUUCAAUUUCACUUUUCGAAUGUUUCCUAAUUUUUUCCAUUUUAUCCAAUUUAGUUCCUAUAACUGAAAUUACCAUAACUUUCAAAUUCGAGCUUCGGUUUCGAAACUGAUCUCAAUUUCAUCUUUCUAUAACCCUCUAUUAUAAAAAAUUGUAGAAAUAUUAUACUAAUUUCAAAAUUCAUACGCUUUAGUCUUUACAUAAAAAAACUAACAAUUAAACUUUACAAACUAGCCCAUUUUCAAUUCUAAGCUCAAAGUCUAACAAUUUAAUACCAAAAACUUCAAAAAAUCAACAAUGGAAACUUUUGAAAAUUUUAACAGUUUUACAAGUUGAUACGUGAGCUAGCUAAAUCAAGCUUACAGGACCUAAAAAUCAUUACAAGAAACGAACUAAAUCGAACUUACUUAUGGAUGGCCGAAAGCUUUGAAACAUAAAACCCUAUUUCUUUCUUUUCUAAUCGUGAAGAAGAUGAAUAUGAUAAGAAAUGACUUCCAUUUCUUUUUAAUUUUUGUUUAUAUAUUUUAAUUAGUUACCAAUUAAUUAUAAUUAACUUAAUUAACCUAAGUUGAAUUAAAGCUAAAUUUAAUUAACAAUUUUGGUGGGUUACAACUAUUCUCCACCACCGAUUAACAUAACAUGUAGGGUCAAAUUUCUCAAUUGGUCAUUCACUUAAUUAAAAUUCCAUAGUGAUUAAUUCGUACCAAAUGUACAAAUUAGUCUUUGUACAUUUAUUAACUAUCUAUUUGACAAAAUUAAGGACCAAACUUUAAUUAAACAUUAUAUUAACCUCAUAAAUAUCAAAUAAUAAUAUUUACAGACCUGAAUAUAAAAAAUGAGGUUCUGAAACCAUCAUUUCCGACACCACUAAAAAAUGAAUUGUUACAUAAUACAUUGUUAUCCGAAAAACAAAGCGAUAAUUAGUACACUAUAUUCUUUUAUUCUCAAAUAAAUUAUUUUGUUUUAAAAGGAUAUACAUUGUAAUGGAUAUCGUAUUAAGAUCAUGGAUGAGGAGACAAUUAAUUGAAUCUAUUAUAUUGGAUAAUAGUUUUGUAUUUAAAAACUACCAUAUAGUGGAGGCGGUGCUCCUGAAGAGACCAAAAGACAACUAAUUAUUAAAACUCCAAAAAAGAUUCAAGUACCUGAAAUUGAAUAUGAAAAUAGUGAAAAUAAAUAUAUCUCAAUAUAAGUUAUGUUAAUACCAGAAAACAUGGAACUUUAAAAUAGAAAAGUUGUUUACAACGGUUUUGUAUGCAAUAAUAUUAUUGAGAUAAUGAAAGAAAAAUGAAGUUCUUGACUAUUGAGAAAUAUAUACAUGAAAAGAUUGGCCAAAAUGGAAAGAUGUAAUUUAAGUAGAAUUAAAUCCUAAAAGUUUUUGGAUCAAUAGUCUAAACGUAUAAUGGUAUAAAGCCAAUAAGGUACAAAUGAGUGGUUCUACAAAAACGAAAUAAGAAAUAUGAAGUUUUUUGCGAAGUCCUGACAUUUAUUAUGAAAUGUGUAAUAUUCUCUCACGGUGGAUGCAAUAGCCUCUAGAUAUCUUAUUAGUUUUGGCUGUUCAUGAAAGAUUUGAUAUGUAUUUAACGAUUGUUGCUAUAACAUUUAUAUAUAUCAGUAUAUACUGGAAGUUUAUAUUAAAAUUCUUCUGAAAUUGUUUAUUACAAUUGUGUAAAUAUUUAUAUGAAUUGAUUUGAACAUAUGUAUUAGUAUACAAUGAUAAUGAUCAACUAUGAUUAUUGUUGGAACUCUUAAUCAAAACAUAUUUCUCCAAAGUUAGUGAAUCUGUUCAAGUGAUCAUUUCAAAAGUUAAUAUUCAAGAUUGGAAUACGUAAAAUUUUGAGAUAUCAUGUAAAGUUGUCAUAAGUAAGAGUAAAUACACAUACUAUUUUUUUAUUUAACAAAAGUUUUAUCCAUUAAAUUUUCUGUUAAAGUAUGUUAAUUAUAGAUAAGUGUAUUAUUUUUAUUUUUGUAAGAAAUUUUUUCUCAUAAAUUCUGAAAUCGUAUAUAUGAAAAUAACUCAUAAAUUAUAUUUGAGUAAAAAUAAUUUUGGUUAAAAUUGUUGACCUAAAAUAUUUAUUAAAAAAAAACAUUUUGAAACUCUUUACAAUCCCACCAAACUCUAAAUAAAAGAUGGAGAAAAACUUACAUUUUCCAUUUUAUUUUGUAAAUUACAGCGUAUUUCAUUCGUAGAUCGACUCCUUCAAAGUUCAAAGUCUAAGAUAGCAUUGGAAACCUGCAGGGCAUACGAAAUAAUUAAAAAAGACAAUUAUAAUUGGAAAAGAAGAAUAAACGCAUCAUCGAGGCAACAACAAUUAUUUGAAAUUUGAAGGAAAAAACAUCUCUCAAAAAGACCCAUAGAUGAAAGGGAAAUGGAAAGGUUCGAAGAGAAAACUAGGGUUGCCAGCUGCCCUUCUACUGUGCUCACUCUCAUUCCUUGCUGGAUUGUUUGUUCCCACUUUUUUCUUUCAGGUAAUUCGUAAAAAUGCUUUCAUUUCCAAGUGUUUAUAACUUGGGUUUUGUGUUUAAUUAUUGGUUUUUUUUUAAUAGGAUGUUCCAAUCAUUAAACCCAAGCCGAGAAUGCUCGAGGCAGUGCAGGAGAAGACGUUUCGUGAUCCGAUGCCAAAUGGAGUAACUGGGGAGAGUUCGAUUGAAUCUAUUCCAUUUCAGGUCAUUUUUCCAUUCUGGUUUAGUGCAUUGACUUUUGAAUGAUGAUGGCUUGGUUCAUCAUGUGAGCUUAGUUGUUGUUAGAUUGGUGCCAUAAUUUUUGGCAGAUCUAGUAUAAAGAUUUUAGUGUAUAGUAGGGGUUGUCUAGUGUUGAACCCGAGACAGGUUUUAAUGGCAGACUUUAACACAAGUUUUUGCCACUCCACUGUGGUUCAGUCCAAAAAGAUUUGUUUAUAAAUGCUUUUUCUUGGGAUACUUUUUUUACUUCAGUUAUAAUACUUGGCUUUAGGAUUUGAUACUUGAUAGCAGUUAACUCAUUAGUUAAAGUAUUUAUAAAAUUGUAGGUGGGAUAGGGCCUUGAGCCGAAAACGGAAAGUCGUAGUAAUCCAUGGUAAAAACCAGAAAAAUUGGAGGAUUGGUUUAGUCUAUGAGUCAGAAUAUUCGAGUUUGCAUGUAUUUGAGAGCUAAGAUUUUAUCAAGGUGUGUUUGUGCUGAUUUAAAGAGGAGCUUUUGGAUAUUAAGAGUGGUAAUGAUGCAGAACAAGGAUUUUAUAUGCAAAUGUUUUACAUAAUUCCGAGGUCGAUAUAUGCUAGGAAACAAUAGUAUGGAUCUUUUUUAUGAGCAUUUCUUCGGGGUACUGCUGACUGAAGAACUAACUUCCUAUGCUUGCUUAUUGUUGAAUGCAGGUUUUAAGUUGGAAACCACGAGCUUACUAUUUUCCCAACUUUGCAACUUCAGAACAAUGUGAACAUGUAAUAGAAAUGGCAAAGGUGAACCUUAAACCAUCUGGUUUGGCUUUGCGCGAGGGAGAAACUGAAGAAAGCACAAAAGGAACUAGAACAAGGUGCCCCUUUAUGCAAUUAUUUCUAUUUUUAUUGUCGGUUUCUUGUUGAUCUUGAGUUG
rnacentral:lncRNA from 1 species